rnacentral:lncRNA from 1 species
GUUUUGUUUCUUGUUUCUUGAAAAAAAUAAACAAAAACAAAAAAUGUGCUUAAUAAUUGUUUCUUGUUUUCUUAUUUUCUUCGAGAUUUAUUUUUUAUUAUUUUAUUUACAUCUAAUUCAAUAUAAUAUUACAUCACUUACUAUAUCAAAACCUAAAUAGAAAGGUCUUCUAGUAAUCUUAUGGAAAUCAAGAUGAAGAUUGAGAUAUGAAGAAUAGAGUCAGCGAGGAGGAAGAGGAAAACCCAUGAUAAAGAGGAGGAUUGAAAUUCAGCGAAAAGUAAGACAAAGACUCACGGCGAAAACACAAAUCUGAAAAAAAACCCACAGAUUCGACGAAAACCCACGGCGAAAAUCUAGAUUCGCGAGAAGAAAAAAAGGAAAACUCAGAUCCAACGAAGAAAAAAACGUUGUGUAGAGGAAGACAAUGAGAGGCAAUGAGGAAGAUGGAGAAGGCAAUGUGAGGAAGAGGAAGACGAUGAUUAUUUGAGGAAGAAAAAUGAAACCAAGUGGAGAGUGGUUAUUUGGAGAAGAAAAUGGAAAUAAGACGAAGAAAAAGGAAUCACUUGGAAAAAUGGAAAAGGAAAAGGAAAUAGAAAAAUAAUUAAGAAAAAGAAAAUCAAUCAAAAUAAUUGAAAAAAAAGGAAAGAAAAUCGAUAAAAAUAAUUUUAAAAAAAUGAUAAAAUAAUUGAGAAAAAAAAAAGAAAAUCAAUAGAAAUAUUUGAAAAAAAUGAAAAAUAAACCAAUAAAAAUAAUUAAAAAAAAAAGAAAAAAUGAAACCAAUAAAAAUAAUAGAAAAAAAACUGUAAAAAAUAAUUAAGAAAAAAAGAAAAGGAAACCAUUAGAAGCAAUUAAGAAAAAAGAAAAGAAAACCAAUAAAAAUAAUUGAAAAAAAAACAGUAAAAACUUUUAUUUUCAGUAAUUCAUUAUAAAAUAAAAAAAGGUUUCUAUUUUUUUAAAACGAGAAAUAUUGAACAUUAACAAAUAUGUUUCUUUAAAAAUAAAAACAUAAACUUGAAUUAGGAAACAUAAAUGUUAACCUAUUUUGAAUUAUAAAUUUAAGGCUAACUAAAAUAUCACAUUUAUUUAAGUUUGAAUAAGACACUUACCUUUCUCAAAGAAACAAUUAUAUUAUUAGGUUAGGAAUGUUGAUUAGUAUGGGUUAUAUUCAUCAUCUCAUGAAAAUUGUAACCUAAAAUAGUUAGGAUGUUUUCACGUCAAAUGAUAAUUAUGAUUUAAAAUGGUGGUAGUGAUUUGGAAUAGAAAUAUGGAUCCUCACAUCAUUUUAAAAAUCAGUGUUAUAUUCUUACUGUCUCCGUUUUUUCAAUCAAUGGCCAAAUUCUCCACAAAUAUUUUUUUUGAGGAUAUAUGUUCAUGACAGUGGAAUUUGUGAUCUUAUGCAAAUCCCACCCUAAGUUAAUUCGUAUGAUACUAUUUUCAUUUUGUUUAUAUAUAUAUGGAUGUAUGUAUAUAUAAAUUGGAUUAAUCUCAAGUUGGUGACCAGAAUAAGAUUAUUGUAUAAGUUAUAUAUAUAAGAUUGUGUGAUCCAAAAAGUUCUAUAUAAGACAAUGUAAUCCAAUACUUGUAUUAUAAAAAUAUUUGUUUGGUUUGGUGCAAUUUGUAAAUAAAACGGAUCCGUUUGUUUCUCGAACAAUCCAGAUUUUCAUGAGGUGACAUAUCUAGACUACGAUAUUUGUUUUGAAGUAUUGUAAGAUGUCAUCCGGAUAUUUUCAAACGUCGUAAGAUGCUUAAAUGGAUGGUAUCUAAAGAAUUUUGGAUGUCAUUUCUACAACGUGGAUUUACAUAUUCUCGAUACCUCCAUUUUACAUUUUUUUUCUUUUCUUAUUAUAUACAUAUAUAUAUAUAUACACACACAUAUAUAUAUAUUCUCGUUUGCAUUAUAUCCUUAAAAUAAAUAAUCAACUGUAUAUAUCAUUUUUUUUUGUUAUAUUGCAAUUCUAAUUAUUGUUAACAAGAUAUUUACAUUUAAAUAAUAUUUACUUUAUAGAAAAUCUUAAAUCAUGAUAUAUUAUUUUGUUGAGAAAAAUAACAUAUAAAAUAUUUAUAAUUCUCUUAAAAUUUUCUUUAAAAAUAUCAAAUUGAUAAAAGCAAAUAUGUUAUAUAAGUUCAAAUUAAUAAAUAAUCUAAAGGUAUUCUUGAAACAUUACAUAAAUUUAAGAAAUUUAUAAGUAAAAAUACUACAUAAUCAAAAUAUUUCUAAAUAUCUACAAAAAUAUUUGUAAAAGAUGUCAAACAUCUACCAAUUAUAGUAACUAUAUCUAUAAAUUUCGAUUAUCUACAUUUUUAAAAAACAAACAAGCUCUAGAUUUAUGAAUGAAAUUUUGUCACAUCCUCCAACAGAUAGGUAAAAUGUGUGUACCUUUAAUAAUAUGAUACCAUUACAAUUCAAAAUUUGUAAAUGAAAAUGAAAAUCUUCAAAUGCCCCAAAUGCAUUAUUGUGUUUCAGAAAAAAAAGAAAUUACCUUAAUCAAUUAACCAAAGAAUUGUCUUUUUAUUAUUUUUUCUUUUUUUUUUUUUAAUGUUGAAGAACACUUUUUAUAUGUCAAGUUAGUAGUGUAUUAAGUAAAAGAAACUAUAUUUGCCUUAGUAGUUCUGAUACUGUAUUAAACUAAUGGAAGCAAAAACUUAAUAUCUUUACAUUAACAGUCAAAUUCACAAAUUUCAUUCAACAAUUAACAGCCGAAGUAUUAUGAAGUCCGUACUUAGUCGAAUAAUUUGCUCCAUUUUCAAAUUUAACACUUGGUACAACUAUACUCAAUUCCUAUUUUAAAUAGGAAAAAAAACACUCAAUCACCUCUAAAACUAAAAGAACAAUAAAUUAAGAUCCUUCUAAACUAGAAUUUGAAAAUCUUAUAGUAUAAAGCCAUUAUCAUUGAAAUGAGUUAGUAUGAUAAACACAUUAUUUUCUUGGUAAAGAAAUCAAAAUUUAGUCUCCAAAAGUUCAAAUUUGGACACAGGGAAGAGCUCAAUAUGUCAAGCCUCAAAUAGAAAUUUACAAAAUGUUACUUUCCUCAGCUUCAACUCAAUCCAGGUUCAUUAGAAUCAAGAGACUUUCUUCUGCUUUUUCGUUUUCUUUCUGCAAUACAAUUCAUUUUUAAUCCUAGAAAAGCUGACAGUAAUGGACAUGGUAAUCUUAAAAUAACAAGAUAACUAAUUCCUCAGCUUAAAGACAAUGAAUUAUAGGAGUUAGUGUAUUGAAAUCCUCUCAAGCAAAUCAUAUUUUACAGAAUAGGGUAGACUUCACAAAGAAGCUGAAUCAGAGGUAUUGCUUCCCAUGGAACUUUGCUUCCUUUCCGCCUGAAGUGAUCGACACAAGGAUUCAAGCUUUUCUUUCUGUUUCUUCGUUUUCUCCAGCUGUUUCUUCAAGCCCUCCCGCUGCUCAACCAGAGUUCACUCAAAAUCCAACAAUAUGGUUGAUGUAAAGACUAGUCUAUAUAGUGAUUCAGUGCGCGUAAAUCUGACUAUGUCCGCGGGGCAGUUAGAUGAAGCGUAUUAUUCAAUUAAUGAACCAUGGAAGUCAAAACCACAAAUGACUGAAUUUGUUACCAUUCAAACAAGAAACGAGUUUAGAGGUUUAAAUAUCAAAACAACUAGUUGGAAAGAAGAUCAAACUCACUCAAUACGGUAAUAAUACGAGCAUACAUCUGCACAAAUUCUGCUGAAAACAGAACUAAGCAUGUGAUGAAUCGACUGACUUCCUAGGGUUUGUUUACAAGAUGGCUAUCCAACGAACAUAUUUUUAGAUAGCUAUCUUUUGAACGUUUUUCUGUCACUUUAAAUCGGCUGUUUUGUAAUUUAGAACUAAUGCCAUUUUCUUCCAAAAUCAUGAACUUAUAAUGAAUAGCCAUUUCAAAUGCAAUUGCUUUAAUCUUUUCCAGGUGCCUCAACCAAAAUUCUUUGAUCUAUUAUUUAAAUUAGAAACAAGCAAAUGUUUUCCAAACAAGGCAUUAUUACUGUUUGGUGUUGCCAAACAAGCGUACAAUAAAAUUAUAGUGAAUGUAAACAUACCUCAUCAAGAAGCUCAAUAAGAGUAACAUCUGAUUUCUCACAUUUGCUCUUCAGGAAUGUAUUUUCCUUCUUGAGUUCCUUGAUGGAUUUCGUCAUCUGCAUAUAUUAUUUUUUAGAAGAAUUGAGGGGAGAUGAGCACAUGUAGAAUAGCAGCUUCAGUAAGUGUAUCAUGCAAUAAUAAAACAUUUGGAGAUCUAUGCCCAGAAAGAAAGACGUUGGGUUGGUGGGGGGAGCGUUGAACACCUUCUCAAUUUCUUGUUUGAAGGUUUCAAAUACGUCAUUGCUCUUUACUAAUGCAUCCUGCAACAUUAGUCAAUACAUAAAUUAAGAUUAGGUUAACUUGGUAAAUCAUUCUAUAAAUGUCAUAACAAGAUGUCAUUGUCAUCUAUAUAAUAUAUAUUUCUAAAUUAAUUUUUUUUAAAACACUACUAAAGCCCUACUUGGAACUGUUGAAAUUUUUCUCCAUCAGCUGUUAGUUGUAAACGCAGAUUCUUUUCUGUUGACAAUAAAUGUGAAAUUUGCUCUGCAUAUACUUUCAUUUGAGUUUGUUCCUGAAUCAAUUUCUCCUCACAUUGCUUAGUUUUCAGAUCAGCAAGCUGAAGUUCAAGCGUUUUCUGCUUCAACUGUGUUAAUGUACAAAACAUUAUGAAUCAAUUCAGUCGUACAAAAUAAUAGUUAAACAUCCAAGCCAUAGCCUCAGAGGCAAAACUGUAAACUUUACCUUCUGUGCAAAUUGCUGUUCGGAAAGAGAAAACUGAUCAACAAGCUGCUUCAAUUUAUUCCUUAAGCUGGACAUGGUAUGCAAAAAUUUUGGAAAACAAAGAGAAAGAAAAGCCACAUUUAUAGUUCAAUUCCUUAUUAACUAAAUCGUUAGUGAAAGGGAGAAUCUAAAACAUUGAUAUUGAUUACUUCAGAAACUAUUGUAUACUAAUUGCUCAAAGAUAGCAAAGACAGGUUCAAGGAUAAGGAUGAAAGGAAGCUAAGCAAGGAGAUAUAUUCAUCAAAGGAGAGGACUGUAAAAAUGCCACUCUAAAAAAUAUUGAAAACAAAAAGAACAACCCAAUUUUUCUCCCAGUAUUCACUAGAGCCUAAGACUUUGGCGGUACAAGAUAUUUUUCGUAAGUAUGGGAAUACUUUUUCUUUUGCACGGAAAAGAGCCUCUCCAUUAAUAUAAUGAAAUGAGACAUGCUCAAAGUACAAGAGUGUUAUACAAAGAUUUGGAAUAUCUGAGGGAAAGAAUCCAAAAACCAAAUACACGGACUAACAAAACAAGGGCCAAGAGGUUAUCAGAUUCUAAAACAGGGCAGAAAAACAAUCAAAACAGCAACUGAUAAGAAAACAAUCAAUACAAAUAAAAUGUUGGGAAAGGAAACAAAAGUGCCCUAAUGGACCAUAGGUCCAUGAACAUGAGAGAAGUAAUCUUUGAAGAGCUCGAAGAAGAUGCAGCUCAAGAGGACAAGAAUGAAGAAGCUGAGAUAACUCGAAACCAACCAAAGAACAUCUGAACCAUAAAAAAUUCAUUAACUACACGAGCAGACAAGCUGCUGCCAAAACUUCUGAAAUAUAACUAAAUCAACACCCUUGAGGAGAAUAUAUCCAAGCCCAAGAUGAAAGGGCAGGCCAUUUGACAACACCUUUUGAUGAUAAAACUUCCAUGAAUAGAUUACCAAAUUCUCACUCAAGGAUGACUAGUGAAACGGCUUCCUUUUGUUAAAAAAACCCCUAACGCACGCUCUCUUCUAUCUCUUCAAUGCUUACACUAAUAGAAAGCACAUCCAUUGUGGUUCUUUUUAUAUAUAUAUAUAACUCUCAUUCCAAAAAGAACUUCCUUUCAAAUAAUAAGCUUCUCAAAACAGUUCCCAAUCUUAUUGCUGAAGCUGAAAAUUGAAAAUUGGCAUCUAAUCAGGACAACUCUAACAAAGAAUGCUGCUGGAUAUUAGCCCAUAAUCAGACUGCAAGCUCACCAAUGACUUCAGAUGGGCUGGAACUUCACAAAGCUGAGCUUGAGAUAAACAAUCCAAAUUUUGUUUUUCAACUGCUGGUUCUUCUUCAUACUGAAACAGAGCAUUCAAAUCAACUUCUAUUGGUUCCUUUGAUCUCUGCUUUUCUAUUUCAUCUGAUUUCUCAAACUGGUCAAAUUCCUCACUGCUUACACUGAAAAUUCAGGUUUUCUUUUCUUCUUAGAUGGAUCUGGAUCAAUUGGAGUGUGAACUAGAAUUUCUCUUUGAAGUUUCAACUUUGCAUUGAGGAAUGAUAAAACUGAGUACCUAAAUUGUGGAGGGAGAGAUUUUUGGGCCUCUGAUCUGCUACUUUUACUGGGAGCUUGAAUCUGUGAACAAAUUUCUUCUAAAACGUCUGGAUUUUUUUUAAACAGAGGCAGGCCUCUUAAAUUAUUAUUAAUAAAAGAGCCUUAAGCUCAAAGUACAAGAGUAUUAUAUUAAGAGCAAGAGAAAAGAGAAACAUUCAGUCUACAGCUGCAACAAAAGCUAAAUAACAAACACCAAACAAAAGAGAUCAAGCUAAACACAACCAUAACUGUAGAAAUUUAAAUACAAAGCAUAAUGAAAAAUUCUCUCAUAAAGAACUAAUUUGAAAGUAAAAACUUGCAAGAAGAUGCAACCGGCUGCCUCGAAGCUGCCUUGCCACAUUAUUCCAGAAUCCAGAGGAAGCUCAAAAAAUUCUUCCACUAUUUCAGCAUUGGCAUGAAGGCUUUACUUGCCACACACAUGAAGGGCAAUCCAAGAAAGACUGAAGUUGGUCCAACAUUGAGGAGGAAUACAUUAAAUGGCGGAAGAAUCAAAUUAGAAUAAUUCCACAAUUAGCAACUAUUGAUUUUAAAUGAUCUGGUAUUUCGCAAGACUAGGGACAAGAAUGAGUAGCAGAAGGCAAAUUUGUGGAACCUGGCUCUUUCUCACAAUGAACAGGGCACUGAUAUGUUUCUGGAGGCCCAAAAUGUUUCUGACUUUCAAGCUCAGUUGACCUAUCCAAAUGCUCCAAUUCCUCACUACUAACGUGAAAGGGGAGUCGAAAAAAGGCUCACCUUUCCUGCUGGAUUGAUCGAGAGGAGUUUUGCUCAGAGAGCCUAUCAGAAAUUUUACCUUGGAGUUGGGUAAAGAGAACUCAGAAUACUUAAAUUGAGUAACGUUAGGACGAUGAGAAAUUUCCUUAGAUGAAUUGCAGCUUAAAUUUGGGUGCAACUAACUUCCAAAAAAUUUGGAUUAGCCUCUAAAACAGCUUGGAGCUGCUAGAACAAGCUGAUGAAAGAGAAUGGACACUAUUUUCUAAAACAUAUGGAUUAGAAUCUGAAAACAUCUUUGUCUUGAAAGAAAUCUUCUUGGCUAUCUCCUCCAUCCUUCUCCUUCUAACAAAAUGCUUUGGGAAAGUAAUGAAAGGAUGCACUGCUUUCUGAUUUUUGGAACUUCGUUUGACCCCAUCUACUUCUGAUUCUGGCCGAAGAAGAGACGGGUGAAGAAGAAAUUGAACUAUAAAUGGGAAUUCUAAAAUGGUUGGUAUAAAUAUGGGAGUCUAGUUGCACUCAAAGAAAUCCUAGAAAUUCCAUUUCUCUUUGUUUAACUGAUUUCUAGUGCAUUUUCAAUUUGGAUAGGAACGAGCAUUGUGGGUUUCAAGAAACCCACUGGAUAGGCUGAAGCCUUCUUCAAAUAAAGUCCCCUCGCUCAUAAACAUCUUUUCCCUAAAAAAUGCCUCAGUUGCUUUAUUACUUCCUGAUUCUGUAGAUUUUAUUAUGUCAACUUCCAAUUAAUAAGAGCUAUUGCGUUAUCCCAAUCCUUUCCCAUGGGCAUACAGACCAGGGUAUUCAGUCCUUCGAGUCCUCAAAGAUUCUCUCAUGCAAUUCAACUUUUAUAGUUUACACCAACAAUUAUCAUAUUUUUCUCAUUACUCCGAGAGUGUAGUCUCUCUUAUUUUAAAAAGAAAAAAAGUACUGAGGGAGUUUUACUUUUUCUCAAAACGGUAACACCAUUGUCACUUUUAGAAAAUAGUAAGAUCAAGAUGACAUGCAGUCAUUCCAGGUUAUGGCUGUACACUUUAUUCUAGGUUUGCCUUCACGCAAAUAAGAAGCAAAUAAUAAUAAUAAAACAAGAAGCACAAUACUGGUUUCUUAUAAAAAUAAAAAAAAAGAGAAACAAAAUACGUUUAUGUUAAUUAUUUUAGCAUCAAAUAUAUUCUCAGCAAUGUACUUCGCCUUACGUUUCAUUCUCUUUCAGCUGUGCAAGGCAUUCAUCCUUUUGCUCUUCUAGCUUCUUGCUAACAUCCUGUCGAAGGAAUGCAGAAAUAUAAUCAACGGGAGUAAUAUAAUAACAAACAAUAACAAGCACAAAGAGAGAAACGUCAUUCUCUUAACCCAACUUUAGACUUGCCUGUCAAGUUUCAUCAAUAUCAGUUUACGUGCACACUUAGGACCCAUUCAGUAACAUUUCCACUUUUGUUUCUUAAGUUUAUUUUAACGAAGAAAAAUGAAAUUGUGUUUCAUAACAUUAAGAAGAAGUAUCUAUGGGAACCAUUUAUUCUUUCUUGUAAUUUCUUUUAACUAAGAAUGCAAAAAAUUACAUGAAAAUAAGUUUUUAAAAUUAAAUAUGAAUUUUUUAAUGUUAUAUUUAUUAUGUAUUUUAAACUCUGGCCUCAUUUGAUAAACACGUGGUUUUUAAAAAAUAAACUUUUAGAAACUACUCUCCCCCGUACGUUUCUUUGUUUUGAUAUCUCCUUUCUCAAAAUCCAGAGAAAGAUAUGAAAACUAAGAAAAGUAGUUUAAAAUAUAGGACUAUUUUCAAAUAUAGCAAAAUAAACCAAAAUAUUUAUAAAAGAUCACAAAAUAUCUAGUCUAUUCAAUGGACAACAAUAGACCAAGAUAGAUUGUGAUAUUUUGCUAUAUAUUGUAAACUUUUUCAAAUGUUUUGUCAUUUAAAAUAAUUUUUCAUAUAAUAUUUGGAAUUUGACUAAGAAUUCAAAUGUUUCUUAAAUAAAUGUGAAAUCUAUAGAAAGAAAUUGAAAUGAAAAAAGUAUAAUUUCAAAAACUAAAAACUAAAAAUGAAAUUGUUACCUUUGCAAAAAAAAUGAAAUUGUUAGCAAAUGAAGCCUUAAAUUUGUAAGAUUUAUGAGAAAGAAAAAAGUAACAAUCAUCAUGAGAAAUUACGAUCAGGAAACUAGAAACAAAUUUGUUAUCAAAGAAACCCUAAAUGCUUGCUUAUCAUUAAAAUUCCUUUUUAGAGGAAGCAUUAUCAAUUCUAUGAACACAAAGUGUAAAGAAGAAAGGAAAAACAGAAGGUUGAACCCUAAAUAAAAAAAGAAGAAAGAAGGUAUGGUAUCCCAAACACGCUCAAUACCAUUGUUGAGUUCCUUUCCUUGUAAAUCACUUUCUGGUAAAGUUGCAAGCACUCAACUCAUCCUACUAAUAUUAACUUGUCCUCAGACUUGAAAUCUCAAGAAAUUCAAUAAAUACAUUCCCCUACUUGGCCAAGAAAAAUCUUAAGUUAGAUAAUUAGCGGUAAAAUAUUUGGUGAUUUUAUUUUAUUUUUUUGAAAUGGAGACAAAACUUCUUUUUAUUAUUGAGAACUCUAAGUACAAGAUAACUAUACAAAGAGAGCAAUAAAGAAGAAAUAGAAACGGGACAUCUCAACUAGGUUGACACCCCCAUAGCGUCAAUCAUCAUAUCCCCAAGAAAGUAAAUAUCAAAGCAAAACAAAACCAACAGAGGAGCAACCUAAAAACAAACAGCCUAUUACAAGGGUCCAGAAAAAAAAAACAGAAAAUUCAGAAAAAAAACCCCAAAAUACAAUUACAAUCUCAAAAUAAAAUUAAACAAGGUCAAAACUUCAAAGCUUCAAAACUUCGGACAGAGAGAACUACAAUGCAGAGAAAAUGAACCAGCAACGGUUAGGCUUGAUUAAGAAAGGCAUUCCAGUUGAGGUAAAUAACUUGAAUGGAAAAAUUAACGGACUCCUUUUUUAAAUGAACACCAAGCUGCAGCACUAAGAUCUACCGCACACAUGAUUUCUGCUCUGACUUUGCUUUAUCAUGGAAGAAUGUUGAUUUCGCUCAAACCAUAAUUCUGAAAAUAAAGCUUUUAACAAAUUUACCCAAAUGAUGCGAGAUUUUUGAGAAAAAUCAGACCCGACAGCAGCUGAACCACAUUAGUGCCUAGAGAGCGAUCAAAAGUCCAAACUAAGUUGAACAAGGAGAAAAUCCUUUCCCGGCAAAAAGAAGAGACGAGACAGAACAGAAAAAAUGUGAUAAAGGAUCUCACUAGAAAGAAAAUCUUUUCCCAGCCAAGAAAAUGUGACAAGACUUCCCCCAGAAUGCCACAUUCUAGGUAAGAACCUUGGACCUCCACAGUGAUUUUAUGAAAACCGAAUUUAAACUAUCUUUCUUAGACUCUUGAAUCAUGAACACAUAUGGAUUGCAGAUUAUGGUGAAUUUUUUAAUGCUGCACGUUUAGAGGAAUCAUUUAAGCCCCUAGUGAUCCAUGAGACAAUCUUCAUUAUGGCCGAGAGAAGGAUAGGGAUGGCUGCACUUCGAAAUUAGGCCAGAAUAAUUCCACAAAUCACUAAUAUUGACAUCAACUCUUUAGACAAAUCUAGAGAAAAAUUAUUUGUGAGAAAACCCUCCUCAUUAAACAAAACAUAUAAGUCCGUCCCUUCAAUUUCUGAAUCUAAUUUAGGGUCAAAUUCACUAAGAUCAACUGAUUCUUCACUACUAACACUGAUAGGUGAGAAAUUUCGGGCUGGUCUUUAGGAGUUAAAUCAGCUUUGCAUGGGGAGCCUUGCUGACAAGAUGUCUUUGCAAUGGAGGUGGAGGAAUUUGAAAUGUUGAGACACUUCCAAGGAGAAGUGCUAUUUACUGACCUGGAAAAACUCUCAGGGGCCUGGAUUUUAGAGCUGUAAACUUCCAAAAGAUCCGGGUUAUUGGCAGAAACUGAAUGCUUGAUGGUGUUAUUCCGAAAAAAGUCCAAAGGGGGAAUUUUAAGGUCGCAAACCCCAUUUAAUUCAGAUUUUAGCAAGGCAGUCCACACAUUGUUGAAGGAGGUUUGCUUGCGAAUAUAGUGCUUAAGAAUUUUUGGAAUAUGAGAGGACUUACUGUCUUUGCCACACUUGGAAUAGUUGAAAAUACCCACUUCUGAAGAAAGUUGGUCCCCCUGUUCUAACAAAAAGAGAAGAAUGAGAGUUUGAAACGUUUUGUAACGUUUUUUGCAAUGUCUGAUGGGUUGUCCUCCAAAAUGCUUCGGCAAAAUUCGUUACAACUCAAAGAUUUAUUGAAGUGGGCCCCUAUUCUUUUAUUCUUUUCAUUUAAAGACUCAAAAGAGGACUCUUCGACUACUGGAAUAUUAAAAACAGGAUCACUAGAAGUGGACCCUGCUGCCUUCUUGCAAUAGCUAUCUGACUUGGGUUUAGCAAAAUUCAAAAAGGGGGCUUUCAGUUGCUUGUACAUUCAAUUCGUCUUUAACCUGAUUUCCGGCCACUGUUUUCAUCACCGGUGCCGGUGGGAUGGUCGGAAAAAUUUUCAGAAUUUCAAAUGGAUUUCUGCUUCUAGGUAGAGAUGCAAACACUAAUUUCGGGAUUUUCUGAACUAAUGGAAAGACGGAGGGAGCAAAGUCUUCAUCAAUCAAAACUUCUCUAAUCCUCAAACAAUCAAGAGAGUUAUUAAAAUCAUCUCGUAAGUUAGGGGCUUUGAGGGGAAUAUUAUGGUUUAGAAUUCAUAAUCUCCAAAAUGAAGAUAUAUAUUUCCUCUCUUUAGAUCAGUGAUUCCAAUCAUGGAUGGCAUAAAACCACGAGAAUUCUUCUUAACUUGAAUCCGAGCUUCACUAACAUUAAUUAAAUUUAGAGUUUCGAAGGCUAUAUCUAAGAGACCUCCAAAAUAAUCCCCAAUGACCUCAAAGGUACUUCUACACCAAUAAUCCAAGGGAAGGUUUUUAAUUUUGAGCCAACCACCAUAGCCUUUUUGAACGAGUGGCCGACUGUGUUUCAAGUUAUCCCAUCUUUCGAAUUUGAGAUGAAAAUUCCCCCAGGCUUGCCAUUUUCCUUCCUCAUGGAUGAGAUCUAAAAUUGAUUCUUGGUUAAUGCUAGUGAAGGCAUUCUCAUCAUACAAAGGAUUUAUAACAACUUUUUAUUGGAAAAAAGCUUCCAACCUCUUAUGGAUCAAUUUCGGGUCAUCUGAGGCAAAUAAUUUUGUUAUAAUCCAUAAAUUUUCAAAAUUGAUUUUCCCAACUUCAUGAUUCUUAAUCAGCCAAUGCUUCUGUUUUGAAGAGGGAAGAUGGACUGACUUUUGAACCUUCCUUUUUUUUUACUAGGAAUCUGGUCAGUUACCUUAAAUUUAGGUCUUUGAACAGGGGAACUGGAAAGACUUGAUUUUUCCAUUUCAACAUAACUUAGUUUCCCAUUCAAAUUCAGAGGAGGAAUCUGGAGGGAAUUAUUAGAAAACCUUGUAGCAUAAUCCAAUUUUUCGACAAACUUAUCAAGCACUGAGCAAAACAACUUCCAACCUUGCUUCUCACUACCUAAGCACACUCUGAUAUUGAAGAGAUCCCUGAAUAUGGCCAGUGAUCACAGCUCAGUAUCCAACCCAACUUAGCUUGAAACUUUGAAAUUCUCAAUCUGCCUCUAUCGAUAUCCCCAAAUUUCCUAAAGUGUCUACCUACCGGAAAACUGAUAAGAUCUAUCAGUUAACACUGACCAGAUCCAUCUAAGUUGGCAAACGGAUAGAGAGAUGCUUCUGCCAGCUUCUACAUCUUCAAUAAAGAAACUAUCUCCUUUGGCACAAAUGCAGUUGUGUGACCGGUCAAUUUUACAGCUAACCACCUCCAUGGUGAUCUCUGAGACUUAACGGAGAGGACUGCUGAAAAAACAUGGCUGCCGGAGAAGGGAGAUUGGAAGGAGUGGGGUGGAGAGAGGAGAGAGGGAACAGAGAGAACUUACCUUUUGAAACUCACCAUACAAUAGCUAAAACACAGAAACAAAACCAUCAUUAUCACCUUUGGUGAUUUUAUUUUAUUCCUUCCUUUCAUGUAUUGAGUCUUUUUCCUACAUAAGAGAGCAACAGUUAUGCAUUGGAAUACAAACUAAUUUAUUCCACUAAAUUUAACUUGGUAUCAAAAGCCAGCCAGUGUAGCAUUUUACUCCUUUUUCCUCUCUCUCUCUCUCGAUGGGGGGGGGGAGAGAUUGAAGAAAUCUUUCCAUUAAUAUAAAUAUAAGGGAUGGUCAGUGUAUAAAUACUUAGUAUUUAGUAAAAAAAAUUCAAUAUUUUCUUGCACACAAGUGUUUCAGUAUUUGCAGAAAUAAUCCAAAUUGUUAGACAAAAGAGAAACUGUAACCAACUGCAGCUGGCAAAAAAUUGAAAAUCAGAAUUUAGAAUUGUUGCCUCAAAUCCAUCAGACAAUUCUACUGGAGGAAAAGUGAGUUAAGAACCAUUAGAUUAUCUAAUUAUUUUAUGGAGUUCCUGAUCAAGUUACUCAAACGAAACCAUACCUUGAUUGCAUCUUGAAACUUAACUGAUAAUUCUGUUCUGAGGCUUUGACCCUCAGUUGAGACCCGUUUGCAUUCGUCCUGUGUUCAAUUCACGUAGCCGUUAUUAAUUAUUAGAAACUAAAUGAAAUAGAGGAAAGUAAUAAUCGAGAAUGAUAUAGGAAAAUUGGAGAGAAGACGGUGAUUGAGGCACAGUUUGAGCAUAUAUUUCUUUUGGACAAGAAACCAUUUCAUUGAUGAAUUAAAUAUCUAAAGAUCACUGCAAAAACCCAAGUACAAGAUGAACCAACUUUGAGGGUAUAUUCAAAAUUUAUUUUGUUUUUUCUUUCUUUUUUCUAGUUUUGGUAUUGGAGAUCCAACCGUCAAGGCUUCAACCUUCCAAAAGAUAAUAAAGAACUCAUUCACUAAGCCAUUGUUGAAAUGACCUUCCAAUAUUGUUUUUAAAAACUGCUUGGGAUAAACCAACCUUAUAAAACUUAAGUUUAAAAGUUAUUUGAAAAGAUCAUUUUUGUUGCCGUACUUUUCUUUUAUUUUUUUCUUUAUAUAAGCAACAAACAGAGGACAGCCUAAGGGUGAGGGGUUGAGGAACCUCCCCCCUCCAAAAAAAAUACUAAACAAUAAGAGCCCUCCAAUUGUUAAUAAUCUUGGUUGUAAUUACAAAAUAAUUUUGUGUAGUUUUUUUUUUUUUUUUUUUUUUUUUUUUUUUUUUUUUGCAAUCAGGAUGUCCCUACUUUGAAGUGAUUUUAGUUAUUGAAUAUCAUUGAGUUCUAAUCAUGAAAUCAUCACUCCUGAUUGUUUGGUCAUAGACAAGAAUACAUAUCUAAGCAUGAAAUCAACACUAUAGUUGGGCUCAUACAUUUGUACUGUUUGUAACCAAGUAAUUUGUACUGUUCUUUAUUUCUCCUACACAUUUUUUUUUUUAAUAUCCGUGAGUAUCCAAACCAACGUAUGCACAUCUUGACCAAUUUCAUAAGACACAACCUGCCUAACCUUACAACAUUUGAGUGCCAAGGAAACUCAUAGGAAAUUAAUUUCUAGGUAGAUAGCUGUCAUAGAUUGAACCCAUGACCUUUUAGUUAGUUUCCUACAAAUUUAUUAUUAAAUUUAGGUUAUACAAAUAAUUUAGAUAACAUGACAUCAAAGAGAACAUGUCCAAACAACCAAAUCCUGCUCCUGAUUGCUAUUUUUGUGUUUGCCCACUAAAAGAGGCAUGCAACAAGCUUACUUCCACGUACAUGCCUGGCGAAUACCAUACACUUCAAGUGACAACACUCAACACAAGGGUCACGUUAACUUCCACAGUGACAUUAGUUUUUCGUUACAAAUUAACCAAAUAGUUAACAUGCGGAAACCAAAUUUAUAAAUUUAUCAAAGCAUGAUAACUAAAUAUUAAAAAAUAGAAGUACAAUACGUCAAUACCAAAACAUUCCAAAUCACAAAACUGAGGCUAGAGGUGGAAUUAAACUUUAACCUUUGCAUGGAUUAAAUACGUAGAUCAUACCAUUAGCAUUUUAUUUUGACGUUGUAACUCCCUGCAUAGUGACUCCAACUUGUCCCGGACAACAAUAGCUGUGCAUAGAAAAUGAGGACAUUAUAAAUUCAUAGCAUGGCAUUAAAAAACUAAGCAUCAAUCAGAAUGCAUCCAAUUUGAAUAUGAAAGAACAAAAAAAAAAUUCUGAGAGAGAGAGAUGACAGAUGACAGAAUAUUCUUUUGCUAUCAGGAUAUUCAAAUCUUUCACCUAAAUGAAAUAAUAAUAUAAUAAAGUGUCAAUAAAUCCCACAAAGUUUUCUUGACCUCUAAAUAAUUGAAUACAGGGAUUAUAAUACUAUAAAAAAAAGAAUCUGAAAAGACAAAUUGCAAAAAACUCUUCAGUGACCAAACAUAAGACCGAUAUAAACUGCAGCAUUGUGGAUUAUUUUCAGCUUGAUACUAUAACAAAGUAACAAAAAGGUGACUUUUAAAGAAAAUAUACAAGCAACUUUUCAUUGCGGUCGGCUAAAAUGAAAAUUUUCACUUUCAAUCUGAACUGAAGCUAGAGGUUUUACUCAAGAUAUAGGGGGGAAAAGACUCACUCAGCUUAGAAUUUUAUAAAUGAAAAAUCCUUUUGAUUUUUUGAAACAAUUGUCAAACAUCCAGAAAAUCUAAUAGCAAUCAAAGUUCAUACUAGUCUUGUCUUCUAGAGUGCAGGUAGUAUAGAGCUUAAUUUGUUGUUAUACACCGACCUUUUGCACAAAAUGAAUAGCCCACAUGAAUCAUCAUCUGGAAUAAAUAUAAAAAGAACUUGAAAAACAGACAGUAGAGCUUAAUUUGUUGUUAUGCACCAACCUUUUGCACAAAAUGAAUAGCCCACAUGAAUUAUCAUCUGGAAUAAAUAUAAAAAGAACUUGAAAAACAGACAGUAUUGAAAAAGUGAAAAUUUUCAUUUGUUCACUUCUUUACUUGCCUGAAUCUCUUUCUGCAAGAACUUGCUGAUACUUUAAAGUAAAUUCAAGAAACUCCUUUUCUGACUUAAAUGUACGCUUUGGAUUCUUGCGUUUGAGUUCAGCACUUUCCUGAAAGUUAUUGCAACUUAGUAACCCAAAGAAAUUUAUGGCCUUUAAAUAGAAUGGAAAUAUGGGGAGAAAAGUGACCCACAUUUCAAUCCAAUGAAAAGGCCAUUAUUAACUACAACAAUAAAACUAUCAAAGGUCUUUUCACAUUGAUGCACGAUAAAAUUUAUUGAUGGGUAGGGGGAGGACAGAGAUAUGUAUAAUAAGAAGAAGAUGACGACAAAAGAAGAAGCUACUCCUGAUGUCCAGUUCAAGAGCUAAUUUGAAAAUUAUUUUAGUACAACAAUUGUGGGGAUGGGGGAUCGAACCUCCCACCACCUCAAGGAUGAUAGGUCAUGCCAAUUAUCCUUCAGCUAAGCUCACUUUGGUGAAUACUUAAUUGUACUUUGGGUGGCACAUUGAAUCGGUAUUGUUUAUCAAAGAAGUGACAGGAUGCAUUAAUUUCCUAGAUCUAGCAUUAAGCUAACAAAUACAAAAUUAAGAUCAAAACAAAUAAUGUCCAUGCUAAAAUGCAACUUAACCAAGGAAGCAAUGCAAAUUACUCACAUUUUUCGUAGUUUGAACAACCUUUGUCACAGACAUUUCCUUCUCAUGUGCUGUUGAUGCAUCUAACCCUACACCAGUGGCUGAAAGAAGUAAUAAAUAGAUUUUGGUAAUAGGUAUAGCAAAAAUGUGAGCUCCAUGCUCAUUUACACAUCUCAGACCAUCUUCCAGAAAUCGACUCAUCCAAAAAACUUCCAGAACGUUUCAUAUUCUAGAUGGGUGACUUUCUGAACUUGUGACCUCAAAUACGGCAUUUACACUUUGCUUACCCCUAUGACCAAUGGGUCCACAGUUAUUGCGGAAAACAAGACUAAACAAAUUAAUUAUUAGACGGCCGUGUAUUUUACGGUAGGUGAUAGUGCCUACCCUUCCUGUAUUUGAAACAAAAGACUCCAAGCCACUUUUUGGCAUCCAUGAGAAAGAAGCCAACAACGGGUUGAUGUUACAAUAUAAAUGUUCUACUAUGUCACUGAUAUUAGAGAGUUCAUUUUUUUUUAAUGAAAAUUUUAUUCAGAUAAAAAUAAAGAAUACACAGGCAUACAAAAGACUAACCCACAAAGGAGUCCACCUAAAUGGAGGGACUCCAACUCUACAAAAUAGACAAAGUUUCUUCGUAACCAGUUGUUGUUAUGUUUAGUUUAUAUGUCAGUUAGUUAGUCUCAAUUGUAUUAAUAAACAGUCAAGCAGUUGUUUCUAAGCUCUGUUUAAGAGAGUUCUCUGUAUUCUUCUGAUUAAGUAGAUAUAAUCAUAAACUUCGUCUCUUCUAAGUCUGUUAAUUGGAAAAUCAAAACUAAAUUUUCUAAUAUUUGCUAAUUGAUAACUGCCUCAUAGACAUGAAGGACAAGAUCUCUUUUGGCAUCCUUUUCAAAUUUUAUUUUCCCACAUGCUAGUCUCAGCAUUGCUGCAUUUCUCUACUUCUUCUAGUCUUAUUAACAUGAACAUCCAUUCCCUAAGCACACAAUUUUUAGCACCCUACCACAUUCUUGAAUAAAAUUAUUUCUUAUCCAGCAAAAAGAAGGAUGAAACAAAGGAAGGCCAUGUUUAUAUUAGUUCAUCAGUAUUCUGAUUUAGAUCAAUAAUAAUAACAAAGAGUGUGAGCUGCAAGGUAAAUAAACGCACCCUUGUCUGAACUUUGAGACUCGCCUUGAGCUUCUCCUUUUAAUUUUCUGCCGCCAGACUCGUCAAUUGCAGCCUCAUUAGAAGUUUCUUUUACAUUAAGAAUGUCAGUUUCUGCUAGUUCCAUACAACCCUUACCAGCUGUCUUUUCCAAACUCUCCAAAUUAUUAAAUUUUUCUGUUUCAGAUGAAGCAACAGUUAAAGUUUCCAACUUUUGAGUAUUCUCUGAACUACAUUUCUCAAUUUCAACAUUUUCCAUGAUCUCAUGCCUUUGACCAUCGGAAAAAUCAGAUUCUGGUGAAGUUUUUCGUUGGGAAUCUAAUGGCUUUGCUUCUUCAAAAUUCUGUGUUGAAGGUGUUUGAGUUUCUGCAGAGCUUUCAACAAAACCAUCUGGCAGUGAAUCUACUUCAGGAGGGUGAUUUAGACCUGGGUUCUCCAUACCACCUACAUGUUGAACAUUGAUAGUAAGAAUUUUCAUGUAACUCAAUAUGAGAACAUCACAUAUGGUCGGUUAAAAAAAAUCAAAUCAAAAGAUUCUAUCAGUUUUGAUUUAAGCAACAUCACGUACUCAAUUCUAAGCCUUAUCCACACACCAUGAGCUAGUGCAAAGCUCCCAGCCAAUUCGAGAAGUUUAGUAAGCUCUCCCCUUUUCUCUGAGAAUUCUCUACAGACAAAGUAUAAAAACAUAAUAACCUACUCUCCCAUACAUACCAAUGUAUAGCCCUCACUUGCAAAACAUUUUGAUGGGUGGUUUCUCCCUCCUCCCUGACGCAAAACCAACUCCAGCCCCAAACUAGCUAUCGUACUCCUCCAUCAAUGUUGAAUCGGGAUUGGUGGCCUAACACCUUCACAUGAUUAAAUCCGACUAUCAAAUAGCAUGGAGUUUCAAUUCAAAAUCAAAAAGCAAUAAGAGGAGUUUCACAUAUAUCUUAUAAACAUUGUGAGGUCCCUCCAUUUGUCCAAUAUGGGAUCCUCAACAUGUCCUCAAAACAGUACCUCUUAAUGGGUUCAUCAAUCUAAAAUGGUACCCCUUCAUGGGUUCAUCAAUCUUGGAAUUGGACGAAAACAGAAAGAGCAAAAUGAAAGAGCAAAACUGAAGCAAAGUAGAAUCAAAGCUGGACGAAAACAGGGUCGGAAUUGGACAGAAGUGUUUUGUCGGAUCAAAAUGGAACCGAACGAACUAAACUAGAGCAAGUCAGAAUCAAAUUAAACGGGAAAUCUGGGGAGAACAGAACGGAAGCUGAACUGAAUGGAGCAGAGAGGCUUAGCGGAUCUGAACAAAAACAGAAACGAGGCGUCGUUGGAUCUGGGCUUCGAUCUAAACUUUGAAGGCAGACAUGAAGGAUGGGUCUGAACGAAAUUAGACAGAUCUGGAACAGAUUGGAGGCAGACGCGAGGAUCUGAGGACAUGGGGUUUCAUGGUUUUGUUGGGACAGCGUAAGGAGAUGGAGCAACGACAACGAAACGCAGCGGCGAGCGGAGCUUCUUGGAUGACGGAAAAAACUGAAACUCUUCGGCUGGGCGUUCGGCUUCAACUGACAGAGGUUCAAUCGGUUGCUUGGCUAACGGAAAAACAAGAGGUCGGACGAAGAACUAUGAAGGAGAUGGCCGCCACAGACGCUAGUGAAAAACGAAUGGGGUUUCUAGGGUUUGGAUGGUGGCAGAUUUGAACAGCAAUGAGUGACAAAGGGAAGGUGCAACGACAACGGCAAAUUUGCAGAUCUAAGGGGCGGCUUCAGCUAAUGGGAGAUGAUUCUGCCUCCGUUGAUGAAUUAUCAACGGAGGCAGAGAUCAAACGGGAUGUGAAGGCUAGAAUUCAAUAAGGCGAAAACCCUAGAACUCUGAUACCAUGUUGAUUUUAUGGAAUUAAUCUAUAUUUCAUUCAUUAUUUAAUAGAGAUAUAGAUUAAUUCCAUAAAAUCAACACAAACCAAACUUUCCCUCACCACUAUCCUACCAGAAACCCUAUCCCACUAUCAUCUUGGUGUUGGUAACCUCCAUAUCCAAUCAAAAUCCGAAGUUGGUUAGUCCUCGGCCCAAUUCAAACCAAGAGUGCAGGAUACCACCAAAUAACAAUUGGCUAUAUUUCAACAAGAACUUGCAGCUUUUGGAGUCCUUACACACACACCAAGUCCUAGCAUUCUGACCAACUUGCCAAUGUAUUUCAAGAAUCCGAUAACUUCAUUCCCUAAUUUGUCUUCCACUUACAUAUCUGGUUCUGUGGCACAAAAUAAAGGAGUCUUUGCAAGGGAGAAGUUGAAUGGACAAAACUACUUCUCUUGGUCACAAUCUGUUAAAAUGAUCCUUAAGGGGCACUGCAAAUUUGACUUUCUGACAGAAGAGGUACCUCGACCUCCACCAAGUGAUUCUCAGGAAGUUUCUAGAAAGGGGAGGAUUGCCUCAUUUGGUCCAUGCUAAUCAACAAUAUGGAUCAACAGAUUGGCAAGCCCUUGUUAUGUGCUGCAACUGCUAAUGAUAUAUGGACAUAACUCAGAAACUUUAUUCGAAGCGUCGGAAUGCCUCUCGCCUCUACACACUGAGAAAACAAGUCCACGAAUGCAAAUAGGGGACUAUGGAUGUAACAUCCUAUUUUAACGAACUUUCCCUCAUUCAGUAGGAAAUGGAUCUUUGUAGAGAGAUUGUCUAGAACAGUCCCAGUGAUGGCAUACAACACUCUAGACUUAAAGAGGUUGACAAAAUAUAUGACUUUCUUGCUGAUCUCAACUCCAAGUUCGAUGUAGUUUGUGGUCGUAUACUGGGCCAGAGACCUAUUUCCUCCUUGAUGGAGGUCUAUUCUGAAGGCUGCCUUGAGGAGGACUGUACGAGUGCUAUGAAUAUCCUAACCACUCCCGUUAUUGAUUCCUCUGCCUUUGUGCGAGGUCCUCCACUCAUGACAAUGAGAAGAAGAACGGAAAACUUGUCCCUAUCUGUGAGCAUUGCAAGAAACAAUGACACACCAAAGAAACAGUGUUAGAAAUUACAUGGUCGUCUCCAAUGAGGUAAGAAACGUCCUCCAAACAACAAACAGAAUUCAAGGCGAGCAUGUGAGUGAAUCUGCUAGAACCUUCCAACCAUUUGGACUCCCUGAAAACCAAAAUGAUCGUAAUCAAUCCAUACUAGGAUCUAUUACUCCGUCAGGUAUGCCUCAGUCUUAGUUUAUAUGCUACUCAACCCACUCUUUUGGUCUUUCCCCGCAGAAGCAACGUAGUAAUGUCUCCACUCCUCUAUUAACGACUUUCGUUUGACCAUCUGAUUGGGGAUGAUAUGUUGUGCUUCGAUUUAGCUUUGUUCCUGCCAUCCUGACCAACUCCUUCCAAAAGUUACUUAAGAAAAUUUUGUAACGAUCGGAUACUAUAGAGUUGGGGUAUCCAUGUAAUCGAACUAUUUCUUUCACAAAUAAUUUUGUGACUGUCUCGGUUGUAUAUGAGUGUUUUAUUGGUAAAAAAUGCCCAUGCUUGCUCAAACAAUCUACUACAACAAGGAGGACUUCAAACCCCUUUGAUUUAGGCAAUCCUUCAAUAAAAUCCAUGGAGAUAUCACUCCAUAUCUUGCUCGGGAUCUCUAGGGGUACUAACAAUCAGGCAGGUGAUAGUGCUAAUGUCCUGUUCCUUUGGCACACGAGACAUUCUUCACAGUAUUUCUUUAUCACUUGCUUCAUGCCCUCCCAAUGUAAUUCUCCUGCUAUCUCUUAUAGGUUCAUAAGAAACCUGAAUGUCCUCCGAAUACAGAGCCGUGAUACGUAUGGAGGAUUGUAGGAAUUAAAGUUGAGGUAUUCGAAAUGACUAGUCAACUCUUAUACCUCAGCAUCCCUUGUUGAAUGGAAUACUUUUGCCAUUGGCCUUCCUCUCAUUUUUCUACUUCUGUCAUGACUUCCUUCAGGUGCUCACCUUUCUCCAUUUCUUCUUUAAUCACUUGUAAGUCAAUCAGGGUUGGUGCCAUCAGACUACUUAGAUGAAUAGUAGAUGGCAUCUUUGACAAUGCAUCAGCUGCCUUGUUCUCUAAUCCCAGUUUAUACAAUCCUUCAAAUGAAUAGCCUAGAAGCUUAGUUAUCCACUUUUGAUAUUGGGGUUGGGUCACCCUCUGUUCUAGUAAGAAUUUCAAGGAACGUUGGCCAGUUUUCACUAGGAAUUUCCUUCCUAACAGGUAUGGCCUCCAUCUCUGCACAGUCAAUACCACAGCCAUCAGCUCACUUUCGUACACUGGCUUAGCCCGAUCUCUUGCUGCAAGUGUGUGCUAAAGUAUGCAAUUGGUCGUUUGGACUGAAUCAGCACAGCUCCAAUUCCAAAUCCUUAUGUGUCUGUCUCUAUUUCAAAAGGGACAUUAAAGUCAAGUAAUGCCAGUACAGAGAGAGUAAUCAUAGCUUGCUAUAACUUUAGGAAGGCUUCACGAGCUUCUUCAUUCCACUUAAAUCCUCCUAGCUUCAACAAUUGUGUCAAUGGUGCUGCUAAAGAACCACAAUGUUGCACGAAUUUUUUGUAGUAGCCAAUCAACCUAAAAAGCCUCUUACUUCUCGAACAUUGGUAGAGACUGACCACUCCUUGAUGGCUCGUAUCUUUUCAGGAUCCACUUCAACACCUUGUCCUGAUAUGAUGUGCCCUAGAUAAUCCACCCUUUCUUUGGCAAAGCUACAUUUCUUCGAUUGGCGUACAAUUCGUUCUUUCUCAGUGCUUGCAAGGCUAGCCCCAACUGUUGAGUGUGUUUCCAAAUCCUUGCUAUAGAUGAGAAUAUCAUAAAAAAAACUAACACGAACCUCCUCAAGUAUGGCUUGAAUAUUGAAUUCAUCAAGGACUGAAAUGUUGAUGGCGUGUUGGUUAGUCUAAACGGCAUGACCAUGAACUCAUAUGACCUUCGUGAGUACGGAAUGCUGUUUUUUCAAUAUCUUCUCCACACAUACGGAUUUAGUGGUAUCCUGCCUUCAAGUCGAUCUUUGAAAACCACGAAUGCUCCAUUCAAGUCAUCGAACAAUUCUUCAAUGACCGGGAUAGGAAAGUUUUCUGGUAUUGUCACGUUGUUCAACACUCUAUAAUCAACGCAGAACCGCCAGCUUAUCUUUCUUCCUUACCAAUAGCACUGGGCUGGAAUACAGGUUGUUGUUGGGCCGGAUUAUCCCUGAAGUCAGCAUUUCUUCUACAAGUUUCUCCAUUUCAAUUUUUGGUUGGUAUGCAUAGUGAUAUGGCCUUACGUUUACUGGGUCAAUGUCUUUCUUCAGAUGGAUGUGGUGCUCAAUUUCUCUUCUUGGUAGUAGUUUCUCAGGCCAAGUGAACACAUCCUCGUAUUUCUUUGAAACUACAGCUACUGAUUCUUCCACUUUCAAUACUUCUUCUUCUUCUCUUAUUACUAGUCUUCCUUCAACGACGCAGCAUUCAACUAAGAAUCCUUGGUCAGAAUUAUCCCAAGUUUUCAUCAUUUUCUUCAAGCUGACCCUGGAUUUGGUUAAGCUAGGAUCUCCUUUGAUGACUACUAUUUUGCCUUUAUGGAUGAAUGUCAUAGUCAAGUUCUUCCAAUCUACUUCAGUGAUGCCCAAGGAAUACAACCACUGCAUACCCAAUACUACCUCUACCCCUCUUAACUCCAAUGGUAGGAAGUUGGCUACUACUUUCCAUCCACUCAAUACUACUUCUACUGCUUUGCAAAUCCCCUUGCCUUUCACUGUUGUGCCGGACCCCAUAGUGUGAGGUAUCUUUAGUUGCAAGUUGUAACUCUUCUACUACGUGAUUAGAGAUGAAGUUAUGGGUAGCCCCACAAUCAAUCAGAAUCACUACUAAUCUACUUCCCUUUCUUUGAUCUUUCCUUUGACCUUCGUAGUGCCUAGGUUAGAUAAUCCCACAACUGAGUUAAUGGAUAGUAUUAAACCACCAAUUCAUCCAAAAGCUUAAGUUGGUGGUUGAAGGCAAAUUUAAUUAUAUAUCACCAACACUCCCCCUCACUUGUGGGCUUGAAAUAUUUGAAAGGCCCAACAAGUGGAAAUUGAUUUUAAUUGGGGAGGAAAUGACAAUGCAGGGGCUUGAACACAGGACCUCCCUGGACCACCUGCUCUGAUACUAUAUUAAAUUUGAUAGUAUGGGGUUCCAUCUCAAAACCAAUUGGCAAUGAGAGGAGUAGCUCAUCUAUAUUAUAUGGAAUAUGAGUCCUCUUGGUUUUUCCAAUGUAAGACUUAAUAUCUCCAAUAUGCCCCCUCAAGAUGGUGUCUCUUUGGGUUCACCUAUCUUGGACCAAAUACCUGUUUGGGCUUACUAGGCUCUGAUACCAUGUUGAAAGGAGAGACAAAGAGCACACACCAAUUUACGUGGAAACCCAAGUACCGGGAGAAAAACCACGAUUGUUUGUUGUUAUUAUUCUUUAAUGAAUAAUACAAUAGGUACAAGGGAGAAUAAAUAGAGAAUACAAGAGAAUAAAAAAGGAAAAGAUUUGGAAAAUAUGGAAAAUAUUUCCAUAAACAUUCUUGGAUUCUAACAAGAAAAAUAUUUAGAAAAUAAGAAACAGAUUCCAACAAAUAGUUCUAUAACAGUCUGGUCAUCCCCUGCCACUUCUACCAUGUUCAGUUUCUUUUUUGUGUCCUCCAAGUCUUCUAAGAUCUCCCAUUCUUCAUUGUCGGUCUUGACUACAAACAUCAUGAGUUCCCUCUGCUCUUUCACCUUGCAUUUAUGGCCAUGAGAAAAUUUAUCAUUGCAACGAAAACAUAGGCCUUUCUCCUUCCUAGCCUGAAAUUCCGCAACACUCAGCCUCUUUGAUGGUCCUUCCUAAUUUUGCUUCUCCUGGCCCUACUUCUCUCAAAGUGAUGGUCCUCAUAGGUAACGUGGUGUUACCUUUGUUCUCACUGUUACUCCCACCCUAGGUUUAGAUUUCAAAAAUUUGGAAUAGUAAGAAUUACCUCAUGCGCAUCCUUGGAUAUUAGCCUCAUUACAAAUGAUCUCUCAGUUCUCCACGAGUUGUGCUAACUGCAUCAUUUGGACUAGACCGACCGUUCGGCCGAAUUUGACUUCUGCCUUGAUCCACGGUAACAACCCAUUCAAAAAGGUUUGUUCAACCACUUAAUCUUGCAGGUUGGAUAAUGGCACCAUUAACUUGUCAAACAGAUUUUGGCAUUCUUCUACCGUGGUUUCUUGUCUGAUUCUCAGGAAUUGGCCACAUAUCAAUCCUUCCCUCGCUGAUUGAAAUCGUACCAACAACCUCUGGUAUAGAUUCGACCAUCCCAUGAAUUUUUUCCGUUUUUCUUGAGCCUUGUACCAAUUCAAUGCUGGUCCAUCGAAGCUGAUAGUUGCAACCGUCAUUUUUUUAGAAUCCGUCAGCUUGUGAAUUUGGAAGUACCUAUCGGCACGAAAUAGCCAAGAGUCUGGAUCUUCACCAUUGAACACAGGCAUUUCUACCUUCUUGAAUUUAUUUCGGUCACUACUCUUAUCACCCUCCUCCUUCUCGUUUGAAUUCGGUUCUUCAUUUGAUUCCAACAUUUUCGCUUCCAUUUUGCUGGAUGCCUUUUCUAAUUCUGGUGUUGAUGAAGAUGAAUUUUUCAUCAUACUCUCAAUAUAUUUCAAAAUCUUUUGCUGCUGCGUGUUCAGUUCGUUUUGUACAUCGAUCUUCUCCAUGUGUUUCGUCAUUUUGGUUUCGAGCUCUGGCAAUUGCUGUAGGUCCAUUUUCAUGUUUGCGAUUUCUUGCUCCAUGUUUUCAAACAUUUCCUCCAUCUGUUUCAUCAUCUUUUGUCGCUUGCCCAGGAUGAUCACGCUCUAAUACCAAUAUAAUGGAACCCACACUUGAUAUCAAGGUAAACUUUAUUGAUAGUAUUCGACAACCGCUCUUAGUGAACUCAACUACCGAAUUGAGAAUGCCUCAAUUCGGAACUCUAGCUCCUUUGUUACCUUGUCUUUCAAAGGUGCACACAAGCCUAACUCACUUUCUCACUAAAAUCUUCUCUCCUUAUCUCUCUUCCUUAGCAUUUAUUUAUACUAACUCUCAACUACCCGACUUAACUGACUCUUAACUACUCGACUAACAGACUAACUAACUUUUCUUCAUCCUUCUACUAUAUUGGUGUAUGAUAGGGGGUCUAUCAGCCUCCUUUCCUUCACAACCAUAUAAACCAACCCAACCUUUCACCCUUAUCCACAGGUUUGGGGGCGCUCCAAGGUUACUACCUCUUCCACAAAACGGUGGUUUGUAACCUUAAUUAAUGAUCAUACCCACCUUGCUUGGGUUUUCCUCGUCUUUGACAAAUCUAAGGUCACUUCCACAUUCCAAAACUUCUAUCACACCGUAGAAAUGCAGUUCAACAUCAAAAUUGCAAUUUACGAAGUGACAGUGGUCGUGAGUUUCAAAACCAUACCCUUAAUGAGUUUAUGUCCUCCAAAGAGAUUGUCCACCAGAGUUUCUGUGCGUACACUCCCCAGCAAAAUGGAGUUGACGAGCGAAAAAACCACCUUAUGGUAGUAGCCAGCUCCCUAUGUUGUCUACUUCUGUUCCAUCCUAUCUGUGGGACGAUGUUGUCCUCACUGCAACUCAUCUUAUUAAUCGGACGGCAUAUCGUGUUCUCCACCUCCAGACCCCAUUAGAAUACUCAAGGAGUCUUAUCCUUCUACCUGUUUCAUUCUUGAGGUUCCCCUUCGAGUGUUCAGGUGCACGACCCACAUUCAUAGCCAUGGCCCUAACCAGACCAAGUUCACCCCUCUGGCUCAGGCUUGUGUGUUCGUUGGGUAUCCUCUUCAUCAACAGGGCUAUAAAUGUUUCCAUGGAUGUCACUUUCCUUAAGGAUCGUCCUUUCUUUCCCGUUAGUUCGCUUCAGGGGGAGAGUGUAAAUAAAUAGCCUAACUGUGUGAUUCCCUUAGAUCUACUAGUCCUACUCUCGUAACCUUACCCAACCCCAAUCCUUACAACACGGUCUUACCAACAAACCAAGUUCCCUAGAUAACCUACUAUAGGAGAAUCUCAAAAAGGGAGUUGGGUCCCCUACCAUUCAGCUGGCUAAAAUCCAAGAUUUUGAACCAUCACAAGAUCAAGGUAUGACUGAAUCUAUUGACUCAUAUGUUGACAAUAAAAUGGGUGAGAAUGACAAGUCCAAUAUAGUUGUUCCUGAAGAUACAAGUGAAAGGGGCAGUGUUGAUGAGAUUUAGGUCAUGGCAGAAACUGCAGGAGAUGAGAUUAAACAAGAUCAUUCAAGUAAUUUUGAUGAGUAUGAUCCGUCUCUUGACAUACCUAUUGUGCUGAGGAAAGGUAUCAGGUCCUGCACGAAGCACUCCAUCUGUAACUAUGUAUCUUACAAGAACCUAUCACCCUAGUUGAGAGUCUUAACAGCCAGUCUUGACUCCACCACGAUACCUAAGAAUAUCCACAUUUCCUCAGAGUGUCCUGAGUGGAAAGCUAUAGCCAUGGGAGAGAUGAGAGCCCUUGAAAAGAACAAGACUUGGAAGCUCUGUGCUCUUCCUAAGGGGCAUAAAACCGUGGGAUGUAAGUGAGUGUUUACCCUCAAGUACAAAACAGAUGGAACUCUUGAUAGAUACAAGGCCAAGUUAGUUGCAAAAGGAUUUACUCAGACUUAUGGGGUCGACUACUCUGAGACUCUUUCUCCUGUUGCAAAGUUAAAUACCGUUAGGAUCCUUCUGUCUGUUGCUAUAAAUAAAAAUUGGCCCUUAUAUCAGCUAGAUGUUAAGAAAACUUUCAUAAAUGGAGAUUUAGAAGAGGAAGUCUAUGUGAGUCCCCCUCCAGGCUUUGAAGCCCAAUUUGACCAUCGGGUUUGCAAGCUUCAUAAAUCCUUGUAUGGGUUGAAACAAUCACUGACAGCAUGGUUUGACAAGUUCACCACCUUUGUCAAGUCCAAAGGGUACAAUCUAGGACACUCUGAUUACACUCUGUUUACAGAAGUCUCCAAGUCCGGGAAGAUUGCUAUGUUGAUCGUCUACGUUGAUGAUAUUGUGCUAUCUAUAGAUGACACCGUUGAAAUUGUCCAACUAAAAAAGAAUAUGAGGGAUGAAUUUGAAAUUAAAGAUUUAGGGAAUCUAAAGUACUUCCUUGGGGUGGAGGUAGCCAGAUCUAAAGAAGGUAUCUCUAUAUCUCAAAGAAAGUACCCUCUUGAUUUGUUAAUAGAAACAGGUAUGAUGGGAUGCAGAACUGCUGAUACACCUAUAAAAUUCAAUGCUAAAUUGGGAAAUUCUAUUGAUAAAGUUCCAGUUGAUAAAGAAAAAUAUCAACACCUGCUGGGGAAGUUGAUCUACUUAUCUCACACUUGACUAGAUAUCUCCUAUACUAUAAGUACCAUUAGUCAGUUCAUGUAGACUCCUUACAAGGAACACCUGGAGGCAAGGAACAGAAUUCUGAGGUAUUUGAAAACGACUCUUAGUAAAAGGUUGAUGUUUAGGAAGACUGACAGAAGGUUUAUUGAGGCUUAUACUGAUUCUGACUGGGCAGAGUCUGUUGUUGACAAAAAAUCCACCUCUAGGUACUAUAUUUUUGUGUGGGGCAAUCUCGUAACUUCGAGGAGUAAAAGCAAAGGGUUGUGACAAGAAACGAUGUUGAAGUUGAGUACAAAGGUAUUAGUUUGGGGGUAUGUGAGGAGAUUUGGCUACAAAAGGUUUUAUCUUCUUGGUCAAGAUUAUGAGGUGCCUAUGAAAAUAUUUUGCGAUACCAAGGCAACUAUUAGCAUUGUAACAACCCAGUUAAACAUGAUAGAACAAAACAUGUGGAGAUUGAUAGACACUUUAUUAAAGAAAGAUCGGACAAUGGUAGCAUAUACAUUCCUUACAUUCCCUCAAAUCAACAAGUUGUUGAUAUUUUCACCAAUGGGCUUUUCAGACAAAGUUUGGACUCUUGUGUUAGCAAGGUGGGUUUUAUUGACAUUUACGUUCCAACUUGAGGUGAAGUGUUAGAAUUUGUGGGCUUGAUGUGUGUUGGAAUGCCAAGAGUAGUUAUGUAAAUUAUGAUUACCCUAAUUAUUUUUUUCCCUUUUUAUUAAAAUUCUUGUAUCCUAUUAGUCUUCCCCCUCUUAUAUCUUUGGUUAUUUCUCUUCAAUAGUUUGCUUGAUGAAACUUUAUAUGUAACCUCAAGAAACCAACUAAAAUAACAGACAGGAUCAACCAAAACAUUGCACUCAAGAUGCAAACAAGAAAACUUCAGCAAAAAUUUUAAAAUUUGACAGAGAAAUGGUAUACUCACGAAAACUUGCAGGAUUGCACGACGUUUACAUCCUAAAAACCCUCACAAAAUAUAAAAAUUAACGAGAAGCACCCAUUUCCUCCCUAAAACGGUCCGCGACAUGCAGUUCGCUACAUUUUCCGAGUAACAGAACAACAAAACAGAAGGCAAAGGAAAUCCUACUAUAGCAAACUGAGAAAUCAGUGCAAUUUCUGUAGAAAUUUGAAGAUCAUAGGUAGAAAAAGGGAAGAAGAAAAGGAGAGAAUUACCAGGUUGUUUAAGGGUGGUGAAGUUGAGACCGGCAGAGCGAUCUACGGUGAUCUUUCCGUGAGUUAGUCUAGUCAGUGAAGGUCCCUCGAACCGAUUUCAACAGUGUGCCUUACAACCUGAUUUUCUUGUUUUUCUUCAAAACUGUAUUUGUCCACUUUCUUUAUUUACUGAACUUUUCAAAAUAAUAAUAUAAUAAUUUUUUAUUAAAUUUUUUUUUCAACCUUUUAAUUUUGGUUAAUUUUGCAGAGAAGAAAAUUUGAUAAAUGAAGAAAGUUUGUAAAGAAAAAAAAUUUGAUAGAAGGAGUGUGUAGGAAGAAAAUUUCAUUAUUUAUCUUAUUAUCUUUACAUUUUUUUCUCUUUUAUCUUAAACAAAUCAAAUAUCAUGUUCAAAUAAAUUUAGUUGGAGGUUGUGUGUGAUAGAGAUUUAUUUUCAAUGAUUCGCACUACCUCGUUGAUAAGUAAUUUUCUUAUUUUUUUUCUCUAAUUUUAUUAUUUUCUUGAUACUUUGUUUCUCUUUUAUUAUCGUUAUUUUUUUUAAAAAAAAAUCCUUUUAACAUUUUUUCUCUCUAAAAUAUAGAAAAAAACAUAAGGAAAAUGUUUAGUUUCUUUAUCCACAGUUAUUUCUUUAUUUACAGUUAUUUCAUUAUUGUUUUUCAGUAUUACUAUUUUCUUUUCUUAUUAUUAUUUUCUUACUUUUAUUUUAUUACUAUUAAGUUUUUUCCUUUUUACUUAUUCUUAUCCUUAUUAUUGUUAUUAUUAUUAUUUAUUAUAAUAAUAAUAAUUAUUAUUAUUAUUAUUAUUAAUUGAUAAUUAUUAUUAUAUAAUAAUUUAUGGUGCCGCCAUUUCUCUCUUUUUUUUUCUUUCUUUCUUUAUAAAUUAUUUUCCUUUUUUUCUUUUUUCUUUCCUUAUUUUAUUUAUUGCCAUUAUGUCUUUUUCAUUUUUACUUAUUUACAUUACAAUUAUAAUAAUUAUUAUAAUUAUUAUAUGUGCUUAAAUUUAUGUAUGCAUAUUUUUCUUUACAUUUUACAUUGAAUUUAUCUAGACAAUAUUACCCUAUUAUUUUAUAUUAAUUAAUUAGUUUUUUUUUCUUUCAUAUUUGUCUUUACAUUUUAUCGUUCUUACACAACUCAGAUGGAAUUAGAAAUAUAUUGAAAUCUGAAUUUCUAAAUUCUUGAAGUGAGAAAAUCAGUUGUUUGAGAGUCCAAGAUCAAUCUUCAAUAUAUGUUUAAAAAGUAAUAAAAAUGGUAUCUUAUUUGUUUAAUUUACUGUGUGAUAUAUUUGAUUCUAUAUUGUGUAUUAUUUUCUAUUUGACUUAAUUUUGAAAUCUUUCUUAAACUUUUUUAACAAUUUAGAAAUAUUUUCCUUAAAACUAUUUUUUAAAUACUUUUAAAUUUUAAAUAUAAAUUUAUAUUUCAUAAGGUUUCCUAAUCAACCGUUUUUUUAAUAAUUCACAUCUAUUUUCUAAAAUAAAUCCUACGAUUGAAUCUAAAACUUGUUGGGAGUCCGAUUGAAUCUAAAACUUAUUGGGAGUCCGUUAUUUCUAGAUUCUUGAGGUGGAGGAACAAUAUUUUUUGAAGUUCGAGAUUUGAUUUCAAGAAAAAAUGAAUUUAAUCAAUGUUUUAAAAAAUCUUUAUUUGAAAACUAGCCUAUGAUAAAUUUUAAGAAAUUGUAAUAAUUUUUUCAUUUUCUUAAGGUGAGAAAUUUUCUUCAAUAUAUAGUUUAAUUAAUGAAAUAUUAUUCAACUUAUUUUAUAAGAUGAUUGCUUCAAAUAUUGGAGUAAUGAAGGGUAAAAUAAGACAUUAUUUUUAAAAUAAAUUAAAAAAUAUUUUCAAUUCUAUAUUUGAAAUUUGGCUACCGUUUUUUCUAAAUGGGUGUUGUGGGUACUAAUACAUUCCUCAUACAAAAUGACUCUCAAACUCAACUCUAUUUUACGCAGACCAUUUUUAAAAAAAAUUGUUUACUUUAUUUCGGUGUCCAAUCACUCCAUAAAAAAGAUCAAUGGUGACUCCUAUUUUCUUUUAAAUCUAACUCUUUUAAAGACGUCGAUCGCUCCGCGUUGUCUCAGGCACGUGGUGACAGCUUGGUGACUCUAUUGGGGACAUGAGACUCUACCUCGAGAGUUUGAUCAUGUUCUUCUUUAUCUUGAAUUGGUCAAAAAUCGUACAUGACAAUGACUAAAUUAAACAAACCAUCGAUCUAUACAAUGAGAUUAGCCUCAUUGUUGUCCACGCACAUUGUUCGUUGACCCUCCCUAUAACAUAUCUGUAAUGCCUCAAGUCCAGGACCUCCCUAUAACAUAUUUGUAAUGCCUUAGGUCCAGGAUUUGUCCUAGGAUUUUGAAUUCAAAUUCCUGACAUUCCCCUGCAACCUGACAUCAUUAUCCUUAUUAUUCUUUAAUGCUUAUUAGAGUGAAAGUUCUUUCCACAAACCAAUACGAAUUCUUUCAACAUGUUUUGUCCUCACUCACAUGCAUCCUAGAAAUAUUCUCAAGAUGUCACCCAACAUAGAAUUGCUUCAAAGUAAGCACGCUUAACUUAGAAGUUUCUAUAAUCAAGCCAUCGAAAAGGAAGGUACGCCUUAUUGGUAUAAGUAUUAACUAUUAAUUCUUUUUAAGUUUUUUUUUAACAUUACUUUCAUGUUCUCAGGAUCCUUCUCAUUCAGAUGUGAUAAUGGUUCAUUCAUGUCUCCCUCCUAAUCUCGAGCGUUACAAUAUUGGAGAUUGAAGUAGACAAGUCUUUGGUGCAUUCCAAACCAACCGAGUUGUCGAUGUAUUCCAAGAACCUGAUAACUUUGUUCCCUAAUUUGCCUUUGAAUUAUAUAAGUGGCUCUUUGGGGUGAUCUACAUGGAAUUUUCAAGGUGAGAAAUUAAAUGAGCAAAAUUAUUUUCAUGGUCUCAAUCAAUAAAGAUGUUCCUUGAAGGACGCCACUAGACCAGGUUCUUGACCGAAGAGACUUUUUGUCCUCCACCAAGUGACAUCUUGGAAUGAUUCUGGAAAAGAAACGACUCACUCAUUCGGUCCAUGUUGAUUAAUAGUAUGGAACCUCAAAUCGACAAGCCUCUCUUGUACACAACCACCAUAAAAGAUUUGUGGGAUACAACUCAGACCUUUUACUGUAAGCGUCAGAAUGUCUCUCAAUUGUACACAAUGAGAAUAUAGGUCCAUAAUUGCAAGCAAUGAACCCUAGGCGUGACUUCUUAUUUCAAUAAGCUCCCCCUUCUUUGGUAAGUUUGUGUAAGGAGACAGUUUAGGACAUGUCAAAUGACAGUAUACAAUAUGCUAAACUUGGGGAGACUGAUCUAAUCCCAAAUUUGAUAUUGUUUGUGGUCGUCUACUCGAACAAAAGAUCUCUUCUCUCCCUAAUGGAACUGUGUUUUGAAGUUCGUCUUGAAGAAGAUCGUACUAAUAUCAUGGGUGUACUGACUACCCCCAUGACUAACUCUGCUGUCUUUAGUGUCCAGUCCCCGACUCAUGAUAAUGACAAAAAUAAUGGAAAAAAAUCUCUAUUUGUGAGUACUGCAAGAAACAGUGGCACAUCAAGGAUACUCACAGAUAUAAAAAAAAUGCAUGGACUCCAAACAUCACUAUGAAUAAGGGUGAAAGGUUGAGUGGGUUUAUAUGGUUGCAAGGAAAAGGAAACUAAAUAUACUUACAUUUCUCUAAAUGUUUGUUUCAUUUGUCAAACAGUACAUUCAAUAGAGUUAUGUUCAUUAUCUUGUUGUAGUCUAUGAUGUCAGGUGGAGAGAGAUUCACAAACUUAAGUAACUAAUGAAAGAUACAGAGGAGUUAGCAUAGCAAUGUAUAUUUCCAUUAUAUAUUUUGAAAGACUUCCAAGCAAUCAGUACACUCCAAAUUAUUACAAAGAACAAGUACACAAACAGCUAAUAGAUGGUACAAAAUCCUUUUUCAUACAAACUUGAUUUUAAUAAAUCAAUCCCAUCAAUAAGAAAAAAAAAAUCCUUUUCACUUUUCUUUAAAAAAAAUCAAAAUCCCACCAACAAGUUGGAGGGUUUUACCAUUCAAAUUUACAUUCAAGCUCCGUCUUCCCGGGAAAAAAAUCUAAAAUAAAAGAAAAAAAGAAUAGAGAUGGAUUCUAAAUCUUACUUGUCCCUUGGGAACUUUGAUGAUGAACGACAAGAGCUUCAACAAAGAACAAAUGGCGAGAAUUUCAUUUUUUCUAAAGAAGAAGAGACUUUUGAUAGAGGAAGAGAGACGUCAGACAACAAUGAAGGAGUUAAAGGCAUUCAAUAGUCUAAUGAUGGAUAAACUGAAAACCAAACUGAACUUCAAUACUAUUACAUUUAUUAACCAGUCAAAACCAAACCGAAUCGAAUCGGUCCGAUUUGGUCCAAAGAUUCGGUUCAGUUUUUUACAUCCCCCAUGCAGAUUUACUUGCUUGAAACCUUUUACGACUUUGAAAAUAUAUAAAAAAACCACCCUCACUCUAAACUUGAACUGAUUUAACUUUCACUCUAAACCUAACAAAAAUCAAUUUGAAUCCAAAAUGAAUAACAAUAUCGUUCAAACUUUUUUGAAGUUUAGAAAGCAAAAACAGCAAAAUUGUCCCUAUCUCACUUCAUAAUUAAGUUAAGUUAUUUUGAUUUUUAGCUAAAAGUUCUAGUAGUAAUUUUAGAACCAUAAAAGAGUUUGAAUGUGAUUAAGGACCAAAACUUUAGUCCAGUAAAACAAGAUGUUUCCAAACUAUUGCAAGUUUUUUCACAGAUGCAUCUAUUUCCUCCUGUUUAUGGUACCAAAAAUACACACAUCUAAUGGAAACAUAAAGGCACUACAGACACUACACUGAAAUGAUUUGUUUCUGGUCCUACAUCAUCAGUUUGAUCUCCAUAAAUUCCUACCGAAGAAAAAUUGCUCAACGAUUUUGGAAGUCAACAGCGAGUUUUCCCUUUCAACAUACUGUAAAAGUAUAAUUACAUGAGAAAGAACAUAACAAUUAAGGGUUAGCUUGUUACCAUUGGUCAACACGAGAGCUUCACAUAUACACCUAUCACUUCAAAAAUACCAUUUUAGCUGCAUGUUACAGAAACAAACGAACUAGAAGCGACUAAGAUUCGAUAUCUAAGUAUGUGCAGGCAUAAAAUAAACAGGAGUGCAUCUGCUUCAGAGGUGAAAAAUUGGUAUCAUCAAUUGCAUCUCAAGUAGAGGCUUUUUUAGAUUUUUUCUUAGCUGUUCUGGCUAUAGCAUCACAAAUCUCUUUUUUCCUUUUGUUGUUACUGUUGAUGUUAUUGCUGUUUGUAUGGUUUUGGUUGUUGCCACCACCUGUGCUUGCCGAGCUCUUGGCAUGAACUUCAAGGGCAUCUUUAACAAAAAACUUCAACCGCCAUAAUGUAGAUUCACUCUACAUGAUACAACCAUAAACUCGAUUAAUCAUUGUCAUAGACAAAUAUAAGGCACACGAGGAGUGAAGGAAGGUACCUGUGCAUCGAUAUCAAGAUCCACCUCCUCAGCAGUAGCCUGGAAACUUGGGUUAUUUUCAGCUACAAUCUCCAACGCUUUGCUGAUAUCUUCUGGAGACAAUUUGGUGAGGGCUGCUCCAAGCUUCCUCUUUUCUUCAGUUGAUAUUUUUCUGAACCACACAAUGAUAGUAUCAGUAUACUCCAUCUAUGGGGUGCAAGUCAUCUUCUAAUGUCACAAAGCACAUCAAUCCCAUAAAUUGCCAAUCCUCAACCACAAAAUAGUAAGGAUAUUUAGAGGAGGUGGAGAAGAAUCCUACGGAAAUUUGGUUACUCAUAUUUCUUUGUGGCCUUUGAUUUCAAAGACUAUUUGUAACUAUUCUAUAGGCACUAUUUCAUAUAGUUGGAGUCCUAUUAGAUACCCUAGAUUAUAGGGCAGGUGUAUAAGGGUAAUUAGAUUUGUUGGUAGUUAGAUGGUUAUAAAUAGGAAGUUGGGGAGGGAAGAAGGGCAUGAAGAUUUUGGUGAAGAUAAUAGGCUGCAACAUUCCUUGAAAGAAAGGAAGGGCAGAGGGUUAGGGUUCCUUUUAAGUGUUGUUGAAUUUACUUUUACUUGUUUGUUCUUUUAUAUUGUAAUUUCUGUUUGAGAUAUCAAUAAAAUUGAAACACUCUAUCAGUGUUCUAACAAGUCCCUUCUUGUGGAGGUAGCAACCUCUAUUGUGAUUUCUUUUUUACUAUGCCCGGGUAUUUUUUCAUUGUUUGCUCAAUGAAAGUUGUGGUUUUUAUAUAUAAAAAGGGAGAAAAUGGAAUUACAUAUGAUUGGUAAAAGUUUUUUAUUUGGGGCACACAACACAUGCCACUCAAAUGCCAAAUUCUGAAUAUGCUAUAGGCGAAUGUGAUGCAUUUAUAUUGAUGCAUGGUACCUGAAUGCAAGUUCAAAAGCUGAAAUUUGGAACGAGAAAAGUGAGAACAAACCUGCAGUUCUGCACAACCAGUUCUCGAAGCUCUUCUAGUUGCAUAUCUACCUCGUAAAUCUGAAAACAGUUCAUAUCCCACGUUUAAACAGUCAAUUGUGUUUCCCAUUUAAGGUAAUAGAAAGAACAAGAGGAUGCAGGUCAUCUCUAAACAAACUCUCUCUAAGUAGCUAGAUCCAUGGAAUAAGAUGGACACCCGACCUCAUUACUUAUAUCCCUAGCCAUUUUUGCUUGAGCAGCCUCCUGAGCAAGCUGCAUGUCCAACAGAGCUUCUGCUUCCUCGUCCUCUCGUCUCUUUUCCUGGAAGGUGAGGUCUUUAGAACUUCAAGUAUAUUUUUUAACAUAUCCUUUGAACAAAUGAAACCAUGUUGGCACCAUGAAUUGAUUAAGGAACAUUGAUCCAUUUAAGAACCAUUCUCAAAACUAACUUACCUCUUCAGUGACUUUAGGUAGAAGUUGAAGCCAUUUUUCUUCAAACUUUGCGAGCAAAGUCUUGGCCAUCACGUGAACAUCACUUCUCUCAUCAUUAUAUUUCAUUGCAUUCUUGAAGACUAAUCUCACGUCAGAACAUAUUUCUCUCACAUUCUUAUAUCCAGUACCAUCCUUAGCCUCCAUUUGAUUUUUUAUUGUACUGAAGUCCAUAGGCUUGUCAAUAACCUAAUAAAUACAGUACAGUACAUAUGUUAGCUGAAGGAUUACAGAACCAGAGUACAUACCAAAGAUGCUAAAAUAUGCACAUGCCCAUCACACCUAAUUGCAGAAGAAGCUACAUUUGUAAAUACACUCAUAUCAUUUAAACAUUUUUGAGGUAAAUGUAUGCAUAUUGAAUGUUCAUCUUAGACAGAAUAGAAAACACAACCUAUAAGACAUGCAUGAAAUUAGUGCAGUCUAGACAAACCACAGGAAAAAUACACACAAAAAAGGUGAUGCAAGCAUGAAAGAUGAGCCUCUUCUAGGCUUUUAGGACAAACAAGAGACGCAACAUCAUGCCUAAACAUUAUAAACACAGCCAACCUCCUCUAACCAAAUUCUCUCGAAAUCUUCAUUUGAAGAAAUAUAUAUAGCACUGCUUAAACUCAGUGGGUAGUCCAGCCUAACUUGGAAAAAAGACUUAUGAUAGUGAUGUGAAAUCCAUGCAUUAUUUUUUUAUAUCCGUGAGUAUUCGGGCCAACUUAUGUGCACCUCAACUAAUCUCACGAAACAACCGCCAGACCGUACAACAUUUGGAUGUCAAGGGAACUCGUAGGAAAUUAAUUCCUAAGUAGGUGGCCACUAAUGAUUGAACCCAUGACCUCUUAGUUAGAUAUUGAGACUGUCUCCCUUUUUACCACUAGGGCAACCUAUAAUGGUUGAAAUCCAUACAUCUUAUUAGAUAGGGAUAUAGACCUCACCUCAUAAUAAUCAUGUAAUCCAAGACCUUCCACAUCCACUGGCUGCAUAAAAGGCCAGGCCCACUUAUGCUGUGAUAUCUGAAAGUCAAUGCAGAAAUAUAAAAACCAUGUCCAACUAUAGCUCUUGUUCCAAAUAAUUAUCGACAGAAAUUGAAAUAAAUGUAAGAACACAAACAAUUAUCGACAGAAAUUGAAAUAAAUGGCAGUGAGUCUGUAACCUGACGCAAUAUUGUCCCAAACUGCCGCAUGAGUUCUUGCAUUCUCUUUGUAGCUGCAGCUUCUCUGCGAGCUGCUUCUUGCUGCUGCUUUUUAAUACUUGGAACAUGUCUUUCCUUAUCUUUAUCCUUUACAAUAGAGCUGCCUUUAUUACCAUUUGGUUGCUUCUUUUUCAGCGUCAAAUAGAAUUGUUCUAUCUCAUUCACAUUUUGCUCAAGCUGCAAGCAUAGAAGAAAGCUCAAGAUUUGAAACUAACAAUUUGACGAGCAAAAGGAUAGCUAAUUUGGAAGGAUACAUCUGAACAAAAAAACUUAUGAUCCAGCUGAACUACUAUCAAAUUUUACAUAACAUUGCUAUCCUAAAAUUUGAAACUGGUCUCUCGAGUCAUUUCAUUGUCCAAAUUUUGAUCAAGAUGUGAGUCUGUGAGGUGAUGAAUUAAAUGAUGGUAUCUGUCAUUGUGGGAUAAAUACACACAUGAUGAAUAGGAGUCUUUCCUCCACUUAAUUAUAUUCCUCUCGUUUCACUUGUCAUGUUUGUGAAUUAAGUAGCCUGUCAUACCAUCUCCUUUCAUAUAUUUAUAUAAGCUAAUCUCAAUGUGAAAAAAAUGAAAAAAAAAAAAAUGCAAGGACGUACCAAAAAAUAAGCUAGGGAGCACCCUAUAAAAAGGGAUCCAGUCAAGAAAACUAAGAUGUGGUGAAUGACUACAAAGGAGAUUCGUCACCAACACCCAAAGAGAACUUUUGUUAUAUAUAAGAAGAUUUUCAUGAUAAAAUGAAAUAAAGGGAUAAACCCAAACACCAGAAGGUGAUUACAGAAAAUAAUGCCAAUUAAAGACUAAAUAGGAGAGACCACAGAGAGAUAUUAAAUCUCACAAGGAACCAAACAUUAGAAGACUCCCUCUUAAUCCCCCUAAAAGUUCUAUCCCCGAAUACCCCACAUCACAGCAUACAUCCCAACUUGGUUGUCAUACCAUCUGAUCUUAAAUUGUGACUUCUUUUUUUUAACGAGAAACAAAUUUGAUAAGGAAGGAAAUGACUUUCAAAUAGUAACUAAAUGUUUUCAUCUCAAUCAUUAUAAAUAAAUAAAAAAACUUGAGAGACUAUUUCAACCCAUAUUCAAAACUUCAAGGAUUAAAAAGCUUCGUACACUAAGGACUACCAAAAUUAUUUUUCCCAUACCUCAUCUAUUUUAUGUAGAUAAGGGAUAUCAAACAGCCACACCCUUCACCCAGCCAGAAAAUACUAGAUCUGCCGGACAGCUGUAUGCCCCAACCCAACUAUCAAAUGUGCAAUAAACCGAGCAAAAAAAAAAAAAAUACAUGUUCAGAACAAUGAGGUUACAAUAUAUCAGUGCUUUACCCUGUCAACCUUCAGGAAAAUCUCAUCGACUUGAUGCCUAAAGCCAUCCACUUCUGUAUGAACAGUAUCCCCCACAACAAAGUUUCUGCCAUCUGCUACAUCCAUGGGAUCAAUCUAAUUCUGUACAACAACAUUUGGUGAAUACAAAGAACGCUACCUUGGGAAUUGCCAAAAAAAAAAAAAGAUAGAUAAUGCUCUUUAAGGUGUAAAAUGCCUUGAAAAUAAUAGUUUCCUUAAGACUUAAACCUAAAAAUUAAAAUAAAAUGAGGCAAACCUUUUCUGUGAAUUUUUUUAAAAGUAAAUAUGAAAAUAUAUGAUAUUAUGAGUAAUAAGAUCAACAAAUUAGGACUUUUACCAUGGAAAUAAAAAACAGCAAUAUAGUUUCACAAGGAGCCCUCACCGCACAAAGAACCCUAGAAUAGACAAUAGAUGGAUAAUACAACCGAAUAAGAAGCAUCAUAAACUAUAGAUGCAAAAAAAAAGGUAGGAAACAAUUGAUUUAUGAAACAAAAUGAUGCACCUGGCUACAAAUAUAAGAACAAACUGAAUUUUCCAGUUAUCCUUCUGUAGCAAUAAACUUACUCCAACAAACAACAAUGCAAAGAACCCCCAAAUUAAAUGGUAUAACUACAAAUAUUGACCUAAUUGAACCCAAAGAAAAUUUUACAAACUAAUCCAAAAAACAAAAUCUUCUCUACCACUAACUCAUUCCUGAAAACAUUUCCAUGACCUUUUAGCCAUGUGUAUUGACAUUAUUAACCUUCUCUAUUCAAAUCCUCAACCGUUCGAUUUUCUCUCUCCUCAACCAACAUCUUCAAUGCUAAUCACCAAUAUUCCACCAAAACAUUUAUACUCAACAACAUUUUGUCAUUAGCAUUGAAUGAUCUUGGAUUAUAUCACCGAUGGGACAAAAAAGUCGCUCUAAAACAUUGAAUUUCCUUCCCAUUCUCAUUCCCUGCUCUUCACAUUCUUCUACAAUCAUUCUCCAUCAAAGUUUCAGGUGAAAAUCCUUCUUGUCCUUCGUAUUUGCUCCAAUCGGUCUUCAGAACCAAGUAACUGGACUAUAAGUACUCGUGUGUGAAUUUUAUCUUAUUUUUUAAUAUUACUCAUCGUCUAACAAAAUCGUCAUGACCGUUGAGAUUUUACACACGAUCAUGGUACAUUUUAAUGUAAGAAUUAUAACUAAUUGUUGAUUAUCAAUUAGUUAGUAGUUAGUUUAAUCAUCUGACUAAAUUCUUGAUUUCCAACCAACCUCUAGUUAGUUGUUAGUUUUAUUUUCUGUUAAAAGUUUGUUAUAACCGUCCAACUUUAUCCUUUUUUUUUUUAAAUGGAGACAAGCCUCUUUAUUAAUAAUAAUAAAUGAGACUAAUGCUCAAAGUACAAGAGUAAUAUACUAAGAGCAAAAUAAGAAAAAGACAAAGUCUUUCAAACAAACUAAACAAAGAUGAACCCAUACAAAGUAUAUGGGAAACGACCAAUAAACGAUCACAAAGUUGAAACAACGAAAGAACCAAAGCAACAAAGAGUUGAAACACCAGUAAAGAUCUUAAUACAAAGAAAAUAUAAACACUUUGAUGAAAAGCGCCCACUUCAAACUGAAAUUUUGAAUACCACAUGCUUCGAUUUGAAAGGUGAAGUAGUAAAAUCAAGUUUUUCUUCGCAAGAGGGCAAGGAAACCUACAAAUAAGUAUACGGGAUCAAAAUGUCUCUUCAACCAUAGAAGCCAUGCAGCCCCUGUUAGGUUGUUGCGCUUAUAUGAGAUUAAUGCUCCUUUGUUUAUUUCCAUAUUCUAUUUACAUUGUGCCGUUCUUGAUCUUUUAUCCCGCUUUACAAGGCUUUCUAGCAUUUUAUUUCGGUAGUAUAUUGCUAUCAUGCUUCUGCACAAUUGCCAAGGAACUGAAUGAAGAUCUGAACCAAUCAUCAUGACCCAAGAUUUGUGUGCUUCUUCCGCUCGAUGGUCCAUGUCUAAAGCCCAUAUUAACUGCCCAUAGACAUUCAUUGUGGCUCCCUGGCCCUUGCUUAGCAUCUAUUUGAUUACCUGUACAAUUCUAUGCCACUGUUGUUCCUUCUCAAGGGCAGCCAAUACAUGCUUAAGGGAUGCUAUUGGAAAGACUUGCUCCCAUGCAACUCAGGCAUCAAGAGCACCAUAAACAGCCUCCUUACCUAUCUCUCAGAUGAAGCAGCUCUAAAUCCGUGAUUGAGCUGCUGUCCCACAUAGACAAAAUCCCCCUGAAGAACCCACAGAUUCCACAAAAUCCCAACCAACAUCUUUGGAGCUCCAUAGAGAUUUUAUAAAAGCAAAAUUGAUAGCUUCCAUUUUUUACUCUUGAGUCAAAAUUAUGUUCGGAUUACAGUUUUUUUAACUUUUUGAGAGCCGCUCUCUUGGAGACAUCUUUUAGACCCCUUGUAUUCCAUAAGAUAAUCUUCAUAGGGCUGAGUGAGAGCAAAUAGUGGGCUGACCCCUUAGACCAGAACUAUACCACAGUGGGUUUAGGGUUUAGGGUUAUUAACUAAAGAUAACAAAUCUUUACGUAAUUCUAAAGAGCUUUAGAAGGGGAAUGGCAGAUUCCUCAAAUAAUGUAGUAAGAUCAGUCCCAUCUAUUUCUGAGGUGACAUUUUGAUCAGAAACUCUUAGAAAACCCACUGAUUCUUCACUACUUACAUUAAAAGGAGAGUCUAUGGUCACAGCACGAGUCUUCUCUGGUGAGUUUAAAAAAUAUAAAAUAUGGCAGGGGGAUCCUUGCAUUAAAGAUACAUUAGUGUUGGGGUUGGGGAGUUUGAAGUAAAGAAAAGAAAUGGGAGGAAAACCUGCUGAAGCUGACCUUAUGAGACCAUCAGAAGACUGUAUUUUGGUGCUGCACACCUCCAGAAGAUCAGGAUUUUCUUCUGAUAUUGAAGGCCCUGUACGGGUGAUCUGUGGAGGAGCUGAAGCUGAAGCUUUGAGUGAACAGAAUCCAUUCAGUUCUGAUUGUAGCAAGGUUGUCCAGAUAUUAUUAAAAGAAUUUUGCUUUCUGAUGUAGUGUUUAACUAUUUUCGGAACUUUAGAAGAUUUACCACCUAUGAAGAGGGAUUUGCUGUGGCAGUGGGCAGCUCAGGAGUUGGCUGCAGAGUUGGAUUGGCCAAGAGCUUAAUUAAAGAGGAUGGAGGCUCAUUAUUACCCGUGAACGUAAUUAGGGGGCACAAUGUUACUCUCACCUGGUGGGUCAUUAGCAGCUGUAAAAAGAGGGUUUAAUUUAAUUUCAGUGGGCCCUAUAACUUUUUGGAGACAGCUGUGCUGCAAGGGAUUGGUGAUUGGCAAAAACUGUUCAGAUGCCCGCUCGUUUGAGAAAACAGCCAGCUGUGCACCGAUUUCUGUCUUUUUCUCCAGCAAUGGCACCGGUAAGCUGGCCAGAAAGGGCUUCAAAAGACUGAACGGAUUCCUAGCCCUGGGAAGAACAAACACUGACUUUGGUACAUUGAUGACUGGAGGGAAGGAGGAAAUGUCAAGACCUUCAUGAUUCAAAACUUCCCUAAUACGCAACCCCGGUCGAUUGAGUUACUAAAAUUCCUUGCAAACUGGGGGCUAUGCUUGUAUUAGGUGGAUUUAAAAAACUCAAAAUCACCAUAGUGCAGAAAGAUGCUACCCCUCUUAUGAUCAGAGAUUUCAAUUGUUGAAGGAACAAAGCUACAAAUGUUCUUUUUGACCAAGAUCCGGGCUUCACUACAAUUUGUAAGAUUUAAGGUUUUUGUGGCUAUCAAUUAGUCUUCCAAAGUGGUCUCCUAUAGCUUCAAAGGUGCUUCAUUUCCAGAAAUCUAAAGGAAGAUUCUUUAUUUUAGUCCAGCCCCCAAAACAUUGAAUCACGAGGGGCCUACUACGUCCAGCUUUAUCCUUUGUAUAAAUAGGUCAUUUGACUUCUCUUUCAAAUCAAUAAAAAGAUAAAGAAAUUUUAGUAUUCUUGAGUUUUGUUUACACCAAUUGGUAUGAGAGCGAAGAUCCAUUACGCAUUCUUUCUUGGAUCACUUUUUUUUCAUGGAUGCAGAAACCUCCUCUUUAACAAAGCUAUGGAAACCAGACUGACUAAUGUAGAGAAAUCUGUAGGUGAAAUUCAAGGCGAGUUAGAUGAAAUCUGUUCUAUGCCGUGGGAAAUUUUACAGAACUUAAAUAUCAAUUCUGAAACCAACAGAGAGCAUGCUGAAUUAGCUCCAAACAAAAAAAUUCAGAUCCAAGAACGACAAGAUUUGGGCGACGACAGAGCUGUCAACUUUAAUUCUUCACUAAAUGAAGCCAAGAACCUUGCAAGAAACCCAGCCAAACAAAAGAUUGUCAAAUAUCCUUAUAAAAAAUUAAAGAUGAAAACAGUCCAAUGAAACUGCAGGACACGAUUACACUUUUGAAUUAAAGAUGAAAACAUGCCAAGGUUUUGUAGUUGGCAAAGAAAAGGUUCACAUACUAAUCCUCCAAUUCGCAAACGACACCCUUCUGUUUUGUAAGUAUGAUGAAAGCAUGCUAAUGAAACUGCAGGACACGAUUACACUCUUUGAAUGGUGCUCCAAGCAGAGACACAGAAGGUUAAUUGGGAGAAAUCAGCCUUAUAUGGAGUUAAUGUGGAAGAGGAUGAGCUGAAAAAUAUGCCUGGGAAAAUGGGAUGUUCUGCAAAAAUGAUGCCCUUCUUAUACUUAGGGCUUCCAUUGGGAGGGUAUUCAAGACAGUGUACUUUUUGGCAGCCCAUGAUUGAGAAAAUGCAGAGAAAAAUACACAGAUGGAGAAGAUUCAACUUGUCACAAGAAGGUAGAGCUACUUUAUGUCAAUCCGUAUUUGCUAAUCUUCCUACAUAUUACAUGUCUCUGUUUGCAAUUCCGAUUAAUAUAGCAUCUUCUUUGGAGAGAUUAAUGAGGAAUUUUUUCUGGGAGCAGCACACAAGAAGUAAAAUUAACCAUUUGGUUAAAUGGGCCAAAGUUAUCCGAAACCAUUUGGUUAAAUGGGCCGCCCCAACUUGUGGAGGUUUGGGCUUGGGAGCAUUGCAAAAUAAGAACAUGGCUCUACUUCCAAGCGGGGCUGGAGGUUUAUGAAUGAAGACGACUCUCUAUGGAGACAAGUCAUCCAAAGCAUCUAUGGAAAAGAACCCUUCAACUGGCACACGGUGGGAAAUUCUAGCCACAGUCUAAAAGGCCCAUGGAUUAGUAUCUCACAGGUAUGAAGGAAGGUGGAGCCUUUAGCUUCUUCUAAACUUGGAGAUGGUUCAAGGACUGCCUUUUGAACAGAUGAUAGGAUUGCCUUCCUCUCUGCACUCAAUACCCCCUGCCUCUUCAGAAUUACACUUCUACCAAAACGCUCCAUAGCAGUGCACUGGGAUUAUUCAACUUCUUCUUGGUCCAUAGUCUUUAGAAGGCUUCUUAAAGACAUUGAAAUUUUGGAAUUACAAAACUUGAUGACUCAACUAGCUUCAAAAAAGGUCUCAAACAAUCCCAACAGAAGGAUUUGGUCUUUGGAAGAGCAUAGGAAGUUUACAGUCAAGUCUCUUACAAGACACCUACUGGCUUUUUCCCCAUUGGCCAAGGAUCUUCAUAAAGCUUUGUGUAAACCCAAAUGUCCACCAAAGAGAGUAAGUAUUCUCGUUUGGAUUAUGAUUUUUGGCCUCUUGAAUUGCGCUUCAGUCAUGCAACUAAAGACACCAAACAGCUGCCUAUCACCUUCCAUGUGUCCACUGUGCAAGCAAGAAGGUGAAGAUUUACAGCACCUAUUCUUCAAAUGCUCUCUCUCCAAACUGUUAGUGGAAGCUUUUUUUAUUUUCGAUGUGGUUUGUGUCUUUGGAAUUCUUUUAACCAAAAUGUUCAGCAAGUGGGUCCGAUAUUUAAGAAGAAACUGAGGCUGAUUUGGGCUAAUUUUUCAAAAGCUAUGUUUUCUGAAAUUUGGUUUGAAAGGAACCAAAGAACCUUCCAUGACAAUAAAACUUCUUGGUUGGAUCACUUUAAGACAGCAAGUAGGAACGCAGUAACUUGGUGUACCCUCCAUAAAGAAUUCGAAGCUUUCUCCAUUUAAGCUAUCAAUCACAACUGGCAGUCCUUCAUUUAUUCAGUUCUUUAACAGUCAGUCCUUCAUGAAGACCCACUGUUUUGACCUUCUAUAUGGUUGCUGUCCUUUUGAUGUAUUUGUUAUGUUUGUUAUGUUUUUAUUUCCAUUCCAUUUUGGAUCUGCAGCUCAUCAUGGUUUGUACUCCUGAAUACUUUAUUUUGUAUUUUUUGACCCUAUGUGUACUGGAUAUAACAAGGACGCUAAGGGAGUGUCCGGGUGCGCCUACUAAUCCCAUAGUCUCUUAAUGUUUUCUACUCUUUGUAUAAACCUUUUGUACUUUGAGCUAUUAUUAUAAAUAAAGAGGCUGGUUUCCUUUAAAGAAAAAAUAAAUAAAUAAGAAACUGUCAUCUAUAUCCUUAUAAAGUUUCUAUAAAAAUUUGGACAAAGUCUCCUCUGAAAAACGAACUAGUCACACCUAGAAAAUAAGAGAAAAAAAUUGAAAACGUAAGUUAAAACUCAAUGAGUGGCAAGUUUUUAAAAGUAAAACUUAUAAAACAUACUUCUAAUAAGAAACAUUUAGGCAUACUUUUGAUAACAAAACCAUAACUCAGAUUCCAAGAUCGUUAUUUAUAAAAUCGUUACAAAUUUAUUAAAAACAUGUCAACUUAUCCAUGUCCAAUUCAACACAAAAGGUUAAAGUAAAUACCAACAAUGAAGCAUAAGGCCAUACCCAGCUCACACAUAUUUACCAUUAACCCUCUACAAUCCCAAUCUACGACACUAGAACACACUGAAUAAACGGCUGGAGAAUAGCUCACGCAUGAUUCAAAGGACAUGCGGCUAAACUGAGUUCACGCAUAUUCACAAUCAAACAUGUACAUAUCUCGGUGUACCAUGGAAAAAUGUAUCCAAGAAUAGCUCAACAUGUUCCAUAUCCACAAGGAAACAUACGGCCAAACUGAGCUCACGCACAUUUAGUAACUGCAAUAAUGACGAUCUAAUCUCAAUAUCCACAUCCUCGGUAACUAUGCUCCUAUGUGCACAUAGAGAUAUCCUCCAAGGGUUUUUCUAGGCUCGAAGCCAAUACUACAGCCUACAUCCAUUUCCUCACCUAGGUUUAGGUUCCUAGAUCUCUGGGUUACAACUUCCCUCAACCCCAGAAUCCCUUGGAAACCGUAGGGGGUGCUAUGGACACACAUUCAUGUAGCCUAUGGGUAAAAUCACCUCAGUACACUGAUUCUGUGGUUUGAAAACCAACCUUCACAUUCCACCAUAAACCAUCAUCUAUAAAUACAUCUCAUACCCAACAUUUCAUGCAGUCCAAAGCUAAAACAAAUUUUCUAAAUAAGAGAGACAGAAGCAUUCGCAUCGAUAAAUCCAAACUAAGCAUAUUUUAACACAAAUUUCCGAAAGAACUCAAAAUACUAGAGAAGUUGUAGCUAUUUAUCACAAUUUCUAAUAUUUCAUAAAAUCCACUAUAAAAUCACAUUUGCAUAUAACUCAUGUAAAUUGUAAUUAAAUCAUAUCCUAUUCAAAAACACAUAUUACAAAUUCGCAUUAUAGAGAACUCAUGAUAAAUCAUAAACUUUAGUUAAGGUCAUUAUUGAUAAUACAGUUAUAUCAAAACAAGCUAUGCCGAACACUUAUUCACAAACCAAAUUCAACUAUAUGUCUAAAAUAAAUUUUCAUAUAAAAUAUUUGAAAAUAACCACUUACGGUCAAUAGCUUGAUCCUCUAAGAUUAGAAGCUCUCCCUGGCUUGACUUAAAGCGACGUGAAAACCGCAAUGACUUCUUAACAAUACCUCUCAGUCCUGAAAAGAUCCAACCAAUAUCAAAACCAACCUUGUUGGAAAUCUAUUCAAUUUAAUCCAAAACAGUAUGGGCAUCAAUAAACUCAUGCCUAAACCAAAUGGGUGCUUCAAGAACUUAAAGAAAACGCACUAUAGUACCCAAAAUCUUACCUAAGGCUUGUUUAAAUAGCCUUAGCUUCGAUGGACAGCACUCAGCGGUUUUCUAAAUUCACAUCCUAACAUCCAAAAAUCAUGGGUACCUCAAAAUUACCACCAAACCUUAAUGGAUAUUCAAGACCAACUCCAAAAAGUUUAGAUUCUUACCCAUUUGAUGCCAAAAACGCCUAGUAUUCACUUCUCGCCAGCUGGACUGCAGUUAACUCCUUCCAAAAGCUCGAUUAUAAUACUUAAACCUGAUGUGCAUUAAUAAAUUUAAGUCAAAAUUUAAUGGGUGUUCCAAAUCUUUACAAGAAACUCAACUAAAACAAUGAAAUUUUACCCCAAAACUCAAGAAUCAAACUUUCAGCGACAACGCAACGAUAAGCAACAGAGAUUCGAUGCUCACCAGAACACCGGAGGCUCAAUCAACGCAUAGAAAGGAUGGACAACUAGCUCGACAGAGGACUCGUGGGUCCGAGUGGCAAGAUCUGGCACUACGACUUUGGAUUAAAUAGCAGCGCGAAACGAACCUCGGGGGUAGCGUGACUGUGGGCCAAGUGGCAGCGUGCACGACAAACAAAAUCCAACGGCCAGGAGUUGGUGGACGAUUUCCAAUCGGCAGACAGUGGCUAAUCGGAGACGACGAGAGGAAGGGAGGGCCGUGGGCUUUCACGAAGAGGAAGAAAAAUCCAGCUUCUUCUUUAUUAUAAUUUCAUUUUAUAAAAAUAUAAAAUAAAAAGAUAAGAAAUGACCAAAAUGCCUCUCACUUUUAUUUUUAUAUUUCCUUAAUGCCCUUAGUGGUGUACUUCGAAUCUACCCUUUUGAGAAAAAUACAACUACUCUUUCUAAUAAUUGCUUCUUAUAAAUAAUAUCAUCUCCUCCAAACAGAAGAGAAACAUUCAUCAACCAAAACCCUUCUAGUGGUUUGCACCAUUUGGUAUCAUAGCACCCAAGGAUUUCUAGGACCAAUGGCCCUUCCUCAACCAAUCAAUUAGGUGGACGACGUCGAAACGAUCAAGAGCAAGAGGCAAAAUCAACUUCCAUCCUCUCUCCCAACGACUUCUUCAAGACACGCUUAGUUGAGAGAAUUAAGAAAAUUCUUAGAGAACGUUUGGUGAAGGAAAAAGUUAUGAUAUAAUCUUAUGAUUAUAAUAAAACUAAUUUUAUGAUAAGAUGUGUUUGGAAACGGUUUGUUAUUGAUAGUGUUAUGAUAGUAUGUGUUUGGGAAAUGAUUAUGAUAAGUAGUAUUAUGAUAAUAUUUGUCAUAAACUUGGCCAUUAUUCCUCGGAAUGCAUAAAUAGAGUUGAAUAAAAUGCAAAUUAUGCUGAGAAAGACGAAGAAAGUGGUAAUUCAUCAUUGCUUCUAGCAUGUAAAGGUGUGGAAACAUGUGAAAACAAUGCAUGGUAUCUCGAUAGAGGUGCAAGCAAUCAUAUGUAUGGAAGUAAAUCAAUGUUCGUGGAGCUUGAUGAAUCUGUUGGUGGCGAUAUUGUAUUUGGUGAUGCCACAAAAAUUCCAGUUAGAGGAAAAGGUAAAAUGUUGAUCAAUUUGAAGAAUGGAAAGCAUGAGUUUAUCUCUAAUGUUUAUUAUGUGCUUGAUAUGAAGAACAACAUUUUGAGUUUGAGACAACUCUUAGAGAAAGGCUAUAAUAUUUUGAUGAAGGAUUAUAGUCUUUUGAUAAGAGAUAAUCAUGACGAUAUGAUUGCUAAAGUGCAAAAGACAAAAAAUAGAAUGUUUUUAUUGAACAUUCAAACUGAUGUAUCGAAAUAUUUAAAGUCAUGUUUGAAAGAUCCAAACUGGAUUUGGCGCUUGAGAUUUUGGCAUUUAAAUUUUGAUGGCUUGAGACUAUUAGCCAGGAAGGACAAACAUCCAAACCAAUUUGGUGAAGGUUGUCUUUAUGGCAAGCAAUCAAGGAAGAGUUUUCCACAACAAUCAUCCAAGUGUGAGUAGAAUACACAUAAAAAAUUAGAAUCUUCCAAUAAAGUUUGUUUUUCCUCUUAAAUAUUCUAUUUGGUAAUUAUCUAUUUGGGGUGUUCAUCGUACGCUUCCAACAGUAUAAACGUCAUGAAAAGCAAAAAAAAAUCUUAUAUUAUAAGAUUAUGCGGUUGUAAUGUGAGUUGACAAAAUGGAAUAGGGAAGCAAAUGAAAUGAAAUGCUACACACACUCACCGAUUGUCUUGCUCCUCCAAUCCCUGACAUCAGUGAGAGUUUAUGUAUAGCAUGAAAACCGUCUAUCAACCAUAUAGACUCCUUGGGUUCUCAUAAUAACAUUUGCACUUUUAAAUCUUUUCGAUACAAAUUUUGAUGUUGUGUUGGGAAACAAGACUUUGAUGUGGUGUCGAUCAUUGGCGUGCAAGUAUCUUAAUUUUGUUGGAGAAGUUCUUAGUAACAACAUAUGUUCUGAUUUUGAGGACCAACAACAUCCCACAGUAGAAGCCAUUAUUAUUUCACCGUCGAUUGACACUUCAAAAUGAAUAAAACCCUCCGCUUCGUCACAUGAAUCUCCAUCUGCUUUGAAAAUUACACACAGAACCAAAGCUGGUAUGUUCUUAUCUAAAUUGUGACGAAACCUAACACUCAUUGAACUUCUCGUAGUUUGUUUGUUGCAGUAUUUUGGAAUCUCAUUGUUUGUUAUGAAGAGCACUUUUGUUGAGUCACUAAAUUCAGCGUCCUAAGGGAUUAAGAGUUAAUUGGCAUUAAAUAAGAGAACAUAUAUAACAUUAGAUAUUAUGAUAUGAACAAAUAGAAAUUAGAUGAAAGGAGAGGAACCUGUUUUCCGAACAUCAUAUCAGCAAUGCAAUCAGGACGUAUAGCCAACAAUUCGCUACCACUGGCAUUCACCCGAGCUAAAUGAUGGGGAAGCUUUAUUAUAUUUUGAAGAAACUUGCAAUUCCUUAAUUCAAGAAACCUUAAUGACUUAAAAUUUUGGAGAGAGGGUAGACAAGAGAAUGUGUUUCCUGACAAAUUUAGCUUCUCCAAGGAAGUGCAGACAUUAGAUAAUGUUUCGAGGAAAUCAGAAUUUGAUAUAUUACAAUUUUUGAGAUCCAAUACCGUCAGCUUGAAAUAUGAGCUUUCUUGGGAAAAAUUUAAGCUUGAUCUCGGGGGAAACAUGUCGAGUUUAGAACACCCGCGAAGAUGAAGUUCCUCGAGACUUUUUAGCCAAUGAAUUUCAUUUGGAAGGGCAGUCAGGUUUGCACAAUCAUUAAGGUUUAAAUUCUCGAGCCCAAUAAGAUAUCCAAUUGAUGAAGGUAACACCCUUAUGGCUGUACCGUUCAAAUUCAUCACCCUUAAAGAUUUCAUGUUUUCAUCAAAUUCUGGAAGUUGUUCAAGCUUGUAACAAUUAGUGAAACUCAAAGAAUCAAGAGACUUCAACUUCAGGCUGCUAGGAAGCUUUUCUAGGUUAUGGCAUAAAUCGAGUUGUAAGGUGAUAAGUUUAUCAAGAGACCCAAUAGACUCGUGAAUUAUUCUUAAAGAGAAGCAAGUAUUGAGAUCUAAUAUCUCAAGGUUUGAUGCCAUUGAAAAGUCAGUAAUUUCUUCAAGAUUUAGACAAUCCCGUAGAUUCAGAACUUUAAGAGAUUUGAACUUCAGGUGGCUUGGAAACUUUCUAAAAGAGCUGUCAAAAAAAGUUUCAAGCUUUAGACAUGAAGCGAGAUUCAAAAGUUCAAGAGACUCUAACUUGUUGGUGUAAAUUGGUAGCCUUUCAAGGUUUUUACAGCCUUCCAGAUCCAAGAUAAUAAGCUUAUCAAGAGAACGACCAAUAGAGUCGUGAAUUAUUCUCAAACGGUCGCAUUCCCUGAGAUAUAGUUCCUUAAGGUUUGAAGAUGCAGACAAGUCAGGAAUUUCUUCAAUUUUUCUGCACCUACUAAGAUUCAAAACUUCAAGAGAUUUUAACAUGAGAUAGCUGCUUGGAAACUUUUCUAGGUUGUCACAACCUUCAAGGUCCAAUGUAACAAGCUUACUAAGAGAAGCCACAGACUCGUGAAUCACUUUCAAACUCGUGCAUCCCCUAAGAUAUAAUUUCUCAAGGUUUAAUGUGGCAGAGAAGUUGGGAGUUUCCUUUAACGUGCCACAAUAACUCAGAUCAACAUGCUUCAUUGUUUUACAAUUCUAAAACAAAUGGGAAAAAAAAUCAUUAAAUAAACUUCCAAAAAAUCACACACAAGUAGAAGCAGUACUAAAAUUUACCUCAAAUGCAAUCCUUGGCUGUUUGUUGACUACACCUUUCAUAACUAGUCCGACAAGCCGACCUUUCACAGAAAAACUUAUGGACGAAGACUGGUUAACAUAAAAUGUAGACCACUCAAUCCACUUCAACGAAUUAGGUAAAUACUCAAAUAUAUUUUUAGGGAAGUAUGCUACUCUUUGAAGGAUAAGCAAUCUAAGAUUUUUCAUGUUUCUAAAUGCUUCUGCUUCAACAAUUUUCAGCCAAGGUUUGUAGUGCAAGUCUAACUUUAUGGCUUUAACUGCUUUAGUUCCCUACAAGGUUAUAAAUCAAGUAAUUUUACAUUAUUAACAAAUAAUUACCGACCGAUUUGACUUGCAUUAUGUUUUAAUUUCAUCACAGUAUAUAUCUUUGGCAAUAAGUAAAUAAAAACAUUGUCUAAAGUCACUCACAGAUUUCUCUUUCAAUAUCUUGAUAGCUCCUUCUGCCUCCCACAACCUACUCCUUUUUGCAGGCUCAAAAGAUUCAUGGCGAACAAUUGUUUGACCCAUUUGUUGUAUUAAAUCAUGCAUUUGUAUCUUUCCAUCUUCAACAGUAACAAGGGAAAGAUCCAUAAGAAUUAUAAUUCCAUAGUCUGGAUUGAGAUCACAUGCCUUUAACACAUCCUUACUGUAGUUAAUAUCCUCUCCCACGAAAAAGCAAGAAAUAUCAAGAAAAAUCUCCUUCACUCUUUCGUGAAGCUCCUUAAAACCUAUUUGAAAAACAGCUUCAACACUUGGUUCGAGGGAAUUUUCAAGUUCAUGUAAUUUACUUUUCCAUAUUUUUCGCUCUCUCUUAUGGAGAAGAGAACCCAAAAUAACAAGAGCCAAUGGAAGACCUUUGCAAUAACUUACAGCAAAUUUUGAAAGGUCUACAUAAUUACUUGAGGGAUGAUUUUGCUUAAAAGCAUGCAGGCUAAAAAGCUCAAGGGAUUUCUUAGGAUCCAACAACUGAAUAGGAUAUACUAUAUCAAAUGAAUGGUUUUCUAGUAAAUGUCGAUCUCUUGUUGUUGCUAUGAUUUUACUUCCUCGACCGAACCAAUCACGUUCACCAACUAGUGCGUCUAAUUGUUCAUCCUUAUCCACAUCAUCAAGAAUGAUAAGAACUUUCUUUGAGCAUAACCGAUCCCUAAUGAUAUUCUUUCCUUUAUGAACGUUGCCCACCUUCCAAGCAUUAUCUUUUAAGAUCUCACUGAGUAGUUUUUCUUGUAGUUGAACCAGGUCUUUGAAUUGCUCUAAGGUUUCUCUAACAUUCGAAAGAAAGCAACAAGCUUCAAAUUGAUAAGCGAUUUUGUUGUAUAAAGCUUUGGCCAGAGUGGUCUUACCAAUGCCUCCCAUCCCAUGUAUCCCCACCAUGUUAACACCAUCGGGCACAUCAUGGGAGGCCAAUUCCUCAACAGCUCUAAGUUGAGAAUCAAUUCCAACUGGAUGCUUGGCUACAUGUAGUAGUUGUGUUUGAUUUAAUAUAGACAACACCUCCUUAACAAGGUCAUGAAUAAGAUCAGCCUCAUUCUUCCUGUAAUGAUUGAGCACAUCAUACACAAAUACAAGUAGACGAAGUUAAGAAACACAGUAGGGAACAAUAAUAAGAAUUAAGAAACAUAGUAGAUGAAGUUAAAUUCAUUAUAACAUUAAAUUUUUCAAUAACAAAAUUAGAUUGGUCAACAUGGCACUCACACAUUUCUCUUUCAAUAUCCAUUUUGUGUUUUUUGUUUGAGGUUUUCAUUGGGUGUUUUUUGUUUUAGGUUUUGAAAAUUAAGCCUAUCUUCUUCCAAUAUCUUAUUAUUAUUGCAUCUCUUAUCGCAAUGGUUGAAUAUUAUUAUCGAAGUUUUAAAAACAAAAAUAAGUUUUUAAAAUCUACUUUAUUUAGUUUUCAAAAUUUGGCUUGAUUUUUAAACGAUUGGAAAAAGUUGAUAACAAAGCAAGAAGUUUGGAGGUAAAAUUGUUAUACAGGCUUAUUUAUGAUAGAAAACUAACCACUUCUCUUUUUUUUUAACUGUUUGAGGAAUCAACUUGCAUAAAACGAAUUGUUUACCUUGAACAAGGUAAUUUUAAUUCAUCUCAUCGUUAACCUUGAAAACUGUUAAAACUAACUUAAAAACUAAAAAAAACUAAAAACAAUGAUACCAAUCAAUCUGUUUUCUUAAAAGUCGUUUUUUUUCUUAAUGUAUUUGAUAUUUUUUUGUAAUCUAAAGGGUAAAAUAUAAUUUCACUCCUAAAAUAAAUUCACUACCUUUUAGAAUAAUGCAUGUAAAAAAUACCUAGUUGCUAAAUCCCAACCAGACAAAGAAGCAGCAGUGGUCAAAGCUUCCUUCCAUGGUUGAACCUUGUUGGUCAUUAACUCAUUAGCUUCAUGUUUGGCCAAUGCUUCACCAAACCCACCAGUUUGUUUUCGAACCUCAGAUGGAUCCACCUUGUUAAGAAAUUAAUCAACAAAUUAAUAAAGAUAAACCCGUAAAGCAAUGGAGACUAUGAUACAGAUUUAUAUGAUUUAUUAUCAGUGGUGGCUAACUCCACAGGUAGAGGGAGGGAGCAAUUUUAUUAGAAAGAAAAUUCAUAUUACACAUCAAAUGUGCUUCUAUGGUUGGAGUGUUAGUGGGCUUCUCUAAAACGUUAGGGUCAAAAUCAUAGAUAACAUAACUAUAUAAAAAAUACGAAUUCAGAUAGUCCAACAAAUUAAACCUUGUAGAAGACAGGAAAAACUAUAUGUCCCAUGGAUUUCAUGCACUGAACUAUUUUCACCAGUUCAUCCAAACACCAGGUGGAAGAUGCAUAAUUUUUGGAGAAAAUAAUGAUGGAAAUUUUAGAACCAUCAAUAGAUUUGAGAAGGGAUUCAGAAAUUUGACCACCCCUCUCUAGCUUGUCAUCUAUGAAGAAAUUGACACCCUUUUCACGCAAGGCCCUGUCAAGAUGACUAGUGAAGUUGUUUCGAGUAUCCUCACCUCUGAAACUCAAAAACACAUCAUAACUCCAUUUCAAAUUUGAAGAACAAGACGAUGAUGAUUGUGCUAAACCAACCAAAGAAGAACCCAUCCGAAUUUUGAAAAUCCUGAAGUAAGAAUCCAGCCAAGGGAUGAGAAUGAAGAACAAAAUGGUUGUUUCUUUUCCCAGUGAACAAAUAAAUUACAAUAAUUUAUGCAAGUUAAAUUAUUAAAUUUUAAGCAAUUUGCAUCUAUUGCAGCACAAGGUUUAACCAACUAGUAUACAUAUAUGUUCAAGUCCACCUUUUCCAUGUUAAAAAAAAAAAAACGGUCAACUAUUUGUAUCUAUACUUUCUAUUUUUAACAUUUAAAAACUCAGAAGCAUCAACGUCAAGUUCGCUUAGAAGUUAGAACAUUUCCACUUUAUGUUCAAAUACUUCCUUCUUCUACAAGAUAUAUAUAUACAAAUAUAAUGAUAAUAAAAAGUUCUAUCUACAAAUAACAUAAAAUAAUAUUUUGUCUAACUAGACCACCAUAAAAUUAAUAAAUAAGAAGUGACAAAUUCAUUAGUUUUUCAACUAACAGAAAUAUCUAUGGAAAUUGUUUUGGGUCUUCAAGUUUAUCAUAACCUAAUUAUUUCUCUGACAUGUUCCCUUCAGGAUACAACAAGAAAAGUUGUGUAACUCAAACCAAUUUUCACUUAAAGAUCGUAUUUACCUUGGCCAAUUUGCUUUUAAAGAGAGAUAAUGAGAGAAAAAAAGAGGAAGAUGUAUUUAUAUAAUACUAAUCUUUGUUAGUGUAAAAUUGCGAGAAUAUGGUAUGUGAUGUAUUGAUAGUACUCAUCUUUGGAUAUUGAAUAUUUAAUUCAAAGCUAGGUAAUAAAUGUAUACUUGUUUAACAUUUCUUGAAAUUGCAUUUUUUUUCAACUUUUUAACGAAGAAACACGUACUAGAUUACAUAUGGAAGAGAAGUUUGCGAAAAAUAAGUCACGAUUAAUUAAUUGACGGCUUAAGUUAAAGCUCAUAGUCAAUAAUUGGAGUAACAGCAUGAGAAAAGACAAAAUAGAACACUAGCACGUUGGUAACCUAGUUGGAUGACACAUCAUCUACAUUUAAUUAGGAGAUUUUUAGCCUGAUUUAAAAUAUCAUUUUAUAAAUAUUAAAGAGGAUCAUAAGUACAUAACUUAUCCAAGAACCAACUAUCUUGAAUCAUAUAUGACUUUUACAAGAUAAACGUUUAUGUUUGCCCUAAACCACUUGAUGUGUGAACAAGGAAUUCGAUCUAGACUCCUCUAGAUCAUAUGUUGCAUGCAUCAUCCUUGCAUCUCAAUGUGCAGGCUCCCCUGUGAAAUGCCACAAACAAAGUGUUCAACAUCACACACCACAGAAACGGGGUACUUAGUGAAAAACUUUCUCAACACAUAAUUUUGCUGCACAUUUGUUACACCUCUAUCUUCAACCACAUGCAGCAAACAUCACACGGCCACAAUCUUAUAUUUUUUAGGUAACACGUCAUAACAAAACAAAUGCCCAACUCUAUUAAUUUAUUAAUAAAUAUUAACCAACUUAAAAAAGUAUAUAGUAACAACCACAACCAACGGAAUAUCUUUAUUAAUAAUAUAAUAUUAGUCAUAUAUUUAUUAAAAAAUAUUAGCAAACAUAACAAUCAAAUCUUCAAAGUCAACGAGAUAUCUUUAUUAAUAAAUAUUAUCCGUAUAUUUAUUAAUAAAUAUUAACCAUAUAUAUUAAGAAAUUAAGCUCCAAUUUUUCCUACCUCAGUUACAAAGUUAAAGCUGAAAUGGGUGAUUCCUAAACAUUGUAAAUAUGAAAAUCACAACCUAAAUCUUUAACAAAUCUAACUCCUUUACUCCUCAAUUCAAUUAGAAUCAUUGUUGUCAUUAUUAUCACUAGGAGUAGAGGAACCAAACUUAGAAGUUCGUUCGUGAAGGACGACUGGGCACGAAGGGCAGCACGAAGACACACACAAUUUGCUCGGCAGUGGUGGUUCGAUGAUGGAAGAGAGUGAUUAAGAAGAGAGGGUUUGGGUGAGAAGUUUAGAGUGAGAUGAGAUGAGAGGGAAGAAGAGUGAGUAAAGUGAUUAGAAGAGAAUUAAUUUUUUUAAAAAAAGAUUAAGGAUAGUUUUAAUGUCAGUUUUAAACCGACAUUAAUUCUUCCUUUUUGAUGUUGGUUUAAAAUCGACAUUAAACAUUUGCAUUUUUAAAAUCUGAUAUUAAACAUCUGUUUUCAUUUUUUUCAACUGACAUCAUAGGGCAAAUUUCUUCUAGUGAUACCAAUUUUAAUUCUAACUUCCCUAAGCAGGUGUUUGCGGCGAGGAGUGACUUGUAAUAGUUCUGAGAAUUAUAAUAAUUUGAGUAUUAUAGUAGUCUGCAUUUAGGAUACAGACUAUUAUAGUCUGCGUUUCAGGUGCAACCUAUUAUAGUUUGUGUUUGUGGUGAAGAUUAUUAUAAUUAUUUGUAUAAUUAUAAGCUGUGUUUAGGGUGGAGACUAUUAUAACUUGGGUUUUUUGCUACUUUUUUUUUCUUCCUUAAAUUGAUUUUAUUAAAUCUUUUUAAUUAUGAUAUUCAUUUAAUAAAUUUAGCCUCAAUCUUGAUUUUUCAUUACUUUUGUUUUCUACAUGUAUACUCUACAUGAAAUACACAUUUUUCUUAAAUUAACUUUAUUAAAUCUUUUUAACGUGUGAUAUUCAUUUCAUAAGUUUAGCCUCAAUCUUGAUUUUUCAUUACUCUUUUUUUUCUACAUACAUAUUGUACAUGAAAUACAUGCACGAAGGAGUGAGAGGGGAAGUGAGAAGAAUUAGGGGAGGGAAAUACGAGGAUUAUGGAAACCCUAAUACUAGAAUUUCCAUAAUUCGGGUCUCAAACAAGGAGUGAGUUAUUUUAGCCAACUCUACUCCAUGCAAAUAUGUGGCCCUAAUAAUUUCCUCAUAUCUUUACAUUAUGGGUAAUUAUAAUUUGUGACAAUUUUAGGAAUAAUAAUUAAAUAUCUAGCAACAUUUUUUUAAAAAAUUGCAUAUAUGGCAAAAUCUAUUAAUGAUAGACCAAUAUUUGCUACAUGAUCUAACAGAUGUUGCUAUAUUUACAAAUACCAACUCAAAACGCUCAUCCCUACUCUACCUCACUCUAAUACCCACCCUAAAUGUCUCAUAAGAAUUUAGAAAGUGUUCAUAUGAGUUAAUAACAAGAUGUAUAUAGAAAAUGUUCAUAGUAAGUGAGAGAAGGAUGUGUGUCAAUGUGUCAUACAAUCUUCUCUAUCUAGAGAUGUUUAAAAAAACCCAUGGGGUUGGGGUCCCGCCAGGUGCCAGCUCGAAAGAGGUGGGGAUUUCCUAUUUACAUAGGAAAUAGGGGAGGGAGUAGGGAAUGUUUUCCCCAUUUUCAAUUCGAGACCAAGGAUAGAGAUUAUAUUCCCCAUCUAUAAGACCCAAACUUAAAUUAAAAGUUAAAAGACAAAAUUUUGACUAAGUAUGUAACUUGACCUUUUGGAUAAGAAGGCGUUUUAGUUUGAGAAAAGCACUCACAAAACUUUACAAAAGAAGUUCUUCUUCUUCUCACAAGCCCCUUCUCGUGUAGCUAAACUAGCAAUACUUCAACAUUUCAACAAAACUUCCAUCUUCCCCUCCUUAGUUGCCCAAAUCCUCUUAUUUAUAGAACCCUUAAACUAACUUAGUCAUUUAUAAACUCUUCUCAGUUCAUUAACUCCUGCUUAAAAAUUUACAUGUAUAAAUUUAGUAUUCAACCUAGCCAUGCUUAAAUUCUUAAUCUUACAUAAUCCCUGUCAAAUCAAAUUUUACAUUUUCUACGCCAGACCUUGCUUCUCGCCAAACUCGAACCGCGAAUAACUUCAACCACUUAACAUUUCUCGUGAAUAACCUUAUCGCAUGGUUAUAUUUUUACUAUAAGAAACCUUCUUGCAAACUAACCAACUUUUACUCGCAUGGAACUCUUAUCGCGAACUUAAACUCUAAGGCUUUCUUGCAAACUUCUUCUCCACGAAACACUUGGUUCUUCUCGUGAAGACCACCCAAAAUGCCUAGUCUAACACUUUGUCAAAACUUUUACUUCUUAACUUACGCGAAUAUUUUUUCUCUUCUUAUCACACAACUUCUUUCGCGAACUACGCACUUAAUCGCAAAAACGUAUACUUAUCCAUAAAAGAUUCUAUCGCUUAAUCCUUUUCGCAAAUUUAUUCAAACGCCAACUUCUUAAUAGUACUUUAGCCGAAUUUUACUUUCUUACUCAAAUUAGAAAUGGGUCUCACAAGUGGAAUGAUUUGAAGUUAACGAAUGUUCAUUAGCUCGGUUUAAAGAGUUUAGCUAGUUAAUCUUGGAUCGUUGGAGUCCAUGAUCUAUAAGUCCAUUAGGAUCCCCUACUAGCUCAUAUGGAAUAUACUUAUAAUAGUAUAUAAGAUUAAUUCAAAUUAUUUGAAUUAAGAAAGGAGAGUAAAAUCGAGUAUAUAUGGUAUAGUUGUUGGUUCGUUUAAGUGAAUAUUUAACUAAUUAGUGGAUUUGAGUGUUGGUCGAAUUCGGUAUUUUGGUUUUAGACACCUUAUUUAAAGUUAUGUCUCAUUUGUUUAUCUUUAUUUCUUUAAAGAAUUGUCAGAACCCGCGAGUCACAUUUUCAAAUUAUUUUUAUUGAUUUUGUCAAUUUUAUGUUUUCAAAUAUUUAUUAAUAUUAAUUUUAGAAAAAAUUUAGUUUUUCCCUUUUCAAGAAAGUGUAUUUUGAUAUUUAUUGUUUGAGUAAUAACCUUAGCUUAGUUUAAAAAUUUGGAUUGUUACACCUAGCUCACUAACAUAUAAUGUUUAAUGAGGUGUUGGAGUUUGGUGAAUAAUUACAUACAAUUGUUAUAUGUAAUUUCUUUUUUUAAGGUGGGCAUUUUCAAAUGUUUAAAAAAGUUUUUGAUAAUUUUGUCUAUUUCCCCCUUAAUAUUCAUCAAAAGAAAAAAAAAAAACACCAAAUCUCUUAGAAGCUUAUAUUAUCCUCCUCUUUUCAUCUCUCUCUCAUUUUAAUCCUUCACUCAUCGGGUCCCAUAGCCCGAUUCUAAGUCUAGAAGAUAGUCGGUAUACUCUAGUGGCAGGUUGGUGUCGAUUUCGUACAAAAUCCACAAAUAAUAAAAAACAACAAAGGUAUAAUUUUUAUUAACCCUAGUUAAGUAAAUUAGGGUUCUUGGACAUUGAUUCUUAUUAAUUUAGAUGCAAUUAUAGUGUAAUUAUAUCUAUUUUCCGCUGAGUAUGUCUAGACUUCUAUUAUUUUGUGGCGAGUGGUUGAACUUGAACGCCUAGUCCCUCAAAUGGGCUCUUAGUAAAGUUUUUUUCACCUCAAAGUUAUUCUUUCCUCAAGUCCUAAGUUGGCUAACUCUUCACACACACUUCCUUAGUUCUUUUACCUAGUACAAAGCACACGUAAUGACCCAACUCUUUAUACUGAGCUAAAGUCAUUACCAAUAAAACAAAUAAAACUUUUUUAUUUAAAAUAAAAGAAAAUACUAAGUUUUAAAAGAAACACUUCAAAUAUUAAAUCAUAAAAUAUAAGUAAAGUAUGUAAAGAAAAUAAUAAAUGAAACAUUAGUUCGGGCCCUAUUUAAUUUUUUUUAAAAAAAAAUCUCUAAAAGUAAACAUGAGUUCUGAAAAAUAAAUACUGAAAACAAUAAAUGCAGAACAAAACUUAUAAUGUCCUCUAUGGCAAACCACAGUCACUUCUUGUCAUUCUUCAUCUUGUCUUUACCUUUAUCUUUGCAUGAAAAAUUUAACCAUAGAAAAGAAUUAAUAUAAAUUUAUACUCAGUAAGGAACCCACUAUUAGUCUCGCUACGUGUCUAUUAACUUUUCGUUAGAGUCCUGUAAGAAAGUACCGCAUAACUAUUGUGCAUGCUAUCUAGUGAUCCCGUAGGAAAACAUCUGGGCUCUCAGUGAAUCACGAAUGAAUCACCCUAAAGGAGAGUUGGAUUGUAAGUGAUCCCGUCGAAUCACACAUAAAAGUUGGCCACACAUGCAUAAAUAUGUGGUGAUCUCGAGGGACACCCAUAUGAUACGACUCUAACAGACAAAGCUAACAGAACACCAUAGCCUCAUGUAUAUUAUAACAUAAAUAUUACAGCUCAGUCAACAUAUUUCAAUCAUAGCAUGUCUCAUUCAUAAUGUAUCUUGGUCAAAUCAUAUCUCAGUCAUACAUAACAGUCAUCUAUGUAGCCACUCAUAACAAUCAUCUCUAAUACCCAUAUUAUGCAUCUUAGCUACAUUAAUGCAUAAUAAGAAAUAUACAUGCAAGCAGGUGAAUGUAUAAUAGAAUAAUCUCUUACCUAGAGAUUAGCUAAAAAAAAUAUUGUCCCUUCCUAAACACAACAAAAUUAAAUUUAUUAAUUUUGUCAAUAUCACCCAACUACUUAUACUUAAUCAUUCAAACUUAUCCAACUUACCAAAGCUAAGGUUGAAACCGACACAACUUUGAGUGUAAAUUUCGUCGCCUUAAAUCCUCAAAUUAACACUUGAACCUUCACGUAAAAAUAACUCAACUCAUUCCCAACGAAAACUUACCAAACCCAACAAAACUUACCUAAAAGACUCAAGUAGGAUGAAAUGGUUGACUUAAAGAGGGCAGCUCGCGAUUGGAAGAGAGUGGAAGCUGGAGGAUGGUUCACGCGGCUAAAAGACGGCUCGAAAUGGAAGGUGGUCAACUUAGACGACUACGACUUGUGAAGGAGGAACGCACGACUCGGACUUGAAGAGGCUUUGGCCGGAGAGGUAACACAGACGAGAAGACGACACGACUGGAGAAGAUCAGCUCGAACAGAAAAGCUUUGGCUCGCGUACAAAGGGUGUUCCAAUCAACGAUGAGCGCAUACAUUUCAGCUUCUCCGUCCGAUGUGCAUAAAAAUAUUUAUGCGUCAGGGCAAAUAUGUCGGGAGAGGAACUCCCAACUCACAACUUGUUGUGCGUCGGAAAUUCCUAAACCCAACAUUGUAUGAACGUCAAAGAUGUUGUCAAUAUAGUGUAGGAAGUUCCUACGAACUCCCGACGCAAAUGUGUAGGAACUCCCAACACAAAUGUGUGGAAACUCCCGACGUAAAUGUGUAGGAUCUUCAUUUGCGUCAGGAGUUCUCUAUUUUUCUUUUUUUAAAAAAAUAUCUUCCAUCUCAAGUUCAACACUUGAAUCUCAAAUUCACCACUUCAAUCUUAACUUCAACACUUCAAUCUCAAAUUCACCACUUCAAUCUCAACUUCAACACUUCAAUCUCAAAUUCAACACUUCAAUCUCAACUUCAACACUUCAAAUUCAAAUUCCUAAAACCUACAAACUAAUCCAAAAAUUCUAACAACACUUCAAAUUCAGAUACAAUACUAAAACGUAUAACUAAUUCAAAAUCUAAAUACUAAAACUAAUUUGAAAUCUAAAACCUAAAACUUAAAACUAAUUUGAAAUCUAAAUACUAAAACUAAUUAACUAAAACAAAAGAAUAACUAAACUAAACCACUUACCGGAAUGAAGAGUGACGACGAGACGACGACGAAUGGUUGGACAAGGACAACGGCGACAAAUGCCCUCUUCUUCUCGAUCUCCCUCUCUCUCUCUCUCUCAGUUUUCUUUCUCUUUUCUGUUUCUAUUUUGUAAAGAAUUGAGUUAAAAAAGACGGUUAACUCCCGACACACAACGAAAACGUCAGGAAAUGGGCCCUUAUUCUCUACGCGAUUAGUGACACAUCGGGAAUCCCUAAACCUUAUUCUCGACGUUGUUGACACCACGUUGGAGGAAGACAUAACGUACAAUUAAUGAUAUGUCCUUCCUCCGACGCAACACUAUAGACGUCGGGAAUAGGUGCACAUUUCCCGAUGCACCUGGCACCACGUCAGAGGAAGGUCAAAUGGUACAAUUAAUUGUCCACCCUCUUUCGACGCUACACUUUCCAUGUUGGGAAUAGGGGUCCAUUUUUCGACGUACCUCAUACCACGUCGGAGGAACCUUAAACCAUUACGAUAGUUUCGAUGCUAAUAUGUCUGCGUCAAGGGAAAUACCCUUCCUCGACGUGCACUAAGAUGCACCGAAAAACACCUACUUCUACUGACGUCAUGUUUCUCGAUGAUUUUUUCUGCGUCGGAAAACAUCUAAUUUCUUGUAGUGAUAUCAUUCAUUUGAAACCAAAAGCAUGAAGUUUACAUUAGGGAAUUUAAAGAAUUCUUAUGCUAAAUUAGCCUAUUCAUAGGCUUCUUUGAAAUUUGUUUGUCACCACCUACUUAAUUAAGUUGAUGCUUAACCUUAGUUGGCUAUGUGUCCCCACUAAACCGACUUAAGAGGUUUAGCUCAACAUCUAGCCUACCAACUUACUUUGGUCGCCUUGUCCACGUCUUACACCAUUGGCCGCAUAGUCUCGUUUAAGUCAGCUAACCCUCAUGUGGCAUGACCCUUCCUCCUUCCAAAUUGGCCACCUAGUAAGCAUAUCCUCCUAACUUUAAUCUCUUUGAAGAUACUUAGCCUUGUGCCAUAGUCCUCACUUUGGUCUCCUAACUCACAUACUUAGGCCGCCUAAGAGAUACUUAGUCCCAGCACAACCUUCAUAGUAUGAUCACCUAACACUCCAAGGACCUAGCAUCUUCUUGGUCGUUCAACUUUGUUUUGGUUGCCCUUUGGCUAUUCACUUUGAAUGUCAUUAGCCAACAUCUUGACUACAUACUUAGCCAACUCUAUACUCUUGAUCACUCUUUGUUAACAAUACAUGUCAUCAACCUAUAUAUAUAUAUAUAUAUAUAUAUAUAUAUAUAUAUAUAUAUAUAUAUUUAUUUAUUUAUUUAUUUAUAUUUAUAUUUAUUAUUUUACCUUGCUAUGGAUGUUAACACAAUUUGUCUGUUCUAUUUUAUUUUAUUUGACACUUCUGAUUUGUUUCAAGAUUUUAAUUUUUUUUAAAAAAAUAAAAAUAGUAAAGGGUAGAAAAACCCGAAGGGAUGCGGGAGAUUUGUGUUUUGGAGGAAAAAGAGAAUAAACUUAGUUUUUAGUAAGGGUGUAAGAAUAUGAGUUGAACCCAAAUAACCCAGACUAUCCAACCCAUAUUAUAAGAGUUGGGUUAGGUUAGGUUAAAAAAUUUUGAUUUUUUUUUGGUCUGGUUGGGUCUCGGGUUGGAGGUUUGAAAAAUUCGGUUUAACCCAACCCAACCUGGUCUUUCUCCCAUCGCACGCGCCGCUCACCUUUCUUCACUAUCUUCAAUUCUUCUCUUCUAUCUCACCCCAGUCUUCGAUCUUCUCCCUCACAAUCGCGUCGUCCACCUCUGUUUCCGACGGUUGAUCAUCUCCCUCUUCGGUUUCCUCUCUCCCUCUUCGAUCUUCUCCCUUACAAUCGUGUCAUCCACCUCCAUUUCCCUAAACCCUAAAAAAAAAAGACAUAUAUCAAAUCCAACUCAUAUUUUACGGGUUAGGUUGAAAACUAAAUUCGGGUUGUCAACCCAUAUAACUCAAAAAUAUGGAUUGGGUUGAGAAUGUCUCCCAACCCAACCUAACCCGAUUACAUCCCUAGUUUUUAGAUUUAUAUGAUAAAUGUGAUGAUAAUGUUCCUAUAUUUGCAUAAAAAGUUUAUAAAAUAAAUUAAUAAGAAUUCAUGAUUAUUUAUCAAUCUUAGUAAUACAAUGGAUCUAGAUCCAAAUCAUUCAAAUAUAGAAAUACAUCUUAACCAAUUAAGAGGAUUCUAACAACAUGGAUAGAAGUAAAGUAAGACUUUUUUUUUUUUUUUUUAAAUUUAAAAAAAUUUAGAAAGCAACGUAAAGCCAAAAUACGAUUUUAAUUUCUACUUUUUUAUAAUUGACUGACCGGUUGUUUUGGUGUCCAGAUAGAGAAAUUCGACUAAACUCAACCUGGUUUAAUAUAUAUACUUCUUAGGGUUUUGACAUUUCCCUCCAUUUCGUCCUCUGUUCACUCCCAACCCAAAACGCCGUUCUCCGCCAAUUGCCGCCGACCACGCCGUGCUCCUUUCAAUUCAUUGUCCGUCGUCUUGAGCGUGGGCGUCCGUCGAACUGCACCCCAGUCAUCCACCGUUUGCCCUUCGUUGCACCUCCGCUCGCUGGCGCGUACUUUCCAAUUUCUUUUAGUUUUGAGUACAUUAUUCGUCAGUCACCAUAAAGAAUCAAAACUGCUGAUGGACCCGACCCCUCCACUCCGUAGCACUGCAGCCCCCUCCGCGAAUUGCGUUCCAUCUGUAGCAACUGAACGCGAUGCCCUAUUUCCUAAUUCCACUCUCUAGGUAUUUAUUUCUUUCAAUGUUCGACCACGCUAGCAAAUUCUGCAGUCUUUUGCUUUGAAAUUGAAUUAGUUUUUUAAUUUUACUUAUCUGUAUAUAUCAACUGAUUAGAUCCAUUGGUUGUUAUGACCUUACUCUUGUUGUUUCCGAACUUAACCCUGAAUGUCAAUCCUCAAGCAGGUUGAAUAAUUUGAAUUUUUAAUCUUAAGGACAUUCUCCUUUGAAAUUCAGGCAAACAAUCCGUAGAAUGAUCCUGUUUUGCCUUGGCCGAUGACUGUGUGAGGUUUUCUUUUAUGGCUGAAGCUUAAAUUCGGUGUCUAGCCUGUUUCUUUGAGUUGUUUUACAUUCUUUAACCAAGAAAAUGGAAUCCAGUGCAACUCCUGGACCAGAUGAUCCUUUAAUUCUCAAAGAGCAAGAUAAUCACAUUUCAUCAGACAUUUGGGAUGGAAAGGUAAUAGACUUUUAGAUUUUUUGGAGCUUUGAUCAAUGAUAUUGUAUCCAUUUUAUAACCCAGUAUAUAUAUGUGUGUUUUUGUGUAUACAUAGGUUGAGAUAUAUUUUUACUGUUAUGCAUUUAAAAAAUUGCAGGAAAGAGGUGUGCUUAGGUGUCUAGAGCAUACUUCCAUUCUUGAGAGAUGGAAACUUACAGGAAAACAGAUUGAGCUAGUUGAAAAGGCUGGAUUCGGGUAUUUGAGAUUGAUGCCAGCUGUAACCCUUGACUGUGCGCUUAUCUCAGCAUUAGUGGAGAGAUGGAGAAAGGAAACAAAUACCUUUCAUUUUUCAGUUGGAGAAAUGACAAUAACACUUGAAGAUGUUGCUCUUCUACUCGGAUUGUCAAUUGAUGGAAAACCUGUUACAGAUGUGGAUGUUGACCCCAAGUCACUUUGUGAAAAUUUACUCGGGAAAGCUCCAACAGAUUUCAAGGGUGCUGUGAAAUUAACUUGGUUGAAGGAGGUUUUCUCUGAAUGCCCCGAAGAUGCAGGGAUCGAACAAAUAGAGUAUUCUACUCGUGCAUAUCUCUUAUACUUGUUAGGCAGUACUAUAUUUGCCUCAACAAGUGGGAACAAAGUUAGUGUCAUGUACCUUUCACUAUUCAAGGAUUUUGAUGAAGCUGGGAAGUAUGCUUGGGGUGCUGCUGCUUUGGCUUUCUUGUAUAGAGCACUAGGCAAUGCUUCUCUUAAAUCUCAGCGCACUAUUAGCGGUUCUUUAACACUUCUGCAGGCAUGUAAGCUUGUUGCUCUUUUCUUUUAGUGUUCACGAAUGUUGGUAACUUAGGGUCAAUGCGACUAUCAUUAUCUUGCAUCUCUGAAAUGUCGUGUUCUCAUUAAAAUGCUGACACCCUAUCUGGAUUUUUUUUCCUCACCUACAUAACAGUGUUGGAGUUAUUAUCACUUGAAUAUUGGCCGGCCCAAAUUAAAAAAGGAUCCAGAGAAUUGUUUUCCGUUUCUACUUAAAUGGACGGAAAAUAGAAGUGGUUCCCGAAUGGGAAUAAAUUUGCCCACAUACCGUAAGGCCUUGGAUUCUCUUCAGCCCUCUGAUGUAAGUUUCCUAUAAUACUUCAGUAUUUCCCCCUUCUGUAUAAUAGAAGAUUGUAUGACUUUUUUGUUUAUUCAAUAUAUAGGUACAAUGGCUUCCCUACAAGGAUAUGGACUUUUCUGUUGUACCAGAAGAUAUCAAGAACAGUUUGGUCUUGCGCACGUCAAGAACAAUGCUAAUUUGUUUUGAUAAGGCUGAGAAACAUCUUCCAGACCGAUGUUUGAGACAGUUUGGCCUGCCUCAACCUAUUCCGAAGGACAUUGAGGAUUGGAAGCGGAAAAUUUCUUCAAUGGAUAGCAAGGAGGAACUGCCACCAGAGCUCAAAGAAUGGUCAGAGAGGUAUGAAUUUAUCAAUAAUGGUGUUGAUAGUGUAGACGAAAGUGAGUAUCUGCAAUGGUAUGAAAAGAUCACCCGCAAAUUUGUUGGACGAGCCGAAUCGUGGGAGUCAAGAUUUAGACAAACAAUUAAGGCUAUGCAUGAAGUUGUGAAGAUAGUAAAUUCAAUCUCCACGAAUGGGAUGGAUCGAGAGGAUCGCAAGUUAUUCAGUAAUGUGAGAACUAUGGUACAGAAAUGUUGGACUGAAAAAUACGCUGAUUCACCCAGUGAAGGGGAUAGGGAUAGUGCAAAACGUACUGGGAAACGUAAGAGAGAAGGUUAAUCAAAUAUUGAUGAUGGUUAGUCUCCAUUCCCCUCUAAAAGCCAGGGUUCUAUUGCACUUUCAAAUAUUGUUAUUCAGUAAAGACCCAGAAAAUGCCAGUGUGGAAACAUUUUGACACUUGAUAAAUGUAUGAGGCAGUUCUUGGGAUGGCUCAGUUUAUAAAAUCUUAAUUUGCCUAUGCUCUCCGGACGAACAAUGGAGCUGGGGCAAUUGGGAUAUUCCUACAAGAGUUUUCGGGCAAUUGGGAAUCAGUAGACUUCAGUAGACGUUUGAUGCAAAGUUUUGGAAACUCUCCUCUGCAAUGCAAUUGAUCCGGUACUCUUCCUUGUUUUUCCUUUGGAAGAGCGAAUAUUCCAAGGUACACCGAGGUAUUGGAAGUUAUUCAUUGGGUGACCUUUUCCAAUAAAUGGUUAAUUGAUGAUCACUAGAAAGCACUUCUUUUGUUCAAUUUAUAACUUGGGAGCAGAUUCCUUCUUUUUGUUGCUAAGAAAUAUCCAACUUGAAUAUAAAGGGGUUAAGACUUGUGUCCUGGACCAAGAUGUUAAGACUUAAGUUUGAAUCUCCUCUUACAUGGAUGAGCUUUUUAAAACUUGUUUUUAGCUUUCAGCAUGUGUAGCCUAAGAAUUCAAAUAUGAACAAUUCAAAUAUGAACGCGUCAUUGGCUUAUGGCCUGUUAAGUGAAGGACUUUCAAAGGACUCAUUUUUAUUUAAAUUCUUUUUAAAAUAAUCUUUGUAAGUGUUUAGAAGUUAUUUGAAAUAACUUAUUAUUCAUCACUCAAAGUUAAAUUAAACACCCUCUUAGUUUCAGCUCUGGAAGUUGAACUUUGAAAACAUUUGUAAGAAGAUUAUGAUACAUAAAAAAAUCUACUUCAACUUUGGUAGAUUGAACUAUGGUUCAAAUAUUAUAUGAUUGAAUCUUCACAUUUUUUGUAUUCCAAGUAUAAUCACAUUUAUGAAAUGCUAAUGUUAGAUAUGAAACACCGGUGAAUUCUUGUAAUUCUAAUUAUAUUUUAAAUAGUGAUUUUAAACCUAUAAUAAAUAAAUAUUGUAUAUGUAACUAUAACUUCUAGUGCAAUCUUGUAGUUUUAAUUAUUUUGGUAAUUUUUAAUCUAUAAUAAAUUGAUAUUAUACAACUAAGAAAAGUCACACAAAAUAAUUGUGAAAUCACACGAAAUAAUGGAUUGUUUCACCAUAUUAAUUAUUACUUUUACGUAUUUUGUUUUGCUUUUAACCUAGCAUGUUAUAAUUUUAUUGGAAGAAUCAAUUUACCAAUUCGUGCGUAGAAACCUCAACCUUCAAUAGAUGUCAAUAGUUGCACUUAAUAAAAUUGAAAAAGGAACCUUUAUUGUCUCUGAAAGAUCAUUUUUAUUGUUGACACUUCAAAAGCAAAUAUGAGAGAUGGAUAAUUCUCACAUAAAAAGAAGUGUUAUGAUAAAUGCUUGUCGAAUUACUGUCUUGAAAGCAAUUACGGUAUGAUCAUGAUGUAACGUGCGCUCGCGAUGAUGUGGAUAUAAUCAAUUGAAGUGUAAACAUCCAAACUUAGCUACUAUAUGUAACUUUUGUAAUACCAGUAAAAAUCUGUUAUAAUAAGUCGUGAUAUUUAUAAUUAGUUGUGAUUAUUUAAACGUUUAUGAAAUUCCUAAGUGUUAAAGGGUAAAGUGUGUUGGAUUGAAGUGAAGUUGGUACGGAAAAAAGGGUGACAGGGACGCAUUCAAGAGACACAGGAGAAUAAUUAAUUGAAAACAUGUGAUGGAAUUUACAAGGAUGGAUUGAACAUUUAACUCAGAAAACAAAAGCAAGAGAUAAACAAAAAUCAAAGUAAAUGGUAAUAAGUUAAAUAAAAUAAUUUAAUUAAGCAAAAAGGGAUAUUUACACCAUUAAGUAAUUUAAUUGAGCUAGAAGUUAACGAGGAAGAAAACGAAGGUUAACUAUGCACAAAACAAUCAAAUUUUGAAGUAGGAGGUGUCAACUUCAUAUGCAACAUCAGCCUGCAGAAGAAGUUUAUUUAAGGAUAACCUUAGCCAAUUGUUCUGAUUUCAUUGGCAAGUUAAACUUGAGAGAGUGUAGUUUAUGUGAGUGUAAUCUCUCUUUUUUUUUUUAACAAAUGACAAAUACGUUUAUAGAGUUUCAAUUAUAUUUACUAGGUCAUGGCAUAUUCAACAUCUUUUAAAGCGAAUGAAUCAAUUAUAUGUACAUAAAUGUGAAUACGUAUAUUACAUCCUUAAACUUUGAUUAAGUAGAAAAAUAAAUAAAUAAAAAGUUUAGAGGCUUGUUAAUAGAUUUAAAAAUUUAUUAGACACAAAAUUAGAAGUUGAAUCGCGGUUAGAAAUUCUCACAUUAUUAUACAAAAAAAAAAGGAUUGUAAUAUAUAUCAAUUUAAAAUUUUUAAACAAUUACAUUUGUAUCAACAUAUUUUAUAAUCUAUUAUAUUUCGUUCAAAAAAUACUAUCACUCACAAUCAUACUAAUCAAACACGUGAGAGAAUUAAUGCAAGAACAAUAUUGAAAUAUAAACAUAAAUAAUGGAUCCAAUUGAUAGUACUUACAAAAAUUCAAGAGUUUAAUGAAACAGGAUUGUGGGUUGUAAGUUCUUUAAAAGUAAUUUACAUAAAUGGUUAAGUAAUUUACAUAAAUGUAACAAACCAAAAUUAUCAUGGCUCGUAUGAUAAUAAGUCUAUGAUACAAUAUUUUUUUUUUUUUUUGUAAAUUAUAUAUAUGACCUUUCGAUUUAUAUCUUCUUUACAAUUUAUUAAUCUUGAGUCAUCUCGGUGCAAUUAAGGUUCCAAGAUUGAAUAACUAAAGACAUGCAAAAGUCUUUCAUUUCGAGACAUCUCGAGGCAAUGUAUGUCCGAGAUCGAAUAAAAUAAAGACAAUUCUUUCAUCUUCGAGCCAUUUUGGUGCCACUAAGGUCUGAGAUCCAAUAUAACUAAAGGAAGAAUGCUUUCAUCUCGGGGCAUUGUAUACCCAAAAUCGAAUGUAUUAAAGGCAGAAUUCUGUCAUCUCGAUGCAUCUCUAUACAACUAAGGUCUAAUGUCAUGUAUUGUAAUCUACAUGAUCGUUUAAAUUUGAAAGUCAUCGUUUAAAAUGGAAGUAUAGGAUUGUGUAGAUCUACAUUUAUGUCUUUCAUCUCGAGUCAUCUUAGUGUAUUGUAUGCCUCAGAUCGAAUGAAUUAAAAGCAAUGUUCUUUCAUCCCGAGGCAUCUUGGGGCAUGGUAUGUCCAAGAUCGUAUAUCAAAAUCUACAUGAUCGAGCGUAUGUGGUUGAUUUAUCACGAGUUGACAUGGGUAAUUAUGGUACUUUACAUUGUGGGCCUAUGGAAUUUUUUCAAUUUUCAAAAUUGUUUUAUAUAAUAUAAAUAUUUUGCCAGUUUGUUAUAUUUUUUAAAAACUCUAAGUUUUACAUAGUGAAGUUUAAAUUGAUACAAUUAUUAGUCUAUGGUUUAAAUUGAUAUGACCUCAAAGUUUAAAGUUUAAAGGUUAAUUUUCUUAAAUAUAACAAAACACCAAAAUAUUUAUGGUCAAUAUAACAAAAACGAAAAGCCCAUGAAGUCAGUAAAAUAUUUUGUAAAUUCUAGAUUUGCUCUUGAUAUUUUGAACGAUUCAUCACUUCUGUUUUUUCUUCUUCUUUGCAAUUUAUUCAUCUUCUCUUUCAAAUUUCUUCAGCUCAUCUUUUCAUAUUUUCUUUCUUCUAUUUUUAUUCAUCAUCUUUUUUUCUUUCUUUCUUCAAGCUCAUCUUCCAGAAUAUCAAGAUCGUUUAAAUAUCACUAUGAUAUUUGAUAUGAUCUAAACGAUCGCCUACCUAGUCAACAUGAUCGUUUAGAUUUGAAGUCCUUUUCACAUCGUUUAAAAAGGACUACAUAUUUGUGUAAAUAUGAUCUAAGCAAUCGCUUACCAUAGUCAACACGAUCAUUUACCAUGAUCAACAUGAUUGUUUAGAUUUGAAGUCCUUUUUCCAUCAUUUAAAAUGAACUACGCGAUCGUGUGGAUAUGUUCCAAACGACCGCUUACCAUAUUCAAUAUGAUCAUUUAACAUGCAUGGUCAACACGAUUGUUUAGAUUUGAAGCAAUUUUUCCAUCGUUUAAAAAGAAUUAAUUACACGAUCGUGUGGAUAUGAUCUAAAAGAUCGUUUAGCGUGAUUAACACGAUCGUUUAGAUUUGAAUCAUUUUUCUCCUCAUUAAAGAAAACUACAUGAUCGUUUUGAUACUACCUAUAUGAUCGUGUAUCAAUUCCUAGACAAUCGUGUAUCAUGAUCGUUUAGUAGACGAAUUACAUACAAGCAUAUGAUCAAUUAAUCGCGUGUUGACUGGGAAUGGCGGAUCCAAAAAUUUUAUAUAGUGGGUCAUCAUGCACUAUAUAAUAUCACACUAAAAAUGUUUAAAAAAAAGAUUUCGACAUUUCGUUGAUGCUCCAAUAACGACAUUCACUACAUUUAUAGUAAUAAAGAAAAAACUAGCAAUUUCCACGUCAUAUUUUGUAAUGUAAACGUGAAUUUAAAAAUUGCAUAAAAAAAGAUAAAGAAAAGAAUAAUACUUUUUUCAUAUAAAUAUUGUUGAGAGAGUGGAAAUUUAGAUCAUCAUCUUUGUUGCAUUUUUUUUCUAAAUACUUAUUAGAUAGCGAACGACCACUAGAAAAAAGUUAGAAUUUUAUCUUAGUUAGGUUUUGUUCAUUUUUUAAAAAAACUAUUUUAUAACAUUAUUGAAACUUAUCAAUAAAAUUGAAAUUUGGAGUCUUGAAUAAAUAAAAUUAUUGAAAUGUUACUGAAUUAACUUGUAGUCUUUAAUUUUGAAAUUAAAUUAAAUUAAUAUAUAAUGUGAAUUAAAAAAUUACACAAAAUGUUUUUUUCUAAAUAUUUGUUAGGUUAGAUAAGUUUUUUUUUUCUUUUUAAUUAUUGAUUGUUUGAAAUAAAAUUUAUUUUGUUACAAUUUAGAAAAAAAUUUAGAGAUUUAAAAAAAUAAUUGUAAUAACCGUUGAAGAGUGAGCCAACAACCAUUGUACUGUAACUAAAAUUUAGCUUAGCUAAAUUAAAGCAUUAUUUAACCUAUGUUUACGAUGAUAUUUCAAAAUUAAUAUUAAAAUAUAAAAACUCAUAAUAUGACAUCUUAAAAUUAAUAUUAAAAUAUAAAAAACUGAUAAUACAACCGCAGCAGUUGUGUUGUGGAAUAAAUCUGCCCAAGUAGUAUUAUUUUUUAAAAACCCAAGUUUAAAUUGAUAUUUUGCGGUAUUUUUAUUUGGUGAAGUUUACUAUUAUGUAAUGAAAUAUUCCACUUGCUCUUAUGUACAUAUCAAACUCAUAAAUGUGAGAAAGGUGGGAAGCUAAAGUUUAUACAAAAACCGAAAAUUAAAGAAUUAAAAAAAUGUGAAGAAUAAUGGUUACAAUGAAGCAAAUGUAGAAAGCGAAACAAUAACGUCAUCAAGCCAUCCCUCACUCACACAAGACUCAUACAAGUCGAAGCUGCCUUAGCCAAUACUCUAACCACAACAGAUCUAUACCUGAGAGGCUUAAUCAACCUCCACGGGCUGAUUCCGCUCUCGUACCCAUCCGCGGUGACAACACUUACCGUCGUCUCCUUCGGAACCACGUGGAACAUCGGGGUCGGUGCUAACCGAGCCUGUCUCUUCCGAAUCUCACUCAACUCUAUUCUCGACGGAGUUUUUGUUAAUCCUAUCAACGCCAUCGGCCUCCUCGAAUUACUCCGUUGAAUUUCAAAUAAUCCGCCCACUGCAGACGAAGAAAACGGUCUCGAUCCAUUUCCGUACCGAAAGCUCUGGUUUCGAAUCAACGAUGAUUCCGAUCUAUUUCUAGAACUUGCAGAGUCUUCAUCUCGGAAUAUGUCCAAAGUCCUCCCGCAGAAAACGAUUUCACUUGGAGGCAACAAUGAACUUGUUUUCCGCUUCAAAUCGGUGCGAAAUUCGAAGAAAUCUUGGCGAUCGUCGUGAUCACUGCAGGAAUCCCCGGCUUCCGAUUGUGGUUCGAGAAUUGGAAAAUCACGGAAAGAGAGAGUGUCUUCGUCGUCUUGAACGUCAAGGACGUCCAACAAAUCUGGAUUAUACUUCACUGACUCCAUCGAAGCAGAAAGAAUGGUUUUAGAAAAAGAAAAUUGCGGUGAAAUGAAGAUGAAGAUGGAAUUGGUGGAUUAAAUAAAGGGAGAAAGAGGAAAGAAGGAGGAUGCUUCCUUUGGAGAACUUCUGGAAGGGUGGAGAUUGGAUUUGAUCCACCAUGAAUUAUAAUAUGGUGUUUUUUUAGCUUAAGCGUGUAUGCCAAGAUUUUCAAUACGGAGACUUUCUAGAAACACACUUAAGACAAGAGACUCUCUAAUAAAACUUUUGUUGUAGUUAUUAUUAUUAUUUCUAUACAAUAUUUUAUUUUAUUUUUUAAAACUUUAUAGGUUUGAUUGAUUAAUAAAUUUACAUUUGCACUAUAAGUUAUAAAUAUUUGGUAACAAAGUUGUAAAUAUUUUAUAUAGGGCUUAGUUGUAAAUAAUUUGUCUAUUUUACUGCAUUCUACAAUUCCUGCUUAUAUAUAAUUGGAAGUCAUCUAUUAAAAAUACUUUUAGGAGAAUAGACUAACUAAUAAAUAUGUGAAGAGUUAGCAGUUGGAUGAUGUGUAUCCAUUGUAUUUAAUAGAAGUGGGGUUGACAAAAAAAUAAUUUUUAAUAAUAUAUAUAUAUAUAUAUAUGUAUGCAUGCAUGCAUGCAAAUACACAUACAUCUAUCAUCUAUAUAUAAUAUAUAUGAAAAGCUAAUAAAAAAAACAUUUUAAGACAAAUUUGUCCCUAUGCAUUUUAAUUAAUCAUAUAUAUUUUUUAAAAUUUGAAAUAAAUAAACGUUCUAGAAUUAGAUGUAUUAAAUUAAAAAAUUAUUAGGUAAAUAGAUUUUUAAAAAACCCGUAACUUAUAAUUGAAUGAUUAGAGUAAUAAUUAACUAGAAUUUAAUUUACUUUUAUAGAUUGAGCUUUAGGGGCCGUUUGGAUGAAGGGUUGAGUUAUGGAAGGGUUAGGGUUAUGAUAAAACUAGUUUUAUGAUAAAAGUUGUUUGGAUGAAGGGUUAUGUGAGUAGUGUUAUGAUAGUGUUAUAAUAAUAUGUGUUUGGGAGAAGGGUUAUGUGAUUUGUGUUAUGAUAGUUUUAUGAUAAUAUGUGUUUGAGGGAAGGGUUAUGUAUGUAGUGUUAUAAAAUUUAUUUUUUAUACAUUUUUUUUAAAAAUUCAUAUUCUAAAUCCAACCAAAAUUUUGUAUAUUUAGUUUACUAAAUUAUUAUAUUUUCGUCAAACAAUUUUCAAUAAUUUCUUUAAAUUUGACGUCUUUUUCCAACAUUUUUUAGGUUGUCGUUAUGUGCAAAUAAUUUAUUAACUUUUUAAAGAAAUUUUGUAUUCUAAAUCUAAUACACAGAUUUAUUUGACGUAAUUGUUACGUUCAAAUAAAUUAUUUAUCUAAUCGUUCUAGUUUUCGUAACACAAUUUUCCUUAAUUUAUUUAAAUACAAUAUGAACUUUUUUUAAGUAAUCGUUUCGGUUGAAUAAAUUACUAUUUUUCUUUUAAGGAUAAAACAUUCUUAGUUUUUUCUUAUCUCAAUAUUAUGUUUUUUUUUUUCUCAUCUUUUUAAAUUAAAGGAUUGUUGUUCUGGAAGCAACAAAAAUGAUAAAAAAAAUUAUAAUAAAUCAAUGAAAGAUAUAAAAAUAAGGAAGAAGAAAGAGAAAAAAAAAAGUACAUUUUGGAAAAAUAUAGCAUAAUUUGGUAAAAAAUUAGAUUUAAAAUUUAAUUCAAAUAAAUCUUAAAUCAAAUCACCAUUGAAUUCAUUUUUUUAAAAGGAAAAUUCUUAUACAUUUCAAGUUUAAAUACUUCCAAAAAAGAUAUUUGUUAUCUUAGUUAAUUUAACGUUAAAUCCUCUUAUUUGAUUUUAUUUUGAUUUUUCUAUAAGUUUAAUAAAAUUCAUUUUUUUAAAUUUAUUUAACUUAAAUUUAUCCGAAAUAGUUUAGAUACAUAUAGAUUAGUUUUAAAAUAAAAUAUUUGAAAAGGUAAAAAACAAAUAAAAGACAUAAAAUAAUAAAAAAAAAUUAAAGUAAAUACAAGUACUAAAUGCAUAAACUAAUCACAAUUUAUAUUUAUUUAAAUUUUAUUUUGUAAAUAAAAUAAAUUAAAAACAAAAUUAUUUUAAGAUUAUUAAAUUAAUUGAAAAAACAAAUGGCAUUUGAUAAAUAAAAGAGUAUUUUUUUUUAAGAAAAAAUGAAAUGGUAAAUUUAUGGAGAAUUGAAAAAGUAGGAUUAGAGAGGGCUGAAGAGAUUGAGAAGGAAGAGAGAGGGGAAGAUGAGUUAUGAUAAACCUAAAACAAGGGUUAUGAUAACCCUUCCCCAAACAAGGGUUGGGUUACCAUAAACUUAACCCAAAAGUGAUAAUCCUUCCUCCAAAUUUAAUAAGAAAAAUGCUUGGCUAAUAAUUAAUUGAAUCCAAACCUACCAUAUAAACACAAAAUUAUUUUAAUGCUUCUCACAUUAUAUGUCAAUUUUUACUUUUUGAAGAUUGAAGAUUGCUCAACAUGAAGAUAGACGAAUGAAAUUGUUCAUAAUAAAAAAAUAUUUGUUAAUUUAUAUUUUGGGUGUGUUUAUUAUAGUUUCUACUCUUUUUUUUUAAUAAUUCAACCGUUCAUAGUAUUUUUUUUUUUUUUUUUUUUGUCUAUAGAAGGUACAUAACUUCAUUUUCUUAAACUUUUAGUUUAUCGAAAAAGAAUGGAUUGAUGAAAAAAGUUGUGAUUAAUAAAGUUUGAAGUUUUUCUAAAAACGUAUUCAACCAAAGUAAUUACAAUUGUUUACAAAUUUAUAUCACACCAAAUCAAAAAUAAAAAUAAAAAACCUCUUUGCAUUUAAAAUUUUAUAGUUGUUACAUUUAUUACACUAUGUUUGAAGGGACACAACCACUAUACGAGAGACAAAAUUUAGUAACACUAGAGCAUUAUUUAAUAUAUAUUGUAAUUUCAAAAUUAAUAUUAAAAUACAAAUAAAAAAUGUAAGAGGGAGACGAGCCCCUACCUCUUAAUAAAUCCGUCCUUGUGUGGAAGACAUAGUCAAACUUAUUAAAUGUGUACGUCAAGCUUCCUAUCUUCCUCCAUAGGGGUUAUUUAAGACCAUUAUAAGUGCAUUUAUGUGUUUAUAUAGCUAGGUUUGUAUUUUUUACUUAUUAAUUAGUAUGCCCCUUAAAAUUUGUGUCAUAUUUUCUAACCGUAUUCAUUCUAGCCAUCUUUAUCGAACCAUAAUUAAAAUUAGUUUAUUCGUAAAAGAAUUUCAUUAGAUAGAUCAAUUAUAGUAAACUUAAAUCGUAAAUAUAAUUGAAUUACUUUUGAUCACAUUUAUUUAGAGUUAUGAAUCCUUCACGUCUACUAUUAUUGUUACCAUUUGACUCUAAGUAGGAUCAAAAUUGUGACUGUAACAAUUAAAUGUAAAGAUAAAAUAACAAAUGUCAGUUCAUAAUUAUCAUAUGAUUACAAUAACAAUAUCUUAAUAACGAUAACAAUGAAGGGUAGUUAGUUCAACAUAAUUUUUAAGCAUAAUUGGAUAAUUAAGCACGUUCCUUAAUCAGAUUAUUUGAUUUGAUUACAAAUUUGGAGGUAGGACCUACGAUUGUUCAUUAAAAUUACAAAACACAAGUAAACAACAACAAAGAUUAUUAACUCGGGCCAACUUUUUAUAUUUUCAUUUAUGAAUUUCGAUUGAGGUAAAUGUGGCCUUACUUGUGUUUAAAUGGUGUUUGAAUUGGAUCUUUGCACAACUCUUGACCUUUUAAAUGGCUUAGAUUAAUGAUAUUAAAACUGUGUGUUUUCAAGAAUUGUCACUUUGUUGUUGUUUUUUCUUUUUUCAAAUAUUGCUUUAGAAUUGAUAUUUAUUGAAUUAGUCUUAGUCUUAUAGUUCUCAAAUGAAUUGUCUUAGAUCUAACAAUGAUUUAUCCUUCUAACUUUGUUUUAGAUUUGUAAGUGUUUGCAAAAAUCUAAAUUAGUAAAUGGUUCAGCAAUAGAGCAAUUUAAUGAAUGAAUUUUAUUUGGAUUAAAUUUUUAAAUGUUUAAUGUAAAAAAUAAGUUAUUCGGUAAAAAGUUGGGAGUAUUUGAAAGCUACUUAAAAUAGUUUUUUAAAUGUAUUUUAAACCAUUUUCACAAAAAUGAGUUUAAAGAAAAAUGAGUCGUUUCUUGAAAAAAAAAAAAUCUUCAGUCAAUCCAAACGGACCCUAUAUCGUUAUUGUGAAUGUCAGUUUGAUGAAAAAGACUAUAAAAAGCAUGAAUAUAAGAGAAAAGUAUCUCUAUUGAUGAGCUAUAGGAAGGAUGAUUCGAACCUAUAUAAUUGUAUUCCAGAAACAUAUACGAGCAUCGUAUGAUUGUAAAACAUUAAUAAAGAUUCACUAGGUGUAAAGAAAGCCUCCAAUAAACAAAGAGAAAUUGCAUUAGAUGACAAUACUUUUAUAUAAAAAAAGUAUAUAUAUAUAUAUAGCUAGUUUUCUUAAAAGAAAAUAAACGUACGUUAGUUAGUUCAGAUAUUUGUAUAUAUAUAGUCUAAUAUGAAAGAUAUUGCAUUAUUUGAUUUGAACCUCCAUAUGUCACAUGGUUUUUAGUUAGAAAACAGAUUAAAUUGGACCUUAAUCUAUAAGAUAUUCUCAAGUCAUCUAACUCUAAAUAUAAUAUAAUUUUCCAGGAUGAAACCUACAAAAUCUAUAAGAUAUCCUCAAGUCUUCCCAACUCUCUCUAUAUAUAAAUUAAUAUCAUUUUCCCAAGAUGAAACCUAAGAAAACAAUCAAAGUCAUAAAAUGUAUCAAUAUGGUGUAGUAUUUUUCAAAUCAACUCAACAUUCAACAACUACACAUUUUGUCUUUUACAAUCCAUAUUUUAGGGGUUUUUUUUUUUGUUUGAGAAAAACAGUUUAAUCUAUCUAUAUAUGUACUUGUAUCUAUACUAUAUUAAAGUGUGAGAUUCAUGAGAAACAUUUUUAGUCUAAAUUAUCCUCCUUAAUUUUAAGUUAUUACAUUUAUGUAUCCUUACUAUAGUGUUUUUAAUUUUAUUAUUCAUUUUAGUUUUAAUUUUAAGUUAUAACAAGGGACACUUAAAAAAUAAAAAGAGGAAAAACAAGUAUUAAUAAUUAAGUCUAUAACACACAUUUAUUGUUUGUAAAAAUGAUAAAGACAAAACCAACCCACUUAUAUAAUAUGUGAAAUGCCAUAAAUGUCUUUGUUACUGAUAUACAUUUGAUACACUUGAUACGCACCUGAUACAUCUGAUACUCUUUGAUACACUUGAUAUACAUUUGAUACUUCUUGAUAACUUUUGAACCUUGAUACACACUUGAUGUACCAUGAUACUCUUUGAUUGUGAGACUCGUUUCUAAUUUGAAUAUAGGAAUUAAAAUUCGGUUAAAAGUAUUAAAGAAAUUGGUGUUUGAAUAAAUCUGCCGAAAGGAUUAAGCGAUAAAAUCUUUUAUGGUUAGUAUAAGUUUUGAGAAAAAGAGGGUUUGCAGUAGAAUCUAUAAGUCUAAACGCUCUAAAAAAAGUUUGCUUAAGUUAAGUUUUGACUAAAACGACUAGGCGUUUAGGUAGUCUUCACGAUAAGAACCAAGGGUUUCGUGAUAAAAAAGUAUGCGAGGAAGUCUUGAAGUUUAAGUUCACGAUAAGUGUUCUAAGCGAGUAAAAAUUGGUUAGUUCGCGAUGAAGGUUUCUUGUAAAAAUAAAACCACGCGAUAAGGUUAUUCGCGAUGAGUGUUAAGUGGUUAAAAUUAUUUGUGGUAUGGGCUUAGGCAGGAAGUAAGGUCUAACUAAGAAAAUGUCAAAUAUGAUUUGACAGGGAUUAACGUGUAAGGUUAAGAAGUUAAAGCAUGUUGGGUUGAGUAUUAAAUUCAUGUGUAAAGUUUUAAGCAGAAGCUGGCAAAGUGAGAAGAGUUUAAGCAUGACUAAGAUAGUUUAAGGGCUUUAUAAAUAGAGGGUUUGGUCAUUAAGUAAGAAAGUUUUAUUAAAAAAAAAAAAAGCUAAAAUGCUAUUGUUUUAAUUUGCUUUUGUGAGAAGGAAAAAAAAACAAAAUAUUAAGUACGGUGAUUUGUUCCGCGAGAAGGCUCCACAAGACGAGAAUGAAGAGGAAGAUUUUUGUUAAAGUGUGGUGAGUGGUUUUCUUCUUAAAAGUUUUGUGAUUCUGCUUUACUAUUUUAAAAGAUGAUUUCAAAUGAGAAAGUGUUUAAAAAAGAAAUUUCUAUGAAAAGAUUAUAUGUCUUCAAGCAUGAUUUAUAAUGUUAAAGCUUGAUUUGAUGAUUACGAUUUCCUAAGAAAUGAUUUUCAAAACAUUAGUUGAUUCCUUGAGAUAAUAAUAACUUUUAUGUUCACAUAAAGAGUCAAGGCCACCAUGGAGUGUAUGGACUACAUGGUGAUAAGAAAUUGGCUUAUGUGUUGAAAGGAGUGUAUAAAGCUCAGCAGUCUAAGCAACAAGGAUGAAUCUGUAUGUUCUCAGAUGUUGUUGAUACAGUAGUCAAACGCAAGGUAAUGAGACCAAGCGUAGAUAAUGAUUCAGGAUCCUUGGCGAAAGAAAUAACUAUUAACUAAUUUGUGUUUAUGUGAAAUUGUUGUGUUAUGAAUGUGUUUGUUAAGCAUAAAGAAAGAUUUAUGCGAGAUGAAAUGAUUUGAUAUUAUUUAUGCGAAAUGAUGUUUAUGGAAAUGUAUUGCGAAAAGGAUUUCAUAAAAUCUCACUAGUCUUUUAGACUUAUUCUUUCAAAAAUUCAUCUUUCAGGAUCAGACGUUUAGGCCAAGUAAAGAAGAAGGUUGAAGGAUUUGCGACGAAAUAACUCUAGACCUUUUGGAAAUGGUUAAACAUUGGUUAUUUGAUCAAAGUGUUGUAAUUAUGUAUCCAACGCCUGUUAUUAAUAAAAUAUACUUAUUUAUUAUAUUUGGCAUUUAGGUUGACCACAGUUGCAUUUUGAGUUUUGUUGAUAGUAUAAAAGGAGUUGAGAAUAAGAUUUUGCGAUAAAAAAGUUUCAAUAAAUGGCGAUAUGCAAUGUGUGGGAAUUUAAUGCUCUCCAAGCCGAAGGGACUUGGUCAUUAGUUCCUCGACUUCCAUCUAUAAAUGUUGUUGGUUGUAAAUGGGUUUUCCACACGAAAUAUAAUCAUGAGGGCUCUGUUGCUUGCUACAAAGCAUGACUAGUUGCUAAGGGUCAUCAUCUGGUACAAGGCUUUGAUUUUGAUGAAACCUUUAGUACUAUUGUCAAAAAAACUCACUAUACGAGUUAUUCUGGCUCUUGUUGCUUAAUGCAAUUGGCAUUUAACCCAGUUAGAUCAAAAAUGUCUUUUUUCAUUGUCUUCUCUAGGAAAUAGUUUACAUGUCUCAACCUACUAGCUUCCACCAUAAAACAUAUCCAAAUCACGCGUGCCUCCUUUAGAAGAGUCUUUAUAGUCUCAAACAAGUCCCUCGUUCUUGGUUUGAUCGAUUUACAUCUUAUUUAUUUACCCUAGGUUUUGUUGCUUCUACUGCCAAUUCUUCAUUAUUCAUUUAGUUUGUUAGGUCUUCUCUCACUUACUUACUUCUAUAUGUAGAUGAUAUUAUUGUCACUCUUCGUAUAUUUUUAUUCUCAAACAACAAUUGGCUCAUGAGUUCCAAAUAUCAAAUCUUGAUCCUUUAAAGUACUUUCUUGGUCUCAAAAUACAUUCCUCCACUGAUGCAAUUUUCCUUAACCGAGCCAAAUAUCUCACUGAUCUUCUUCACACCUCCAUAAUGUCUUUUGCAAAAACUUGUGCCACAUCAAUGUCUACUUUUAUUGAUCUUUAUACCACUACCCUGCCAUUUAAUGACCCCUCCUUAUAUCGUUGGCUCAUUGGUUCCUUACAAUACCUUACUUUUAUCUCUCCUAAUAGUACAUUCUCUAUAAAUCAUGUUAGUUAAUUUAUGCACAAACUCAUUGUUAUUCACUUCUUUGAAAUCAAACGCAUCCUCCGAUAUCUAUAUAGUACUUCGACCAUUGACAUAAAAUUUUUACAACUUCGUUAUCUCUACAAACCUUUUGUGACUCUGAUUGGGCUGGAGAUAUUUCUGAUUGAUAUUCCACCUUUGGAUUCAUUGGCUUCCUUGGUUCUAAUUCAAUAUCUUGAUCUUCCAAAAAGCAACCUACAGGUUCGCGUUCUUCCACAUAAGCAAAAUAUCGCUCACUCGCCACUACCACUACCGAUCUUUACUGGAUCCAAAAACUUCUAUAUGAUCUUCAUGUUCCACUUAAGUCUUCAACAACGUUAUGGUGUGAUAAUGUUUAUGUGUUUCAUGCUUGAAUAAACACAUUGAGUUUGAUUACCACUUUGUUCAAGAAAAAAGUAUUUUGCAAAAACAUUCAUUUGUUACAUCUCUUCCAACGAACAACUUACUGAUCUACUAACAAAGCCACUCUCAUCUCCAACAUUUCUACAACUUCGAGAUAAAUUGCUGACUCAUUCCCAGCGAUCCGUUUUAGGAAGGGUAUUAGAGGAUAUUUUUAGAUUCACAAUUCUCUCCACAAUCUACUCCUCAAUUUCUACCCUUCAAUUUUGCCUAAAUUAUAUAUUCGAUUAUAUUGUAAUAUUUCCAUAUUGUAAUCUCUUGAAUUGUAUAUUUAUAGCAAGCAUUGUAAAAGAAAUAAGAUAUGCAAAAUACAUUAUUCUAAAAUCCUUUCGGCCACUAUAAUUUAAAGCAUCAACAUGGGGCUUAAACAACCAAGCUUAAACAUGACUUAUAAUCAGCACAUCCUUAAUCAAAUAAAUAUUAAUUGAAAACAAGAUUAGAAGAUAAAGAGAUUCAAAUUAACUAACAUGAAGUUCAUACGUACUAAACCAUAACGAAGAACAAAAACGACUAAAAAUUUUAUCUAAUCUACGUGUUACUUUAUGGUUUUUUUCCAAAGUUUCACGAGUCAAGUAGUGUAGUUUUUUAUAGUAUUAUCGGAAACUUACAAAUUAAAGAUAAUGACAAAAAGAUUUAUCCCCCUAAUAGAGAAAAAACUGUAUCGAAAUGGUCAAUCUCAAUUUUGAAGCCAACAAAAAAAUGAUAGAGAAGUCUUGUAAAUAGCUUUAGAUUAGAGGGUAUAUAAGAAAAUUUCAUGGGAUUUAGAUGGUGAAAUUGGGCUUUGACUGGGCCAUAAAAUAAAUGGGCCUAGUGGCCCAUUAGGGGAUGUAAGAAAAUGAAAAAAAAAAAAAAAUUACAAAAACCAUGUUGCAGCUUCGAAGUACAGCAAGGGAAGAGUUUUUGCUUCUGGAGAAUGACGAGGGCCGCUCUCUUCCAUUUGCUACGAUCACAAUCCAAACAUAUCUCGAGAAGAAAUUACUAUUCAGGUAUGUUUCUUCUUCCUUCUUCCAUUUUCCAAUCCCUCCUUGCAAGAAUGAGACAUUUUUCUUUCUCAAGCUUUCAAUUCUGCAAUUUUCAUGCUCCCAGUGUAGUAAAGAAUGUUAAAUUUCUUGUUUGCUUCCGAUGAAUGCGAUUAGAAAAUAUUAACGUUAGCCUUUAAUGUUCUGAAAUUAUCUCAAAAUUAUUUUACAAGACCUCUUCGUGAAGUUUUAUGCCAUAUGAUAGCUUGUCUAGCUAGGGAUCUUGUCUUGAAUAAUCUCAUUUUGAUUUUAGGUUUGAGAUAAAUUUUACCGGAAGAAUUAUGCAUGCUUUGAGUUGGAACUUUGGGUGCAUUUUGCUUCUCUUUUUUUUUCUACACCUAGCUACUGUCACGAACAUUUCAAUGUUCACUUGUUGCACAUGAAUUUAGGGAUUCUUGCAAAACUAGGUUUUAUUUCAUAUUUCGUAUGUGUUACUCCUCUCCUUGCUAAUUAGCUUUGAGGUAGAACUCCAUGUAUAUCUAAUGUGGUAUUAGAAUCUAUGAUAUCCGAAAAAACAUUCUUUGUAAAUAAAUUGAAAUCUGACUCAAGAAUGGUGAGCCCAAAGAGGCAUUAUGUUGAGGGGCAUGUGGAGAGGAGAUGUCAUAAUCUUUAUAGAACACACAAGUUACUUCUCUUAUUGUCAAUUGGCUUUGAGCUGGAAUUAUGUUUGUAUGUGUUCUCUUAAAGUAAUAUUUACACUGAAAGUACGCAUUUGGCUCAUCUCCUUGUAAGACAUCCCUUUUAUCUCUAUAGCUGCCUUGUUUCCUUGUUUCCCACUUCCAAUAUUGUAGUCUAGCAUCGUUGUUUGGUGGGUUCAUCUAAGUAUCACUAUGGAAAUUUUCUUUUUUGCAUAUAACACCCUUAUAAGUUAAAAAAGAUUAAGCAACAUCUAGUAAGUAAACAAAUAAAACAAUGCAAAUGAAAUUCUUGAUUGAAAUCAAGUAAAUUCACAAAAAUGUUGAGCAAAAAGCUAGAAAAUUUUCAAUUCUUUUAACGAGACCAAAAAUUUACUGGUAGAAAAGCACUGGAAAGCAUACAAUAUCAAGUUUUAGCAAAUAUAAUGAAAGGAAAUUGCUGCCCUCUAGGAUUGGAUGUCAGAAUUUACUAUAGUAUUUCUGGUUGUUAACUAUAUUUAGAUACUCAGUUUGUUAUGUGAUAGGGUGCUAGCCACUCAGGUAUUCAGGGUUGGGAGGCUUCCAUCUCUUCUCUGGCAGUUACUGAAGAUUCGUUUGUAUUUUUUCCCCUGCUUUUCUUCCUUCCCUCACAAUAACUUAAAAGACAAGCAUAAUCUUAGACCAAAUAUAUCCAGGACUAGCAAUACUUUAAUUUUUAGGUUAAAAAGUACAAAUAUUAAGCACUAGAAACAUGCUAAUCGGGCUUGGUGUAAGACUUUCUGUGGGAAAUAACUCCCUUUCUAUUAAUCACUUGCAAUUGCUGGAUGAUGCCAUUCUUGUUCUCUUACUUCGUGAAGUCCUCACAUUCUCGUUAUUAUUGUCAAGUCUUUGUAGAGGCUUCGGUCCCUACCAUAGGUAAGGUAAAUCAGAUAUUGCUGGCAUUGGUUGUGUGACCUCCAUCAUUAAGCUGAUUGCUCUGAACUUCAGCUUAGAAUCGGGACACUGGCCAUUUCUUACUUAGAGCCUCCUCUGUUUUUUCUUUAGACCUUUUUAUUGAAAGAUGAGAAAAUAAACUCUAAUAAAGAAAAUGCCUCAUUGAAGAAGGCAGGCAACCUUAUUUGAAUAGAUUCUCUCUAAUCUUCUUAUAAUAUCUAAUAAAGAGAGUAGAGAGCCCAGUGUCAAUUGAUUUUGAGGUGGAAUCUCAUGUUAUAUAAUGUCAUAAAGCCAAAACGGGUAUUUGAUCCAAUAGCAAAUUGAGAUCCAAUAAAAAAUGGUGAACCCAAAAGAGUCACAUCAUGAGGGAUCAUGUUGAGAAUCCCACAUGGAAGAAACCAAGAGAACUGAAACUCCUUAUUUUAGGAUAGGACCCCUUUGUCAAUUGGUUUUGAGAUGGAACCUCAUUGCUAAGAAUUCCACAUAGGAAAAACUAAGGUACCUCGCACUCCUUAUAAGAUAGACGAAUUUCUUUCCUAUUGUCAAUUGGUUUUAAGAUGGAAUUAACUCUAUGCUUGUGGGCUCGAAAUAUGAAAACUCAACAAGUGGAAAUGAAUAAUAAUUGGAGAGAAAACAACAAUGUAGAGGUUUGAGAAAAAACAACAAUUUAGAGGUUUGAACACAGGAUCUUCUGAACCAACCUGCUUUAAACCCCUCUUCAAUCAAUACCAUCUUAAAUUAUCAAUUGACUCAAAGUGGCUUUUUUGGAGAUUUAUUUGACAUGGAGAUUUCACCUUGAAAAGGAUAAUUUUUGGAAGAAAUUUGUUGUUGCUAGAACGGCAUUGCUAAUGAUGGAGGAAAUGUAUUUUGUUUACUUUUAAAAUUGUAAAUAUUUUUACUUCUGGCUCUUGCAUACAGUGCAUUGCAUAUGAUCCUACCCAACCCUGAGUACCUUUCCUACAUGUUGGACGAUCUUUCCCAUUCUUCCAUCAUCCAUGGGACUUGGUUUUCCUUGUAAUUGUUUAUUCAAUGAAGUUAGUUGUUCAAUUGUUUGUUAUUGUUUUUUUUAUCAGAAAAGCUUUAGUUAUUUUGACUUGGAAAGCGAGAGAAUUAUACAACAGAAAUAAGGAUGGUCUAUUGGUCUCUCUAUAUUUCCAUUAAAAGAAAGAAAUGGUUUUAAACUCAACUUAUAAGCAGUAUAUUGAUGUCUUUUUGUUCCCUUUUGUGAAGGAGUUAGCAAACAAACUCAAGACGAAUCAUUAUCUGAUGUCACUAUCCUUCAUGAGUCCGUCUUAUAUUUGUUAUUUAUUUUGGAUUUGCUUCACUCUCAAAGCCCUGGGCCUUGUCUUGUCUUGUUUUCAUUAUUUUUAAAGAUAGUAAUAGCUAGGGUUUUUCCUUCCUUAUUAACUAAGAAAAAUCGAAUUUACUCAGCCUAAAUGCAAAAGUUCUCUUGUUCAGAUUGGUUUUUCUUUUUCAUAUUUCCACUCCAACUAUGCUUUCUCUUCUUUAUGUAAUAUUUUUGUUUGCGCUUUGCAGUUAAGCUCUAGAAGACUAAAGCUCUUUUUAUCUAAAAGUAAGUGCUCUUUUGCCUCAGGUUAUCAUCUCCAACGAUCAACAGCAUGGAUCAAUGAAAAAUUUGUACCCACCAGCAACUUUCUUUCGCAGAAAAAUGCAGUCCAGAAGAGAUGGGCAUCUCAAGCUACAACAAGAGAAGAUGAUGGCAAGAUCAGCAUUGGACCCGGAAGAGGACAAGAAGCCGAGGAAGAUGAAAAAGAUGUUGCUUAUAUUGGGCCAAUCUCGUCAACUAUCAAAAAAGUCAAGCUUCUAUCUUUAUCUACAUGCUGCCUCUCUGUAUCACUCGGACCAGUCAUAACCUUCAUGACGUCCCCCGACAUGAAUGUGAUUCUGAAAGGUGUUGUUGCAUCAUCUGUGAUAUUCCUCAGUGCUACUACUACUGGAGCGCUUCACUGGUUCGUGAGCCCUUAUGUUCAUAAAAUUAGGUGGAAACCAGGUUCAGACAGUUUUGAGGUUGAGGUUAUGUCGUGGCUGGCGACUUACAUUCCACGAACCAUUAGAUUUGCUGAUAUUCGACCACCCGAAACAAACCGCCCCUUUGUGACAUUCAAGGCUAAUGGGAGUUUCUACUUCGUAGACAAAGAGCACUGUCAGAAUAAGGCACUCUUAGCCAGACUGACUCCUCAGCAACGCGAAUCAGCUCUUAGAAACUUAUGAUUGUCUUGGAGACUGACUUUUCUUUUUCUUCAUUGAGUUGAAGGCCAAUGAGAUGGCUGAACUGUUGUCAUAAAUCAUAUACUUUCACCAUAGACAAAUUGCUGCUCAUUGUACUGUUUAGAUCAAUUUUGGCAGAAUGGUUUUUUUAAAACACAAUAAUUCAUUCAUGUGUACAACCUUUGAUAACUGAUAGAUGAUACUACAUAACAUAUAUUACGUAGUUUGGAAUUUUAAAAAUAGUUUCUAUUAACAUAUUCUUUAUAUAUUUUUGAAAAGAUACUCACAUAGUAUAACUUUUCGUAAAUUUUUUUACUAUGUAAACCAUUUUUAUCCAAAUACUUCUUGGACUGAAUUUAAGAUUUGUUUAAAGUUUAGUGAUAAUGCAAUCUUAAUUCUUAACCUAAAAGUUCAAACUUUUUGUUGGUAGGAAGAUUUAAAUCCAAGAAACUAACUCCUUGUAUGAAAUUUAAAUCAACCAAAAGGGAAAAGGGAAAAAAAAUGUUAGAAUUAGAUUAUCUCUUUCCGGUAGGAUUUCAAACUUUGUUCCAUUCUACUGUCUCUCUACAAAUUUGAAGAAAAGUUGUUUGAAGAAAAGUUGUUCAAAUUUCUCAGAAAAAACCUCAAAGAAUGAGAGCUCAAAUUAGAUUAAUAAAAUCUUCGAUCAAGAUUAAAAGGAUGAAACAAUUGGUAUAUAGCAUUUUAUAGAGAUUGUAAUCUUUUCAAUCUAUAGACACAAAAUUCAAAAUAAAAUAUUAAAGAAAGAAGUUAUUUUCUAAAUCUCAAUCUUUUCAGCUACCAUCUUUAAUGUAUCUUCAUCUUUACAACCACUAUCUUUAAUGCAUCUUGCUCCAGAAACAUUAACUAAGUUAAAAUUGCUAAAGAAAUGUUAAGAAAACUAAUAACAGAAGUUAUCAACUUACGUUCGUUAAUUACAAUUGUGUCAUGAUACAUAUCAUCUGAUUUAGAAACUGAAUUUGAAUAACUAAACUAAAACUAUAGAAAAUUUAUUGAAAUUCACUAUUCUUUACUCUAAAAACGUCAAGUUGUUUUUUUGUUCAUCCAAAAUUACUUUUUUUUUUUCUUUACACCUAUCCAGACUAAUUUACAUAUACCACGACAAGUUUUCUUAGUCAAAACCCUACACAAUAUUUAGGUAACACAAAAACCUAGAAAAUAUUAAAACUUAGGUAAAUAGUCACAAAAGAUUGAAUCCAUACCGAUAGCCUUCUUACCAAAGUACAUGAAAAAUUGGCUCUUUUUUUCUAUUAUGCUAAUGGUUUAUUAUUCAUAUCAGGGUAGUGGCUCCGAAAUCAAGAAACCAACGUUGAUGAGGAUGAAAAGGGGAAGAGAGUUGAGUGAAAUGUGAGCACAAAGAGUGUGUUAAGGAUCCCGAAAUAGAGGGUUGUGAUGCGAGGAUUGUAGCAAUUAGAGAAAGUAGUGUGUCCAAAUCAGGUACAAAAUGAGGUUUAUUUGGUUUGGAAGACGACAAAAGAUUAUAGGGAUCGGAAUGGGGAAAGGAGAGGCAAGAUCAAUAGCAGGAGGCAAAGAAGAAGCAUAACUCAAUACAUUUGUGAUUUAGGGAAGAAGUUGUGAAGGUAGAGGUGAAUGUUGUAGAUUGGCCAAAUUGGAACGCACAUUAUAUGAACUUGCACGACGCUUCACCAGAAACGUAUGUAAGACCAUUGGAGCAGAAGUAGGUACCUGAACUUGCUCAUCUCAUGUCCCUUGUCUACUCGUUCAUAUAAAUUUCACGUAUUCACUUCAACAUAUCCGCUUUUGCAUUUUUAAUAUGAAUUUUAAGUAGUUUUAAAUAUAUAUAUAUACAAACUCAACAUAUUAAACAAUAACAAGAAACCCUAAACAUAAUUUUUUUAAACUCCACUUCACAACAAAAUUUUAAAACAAGAAAAGACCAACAAUAGUACACUUUAACAAUGGCAACUCCACUUUUGUUGCCAUUGCAAGUUGAGUUUAAGGUUCUUUUAAGCUUUUUGAUUCUUUCAAAAAAGAGAAAAAAUGGUUUUGAUGGGAAAUCAAUCAAGAAAUGGUCACAAAGGGGGGCCUUGACAAUAUACUCAAACAAAACAACGUAUAUAAGAAACAGAAACAAAGAUCAAUACCAGAAAAAAGUAGUUUGAAGUAAAACGAGCAUAGAACAUAUAACCUUAAUUAGGAAGGACUUGCCACCGCCGAUCAAGCACCCAAUUCUGAGAGAAUCUGCUUAACGACGAUGGAGGAAACUUAAAGACGCAACCAACGAAACAGAGACAAAACAAACCCCAACCAGAUAGUAAUUUAAUAAGAACCCACUCAUCAUUCUGACAAACUUCACCACAGCCAACGGCUACUCGUACCAUUCACUUCCCUGAUUUCUUUGCUGCAGACUUGGUGACCUUGGCGCCCGAUGCAUCCUUCUUCUCAACGGCCUUGAUGACACCAACAGCCACGGUUUGACGCAUGUCCCUCACGGCAAAUCGUCCAAGAGGGGGAUACGCAGAGAAUGUUUCCACCACCAUAGGCUUGGUGGGAAUCAUCUUAACAAAUCCAGCAUCUCCGUUCUUCAAAAACUUGGGCUCUUUCUCCAGUUCUUUACCAGAUCGCCUGUCAAUCUUAGUUAAAAUCUCGGCAAAUUUGACAGCAAUGUGAGAUGUGUGGCAAUCGAGUACAGGUGCAUAACCAUUUCCAAUCUGUCCUGGAUGGUUCAUGAUGAUAACUUGGGACGUGAAAUUGGCAGCUUCCUUGGCAGGAUCAUCCUUGGAAUUUGAGGCAACAUAACCACGCUUGAGAUCCUUCACAGCAACAUUCUUCACGUUGAACCCCACGUUGUCACCAGGGAGAGCUUCUUGGAGAGCUUCGUGGUGCAUCUCCACAGACUUAACUUCAGUAGUCAGUCCAGAUGGAGCAAAGGUUACCACCAUACCAGGCUUUAUAAUGCCAGUUUCAACACGACCCACUGGAACAGUUCCAAUACCUCCAAUCUUGUAGACAUCCUGAAGUGGAAGACGAAGGGGUUUGUCAGAUGGCCUCUUAGGCUCUUGGAUCAGAUCGAGAGCCUCAAGAAGGGUCGGUCCCUUGUACCAGUCGAGGUUGGUGGAUCUUUCAAUCAUGUUGUCACCCUCAAAGCCAGAGAUGGGGACGAAGGGAAUUUUUUCUGGGUUGUAGCCAACCUUCUUGAGGUAGGAAGAAACUUCCUUCACAAUUUCAUCGUACCUAGAUUUCGAGUACUUGGGCGUGGUGGCAUCCAUCUGUCACAUAAAUAGCCAAGUCAGUAAGUAACAAAACACGAAAAAACCAGAAUACUAAAGAAUCAGGAUUGACUAUAAACAUCAUUACCUUGUUACAGCAGCAAAUCAUUUGCUUGACACCAAGGGUAAAGGCAAGAAGGGCGUGUUCACGGGUCUGCCCAUCCUUAGAAAUACCAGCUUCAAAACCUCCAGUAGUGGAGUCGAUAAUAAGAACAGCACAGUCAGCCUGGGAAGUACCAGUAAUCAUGUUCUUGAUGAAAUCACGAUGCCCAGGGGCAUCAAUCACAGUGCAGUAAUACUUGGUGGUCUCGAACUUCCACAGAGCAAUAUCAAUUGUGAUACCACGCUCACGUUCGGCCUUAAGUUUGUCCAACACCCAGGCAUACUUGAACGAUCUCUUGUUCAUCUCAGCAGCUUCCUUCUCAAACCUCUCAAUAACACGCUUGUCAAUACCUCCAAGCUUGUAAAUCAAAUGGCCAGUAGUGGUCGACUUGCCAGAGUCGACAUGACCAAUGACCACAAUGUUGAUGUGAGUCUUUUCCUUACCCAUGCUUGAAUAUUAGGUCAAAGAACUGCGAAACAAGAAAAAGUUCACGAAAAAUAAGAAGAGCAAGAGCAGAUAACCAAAAUAUCAUUACUAAAAUUUGUGAAUAACCCUAAUUUUGUUAGAUUCACACAUCUAAAUAACGUUAAAAUUAAAAUAUCCACCACAAUAUCAACUCUUUUGGCUGGAAAACUUGUUGGUUAUAAAAAAAUGAUCGGAACUAGAACAGAGAAAAUAAAUAAAUAAAAAAAAACGAAAAACGACCAACCCAAUCAGCUAGACUAGAUUAAAAGCAGAUCUACGCGAUUGGCAGAACGACAGGGGACGUCUCGAUAGAUUGAUGAACAGAUACAUAAAACUAGCAUAAAAACAAAAGGGCAGGGACAAGAAGAAGAACAGAAGAAAUUAUAAUUCAUGCUAGGAUCUAGACGAGAAAAACAGUAAAAGCUAAAGAAAUAAGAGAGUAUCAAGCAUAUAGAAGAAAGAAAUCGAGAAAAGGAAGAAGAUAGGGGGAAAGCACAACCUGAGGAGAAAUGCUGCUGUUAAACCCUUGCGGCGAGAGAUGGAGAAUGGCAAUGGGAUUGAAGGGGUUAACAAUAGGGUUUGAGGAUCCUUAUAUAUGCAAUGUCUGAAUUCCUUUGUUGACGAAAAUACCCUUAUCAUAAUUUCAACAUUCCUACACAGUGGCUCUCAACAAUAAAAGAUUUUCGAAUUUACCUACUAGAUUCCAAAUAAAAUAAAGUAACAUUUUAGAAUAUAGUAAAAUUUGUCAAAUUCUAUCAAUGAUAUAAAUGUAUCAACGAUAGACAUGUUACAAAUAUUAGUCUAUCACUAAUAGACCAUACGAAGUCUAUAGUUUUGUUAUAUUUGCAAUUUUUUAAAAAUGUUAAUAUAUUAUUAAUUACUAUUCAUAAAAUGAUCAUCAACUACGAUUUUUAAAAAAAGUUCUUUUUUUCUCAACUUUCCAUUUCAAGUUAAAGGUUUAAAAAAUAUCAUCAAAACUCUUGGAAAGGUUAAAAAACAUGUUUAAAAAAUAUAACUAUUAAAAGUUUCAAAAAUUCCCUUGAAUUUAAAAAAUGUUAAAGGAAAAACUUUCUUAAAAUGUAAUAUGAACUAAAAGUGUAAUAUCUCGCUAAAAAAUAACUUUAAAUUAAAAAUGUCUUUAUCGUUAAUACAUUGAAAAUUUUAUUUGAAUUUGUUAAGUUUGAUUAGAUUGACAAAUAUUUGUUUUAUGGCUUUAGAUAUAAAAAUUGUGACAUUGAUGUUAUUUUUAAAAAAUGGAUGAUCUACCAAAAUGUUGAUUAUCCAAUAUACUUUUCCUACGAGUAGUUGUGUUUUCAAUUUCUCAUGUUGGCAUCUUCCUUUAUGUAGCGUGUAGUUGCUUUGGAGGUUAGGGUUGCUUAUUUGUGAUUUCACUGUGCAUAUUUCAAGGACACUUAGUUCUAAGGUUUGGGUUUUGGCGGUUUAGUUUGUUUUAAUAGCAACAUUUGUAUUGUCUUUAUGUAGUAUUUUCAGCUUGUGUUAGAAGAAGAGAGUGCUACGUGUAUUUGAGGCAUACUCCAUUCUCCCUACUACUGUGCAUUGUGAUGUACUGAGAAGAGAUUAUUUAUGUUUAGGGGAUCUUAAAUAUACCAACGAGAUAUUAACAGUUUCAAAUAAAUUUAUUACUAUACUAACGAUAGAGAUAUUUUUAAUUAUUUAGAGUUAGUUUUUGCAACGAGAUAUUAACAAUUUUAGAUCAUAUACUAAUUGUGAGAGUAAAUUUAAAAGAAUAUAUAAUUUAAGGGUGUUUUUUAAAUUUUUCAAUAAUUGAGGAAUAUUUUUAACAAAACUUUAACCUUCUACAUCCAAAACUAACAUUAAGGGUAUUUUCGAACCCUUUUCGAAAGUUUGAGAGUAUUUUUUAAACUGUUGAAAGUUUAGGGGUAUUUUUUACUCAAAAUACAAAAUUGGGGGGUGUUUUUUUUACAAUUUAGCGUUUUUUUUGUGUUUUUUCUAGGCCAAUAUCAAUUUAUACCUCUGAACUUUAGAUGUUGUAUCAAUUUAAACUUUGAACUUUCUUAUAUGCAUCAAUUUAAACUCUCAACUUUCACAAAUGUGUCCAAGUAAAACAUAAUGGACGAUUUAAAAUGAUUCAUGUUAUAAGUGUAAAGUCUAAAUUGAUACAAUUAAUAGUUUAGGGUCUAUAUUGAUACAAAUUUUAAAGUUGAGAGUUUAAAUUAAUACAAUUAUUAGUUUAAGGUUUAAAGUUCAUUGAUAUAAAUUGAAAUUAGCCCAAUUUUUUUUUAAAAAAAAACUUUAAACUAAUUAAAACUACGAGCCACUACCGUGAAGGCAUAAGUGAACCAAAGUAGGAAAGAUCAAGCCUAAGUUUUUCAAUGACUGACUCAACUUUGAAUCACUCUACUUUGUGGUACAGUCAACUCUUCCCUUUUUUAUUGAGUCAAGUUAAGUCGAAGCAACGAGACCUAGUGUCAUGCCCUACUCCAAAUGACUCUUCAUGCGACCAAGUGGAGGCAUGUCGCCUAGACAAUCAAUGCACAACUUCUGCGAGAUGGUACGCUAAACACCUAGUAAGCGGAACUACUUCUUACAGCACAAGGUUAAGCGCACAAUUUGUACUUUAAUGAAACAAGAGAACUUCAUUGAUAGACAAUUUACAAGAGUACAUUUGAUUCCUAUUACACAAAUCGUUCAAAAGAGGACACAGACUCAACAACGACUUGACUUUUCCCCACUUAGCUUCUACAUGCUACACGAGAUAAUAGUAGCCACUACCAAGACAAUGUGAUUUAGGAGGUACGGUAGACGAUCAAGACAGCAAAUUCUAUGUCAGAUGUCCUUUGCUACCUAAGGGGGAUGAAAUAAACAUUAGAAGGGUUGGGCGAAAAUGUCUAGUGAAUGGAAUCUCUUAACAGAUGUUUUAUGUAAAUUAAUCGUUUUUUUACCAGAUAAUCAGCUCCAGAACAGGUAUUAUAGCAAAAUGUGUCGAAUGUCAUUUAUCUCUUACAACACUACUCCGAAGAAAGAAUUUAUUUAAAACAAUAUAAUAGUGUUAAUAAUAAAAAAGAUCAAGAUUGAGGAUAAACACAUUACCUUCGUCAUUUUAUGAGUUUUGUCCUCCCACGUUAUGCAAACUUGUUGGAAGCUUUGGCAAUAGUUGUGGCUGAAUGUUGAAGCAAUCAUUCAAGUACAAUGCUAUUAAGUUAGUAAGUCGAGGGAGGCUUUGUUUGAGCCUUACAAAAGAAUUCUUGCUAAGGUCAAGAAUUUCCAAUAAGAAAAGACAUUUGAUAUCAUCACGAAUAUCUUCGUCCACAAUAUUGCAAUCACUUAGAUUCAAAUCUCUAAUAGGCAAAACAUCAUUACUCCCAACCAAAUCAUUCAAUGACCACCAAAUAUUUUUUGAAAGCCUUUCACAAUUCAAAGUUUCAAGACUCUUUAAACGAGCGAUAGCAUUUGGUGCUUGAUCUAUAAAUGUUCCUCCAUUGUCAAGCAUGGUAAGAGAUUGUAUUGUCCCCAAAGUGAAAGGAAAUUUGGUGGAGGUUUUUGCAGCCAUUCAAAUUGAGAGUUUGAAGUGAUAUCAAUUUUCAAAUUGAUGUUGGAAGACUUGAUAGCUUAGUACAAUCCCUUAGGUUCAAUUAAGUUAAGUGAGCUAGAAGUCCAAAUGAUGAAGGAAGGUCUUGUAUAAGAGUUCCAUCAAGGUGAAGUUCAGUUAAAGUUUUGGUUGGUUUUUCAAUCUUUGGUAAAGAUUUAAGGCAUAAAUUGGAAAGAAUUAAUGUUUGGAAUCUUUUGCAAGUUACUAGUUUAGAUGGAAAUGUUUUGAGAUUGACACAAUUUGCCAUAUGAACUAAAACAAGAUGGUUGAGAGUAGUAAUGGAAGAAUGAAUCACACACAAUCUUGCACAAUUCCUUGACAUCAACCUUUGGAGAUUUGGAAGCUUGGGUCUCAACCAAAUUCUGUGAUCCACUCACAUCAAACUCUUUCAACCUACUAAAUUCAUGUGGAAAACAAGUCCACACCAUCACAUUAGAUACCACUCUACUUCUCAAAUUCUUACCCAAAAAUAAAAGGAGAGUUGAAAAUUUGGUCAUUUGAAAAAGAGGAAGAAAAAUUCUUGAGAGAGAGUCGACUGAGAAAGUUGUUUAGAGAGAAUCUCUACAAGGAAUUUUUUUUUGAAGCAAAUAUUCCCAAUGUAGGUUUUAUUUAUUCACUUUAUUACUAUAUUUAUUUUUUUUCUUUAUCCUAAACAAUUUAAUCAAUGGAAAAUUUAGUUGAAUAGUGCAUUUGGCUCGGAUUUAUUUCCAAGAAUUCAUACCUCAUACGACAAGUCUUUCGGAUUUGAAUCAUUGUUUUUUUCUCUUUCUAAAGGUUGUGAGAGAAUUUAUUUUCUCUCGCUACUUUUUUGUAUAGUUAUUUCUUUUUCUAAAAAGACAAAUCUUUAGUCUUUUUCUUCUCACUAACAAAAAUAGAGAGAAAGAAAAGUGUUUUGUUUUUUAAUUUUUAACUAUCAUAUAUUUGUUUAAAAUAAUAUUAAAAACAUGACAUUAAUAUAAUUGUGAGAGUAAGAUCAACAAAGUAAAUACAAUAUCAAAUUUGGUCCUAACCUACUAUAAAUUAAUAAAUCCAUAUCCUAAUUUUGGUAGAUAAAAAUAAAUCCUACUCAAAUCUUUUAUAAUGAUUUCAUAUGAGUUAUCUAAUAAAUGCUAAUUACUUCUUCUCUAAUAUUCAAUUUUCUUAUUAUACUUAGACAUUACUAAUGUAAAGUGAGGGUGGUACGUUUCCUUUGACCAAAAUUUGAUAUCAUAUGCAUGUUACAUAUACGUGUGUGCAACAUGUAGAGAGUAGUGAAGGGGUGAACAUAGAUAUUGGGGAGAGAUCUACACAAUCAUGUACCAAAUUUAAAUGAUCCUGGUAAACGAUUGUUUAUAUUCGUAAGGAAAGAGAAAUGACAUGAUACUGGAGAUGACGCCGAAGGUAAGAUAUGACAAAGAAUAAAAAAAUUAUGGAAGAGUCACGAAGAAAUUAUGAAUAAGAAGAUGUGGGAAUAUGGAGAAUGAUUAGGACUAUGAUAUAUGAUACCUAAUAAUAUAAAAAAAAUGUGCAAGCAUAACUCGAAAUUCAAAACUAAUAAAGGUAAAUCUAGAUUUUUUUUGUUACACGGAUCAUAAAUAUUUUUUAGUUUUGUUAUAUAUAUGUGUGUUUAAUUAACCAUUUUUUAUUUAUUCAAUCUAAUUUAAUUUUUGUUUUCAUAUGAUUUUUUUUAUUAAUUCAAAUUUUAUUCUAGUGUUUUUUUUAAUAAUUAUAUAUAUAUAUAUAUAUAUAUAUAUAUAUAUAUAUAUAUGACAACAAAUAUGUGUCAUUUAUAUUGUUCACAAAUGACCUUCUCAUUAACCUCUAUGUGAAAACCUAAAUCACUUAUAUGUGACUCUGCCUUCUAGCCAUCGAUCUAUUUUGCUACUUUGGUGAGUAUUCGAUUAAGUUUUGGUACUUCCAUCAAAUAUCUCAAAUAUCUAUUUUUUUUUAAUUAUCCCAAAAAGUUGAUCUGAUUUUAACCAAAAUUGUAAAUCCCAAAAAGUUGAUUGAUUUUAACCAAAAUUGUUGAUUGAGUUAACUAAGCUAAGACGCAUAACUUGAUUGAUAUGAAUGAUUGAAAUGUUAUGACAAAUGAUAUAUUAAUCACAUGACAACGACGUUCCGAUUGAUAUUUAUGUCAUGUUAUAAUAUGUUACAUGUUAUGGACAAGUGUUCUACUAACUUUAUCUAAUUACAAGUAAUUCCUAAAAAUUUACGGUCUUCAAUUAAUACAAAAUAAAUAAAUUACAACGAUUAAUAUCGAUAAAUUAAAAAUUAAUGAAAACAUAGAUUUUAAAAUUAAAAAAAAGGUUGAAAGAUAGAUUAGUAUUAAAUUAAAAAUGAAAGAAUUUAGUUUUUAAAAAUGAAAAAUAAAAUUCAAAAUGAAUAAAGAUUAAAAAAAAGUAUAAUUUAGUUUUUAAGAAUAAAAUUAAAAUUCACAAAGAUAAAAAGAUUACAUGAAUUUUUAUUAAAAAAGUACAAUUUAGUUUUCAGAAAUGAAAAUUAAGAUUCAAAUAGAAUAAAGAUACAAAAAUUAUAUAAAAAAUAAAGAAAAAAAAGUUGAUUUAGUUUUUUUAAAAAAUCAAAUUGGAAAAAGAAAAUAUAUAUAGAGAGAGGUCCACAAAUUCUUUUAUAAACAAAAAUUAUAGAGUUUGAUAAUCUAAAUAAAUUAGGAACUAAUACACAUUCAAGAAGAUUAUAUUACAAAAAAUAUAUAGUUAAUUUUAAGUUUUAGGUAAAAGUAAUAAAUUGAAUAAAAUUUCAAGUAAAUAUUCAAAUAUUAAAAAUUUAAAUUUUAAAUAUACACGUGCAAUUAAAGACUAGUAAAUAUUCAAAUACUAAACACCCAUAUUUCAUUUGGAUUCAUAAGUAAAGUGUGUAAGAAAAAUUAUGAAGGCAAUGAGAAAGGAAUUGGUAAAUAAUGUGUUGAAACAAAAACGAUAAAUGUAUUAAGCAAUAAAUAAGAACUCAUAACAAGUCGUUUGAAAUAAAACAGCCAUAAAACAUAGAAAUUUCAAAGAUAAAAAUGGAAGACUUGCCACCGCCGAUCAAGCACCCAAUUCUGCGAAAAGCUACUCACCGACCAUGGAGGAAACUUGAAGACAUAACCAACCAGACACACACAACACACAACCCAACAACCACAGAACGUAUUAAUAAGCUUCCAGUCAUCAUGAUGAUUAACAUCAAGCCGUUGGCCGCCAACGGCUACUCGCACCAUUCACUUCCCUGAUUUCUUUGCUGCAGACUUGGUGACCUUGGCGCCGGAUGCAUCCUUCUUCUCAACGGCCUUGAUGACACCAACAGCCACAGUUUGACGCAUGUCCCUCACGGCAAAUCGUCCAAGAGGGGGAUACGCAGAGAAUGUUUCUACCACCAUGGGCUUGGUGGGAAUCAUCUUAACAAAUCCAGCAUCUCCGUUCUUCAAAAACUUGGGCUCUUUCUCCAGUUCUUUACCAGAUCGCCUGUCAAUCUUAGUUAAAAUCUCGGCAAAUUUGACAGCAAUGUGAGAUGUGUGGCAAUCGAGUACAGGUGCAUAACCAUUUCCAAUCUGUCCUGGAUGGUUCAUGAUGAUAACUUGGGACGUGAAAUUGGCAGCUUCCUUGGCAGGAUCAUCCUUGGAAUUUGAGGCAACAUAACCACGCUUGAGAUCCUUCACAGCAACAUUCUUCACGUUGAACCCCACGUUGUCACCAGGGAGAGCUUCUUGGAGAGCUUCGUGGUGCAUCUCCACAGACUUAACUUCAGUAGUCAGUCCAGAUGGAGCAAAGGUUACCACCAUACCAGGCUUUAUAAUGCCAGUUUCAACACGACCCACUGGAACAGUUCCAAUACCUCCAAUCUUGUAGACAUCCUGAAGUGGAAGACGAAGGGGUUUGUCAGAUGGCCUCUUAGGCUCUUGGAUCAGAUCGAGAGCCUCAAGAAGGGUCGGUCCUUGUACCAGUCGAGGUUGGUGGAUCUUUCAAUCAUGUUGUCACCCUCAAAGCCAGAGAUGGGGACGAAGGGAAUUUUUUCUGGGUUGUAGCCAACCUUCUUGAGGUAGGAAGAAACUUCCUUCACAAUUUCAUCGUACCUAGAUUUCGAGUACUUGGGCGUGGUGGCAUCCAUCUGUCACAUAAAUAGCCAAGUCAGUAAGUAACAAAACACGAAAAAACCAGAAUACUAAAGAAUCGGGAUUGACUAUAAACAUUAUCACCUUGUUACAGCAGCAAAUCAUUUGCUUGACACCAAGGGUAAAUGCAAGAAGGGCGUGUUCACGGGUCUGCCCAUCCUUAGAAAUACCAGCUUCAAAACCUCCAGUAGUGGAGUCGAUAAUAAGAACAGCACAGUCAGCCUGGGAAGUACCAGUAAUCAUGUUCUUGAUGAAAUCACGAUGCCCAGGAGCAUCAAUCACAGUGCAGUAAUACUUGGUGGUCUCGAACUUCCACAGAGGAAUAUCAAUUGUGAUACCACGCUCACGUUCGGCCUUCAGUUUGUCCAACACCCAGGCAUACUUGAACGAUCUCUUGUUCAUCUCAGCAGCUUCCUUCUCAAACCUCUCAAUAACACGCUUGUCAAUACCUCCAAGCUUGUAAAUCAAAUGGCCAGUAGUGGUCGACUUGCCAGAGUCGACAUGACCAAUGACCACAAUGUUGAUGUGAGUCUUUUCCUUACCCAUGCUUGAAUAUUAGGUAAAAGAUCUGUGAAACAAGAAAAAGUACGAAAAAUAAAUAAUAAAAAGAGUUGAUAGAAAAUAAGAAAAAGGAAGAUUAAAGAGGCAAAAAAAAAGCUCAUUAUUGAGACUUUCUGAACUUCACAUAUGGUAUUUGUAAAUCUAAAAUACCCACUCUAAUCUAAACCUCUAAACCUCGAUAAUCUAAACCUCUAAACCUCGAUGAUUAUCAAAAAAAAAAUUCUCAGAACUAACAAAUAAAAUAAACUGAAAAACAAAUUAAAAUGAAUCCAAUCCAAUCAGACUAGAUUAAAUGCAGACUAGAUUAAAUGCAGAUCUACAGAAGAUUAUCAACAACAACACUUACGUCGCAAAUAAAAUCGGCCAAUUCAAAACAAAACAAUGACAAAUAUGCAUAAAAGAUAAACAGGAAGAAUAGAAGAAUAAAAGAUAACGAAAAGCUCAUUAAUAAAGAAGUAAUACAAAAUAUAAAACAAAACUAGACUUCAUGAUCUACAAGAGAAGAACAAUAAAACGAAACUAGACUUCAUGAUCUACAAGAGAAGAACAAUAAGAGCUCUAAAAAUCAACAAGAAAAAUGAAGAAAACCUGAGGAGAAAGGUGUGCUGUUAAACCCUUGCGGCGAGAGAUGAGGAAUGAAAACUAGAUUGGAGGGGUUAAUAAUAGGGUUUGAGGAUUGUUAUAUAGUAUGUCUAAACAUGUUUUGUUGACGAAAAUACCCUCAACCAAAUUUCAUAAUUCAGUAGACCUAAACAGUAAAAAGUUGUAUUGAAACAGAAAAAGAUAAACAGUUUAAAAUAUCUCUUCAUUUAUUUGAAAUUAUUAUUUACCAUUACAAAUUUUAUGUUUGUUCACAUCUUCUAAAAAAUUUAGAUAUACAUCUCAAUGUUUAUUUGUUUAUUAUGGUUUAUAAUAAUUUUAUUUGAAAUAAUUAUAAUAGAUAGUAAUUUUAUGAAUAAUAAUUAAAUGUAUAACAAUUAUUUUUAAAAAAUUACAAAUAUAAAAAAGUAUAACAAUUAUUUUUAAAAAAUUACAAAUAUAAAAAAGUAUAUUUAGAGUGAACUUAUUUUAGUCGUAUCAGUUAUAAUAAUAUUGGUUGGGUUGAGAAUGUCUUCCAACCUAACCUAACCUAAUCUGAUUUAACUCCUACUUAUCGUUAACUUUUGGUUUUUCUUUUUAUAGGAUUAUAGUGGAAACCUGAGCUUAUUCUUUACAUAUUCUACAGCUUCUCAUUUUAGUGGAAAAUUUGAAUAAAGAGUUCAUAUCAAAUUAAACAAUUUGUUAAAAUAAUAAAGUUUAAAUAAAUGUGAUUUGAAAUAAAUUUAAUUUAUAGAAAAAAAACUAUAAUUUAAAAUAUAUUUUCUAGGAUGAAAGGUGAUGUUAUAUGGGAGUGAACUAUAUUUUCCAUCUAUAAGUUUUGUUUAUAAUUAGUACAUGGAUGUUAAUAAUUUUUUAUGAAUAUAUAAAUAAAUAUUGAUUUUAAUGAUAAAAAGUCCAUUCUUAUUUAAACAUAUACCUAAAUUUUAUAAUAAUUUUGUUUAGAGUUUUUAUCGAAUAUUAAUUACUUUUAUGAAAAUAAAAUAAUUUUAAUGAAAAAUCUAUUCUUAUUUAUAAUAAUUAUAAAUAUAACAAAAUAUUAAUAUAUUAAUAUGUACCAUCGAUAUAACAAAAUAAAAAAACUUAAGAAGUGGACCAUUUUUUAAAAUCCCAACAGGUUUGCUUUUUCUUUUUAUCUUUUUUCUUCGAUUUUUUUUUAUAUUUUUUGAAAUCAUAAUAUUUGAUCAAAAUAAUUUUUUAUUAUUUUUUUCGAGUGUUACUAGUUUAAGAUUGUGUACCAAAUAAAUGAAAUGUUGGUAUAUUUAGAUUUUGAAAAAUUAUUGUUCAUAUUGGUACAAAAUCUUAGAUUUGAGUAGCGAAAUCUAAGCUAUAUGAUAAUGAAUUUUGAAAAAAAAAUGCAAAUCUAACUAUCAUUGUGUACCAAAUCUAAACAAAUCAUGUACGGAAUAUUUACCAUACAUUCUUUCCAAACUAAAAUUUUAAGGUAAAUAUUAAUAUAAUCUUAAAGAGUUGUAUCAAUUAAAAGACUAAAUUAAUAAUUGUAACAACUUAACUCUUUAAGUUUAGAAAGUAACCAUCCAUUUCAGAUCUUGUUCAACUAAUAUGGUGUGGCAUUAAACUCUUAAAAUUUUAUACGUUGGUAAAUUUAGAUAUUUCUUUUUAAUUAUCUUAAAAUGCCACAUAUAUGUACUACUUUGGAAAGAAUUUUGAAUUAUGAUUAAGUAUUAGGAUAUAUACUCAUGUAUGUGGUUUAUACAUAUAUACUCAUGUAUUAAGAAAAAUGUUUUAUCCUUACUUUGUAUAAAAGUUUGUAAUAAUUAAUAUACAAAUCAAAUGUUGAAAUAUGUUUCCUAAUAUUACGAGUCUAAGGUCGUGUGUGUGAUUUUUUAACAUUUUCGGUUUUUAAUUUUGAAAAACAAUUCAUCUUGAAAAAAAAAUUAUUCAAAAAAUAUAUUUUUGCAACAUUUUCAAAAUUAUUUUAAAUAUUUUUUAUCAAAAGUAUUUAGAAAAUGAAAAUUAGGAUAAAUGAUAAAAACAAUAAAAAUAUUUACAAAAUUUAAUAUUUACUAAAUCUUUACUCGAUAUUUUAUCUCUAUGUCUUGAAAAAUACAUUAAAAUUUAGUCCAUAUAUUUGAUGAGUAGGACUUAGUUUCUAUACUUUUUGAUCAAACUCUCAUAAAUAGUCCUUAAAUUUAUAAUGAUUUUAUUAAAACUUUGGGAAAAGACUUCAUCAAACAUAAAGAUUGGAUUUAAAUUUUCUCUAAAUUAAAGUGUAUAUGACCCAAUCAAUAAUGUAAUUUAGUCUUACUUGACUUUAAAACCAUAAAUUAUGGGUAGAAUUAGAAGUAAACAAUAAUAGCAUAGCAAAUGAAAUCAAACUCAAAGUUAACCCAACAAAAGUUCACUUAUACAAGUACUCAAACCAUCCCCACCAAAUAAUGUAUCCAAUAGAUCACUUAUGAAAAACAUCCCACCAACGAAAAUAAAAAUUGUAUAGCAAUAACCUAUAAGACAACAAGAGAAACAGCAGUCCUUCCCCACCGACGAUCAAGAACCCAAUUCUGUGAAAACUCACUAGGGAAAGGGAGAAAAGUUUUGAAAAGAAAACAGACACAAAACACAACACAUAAUUCAAACCGCACAAUUCACUUACCAGAUUUCUUAGCAGCUGAUUUGGUGACCUUAGCACCACUUGGGUCCUUCUUUUCGACGCUCUUGAUCACACCAACAGCCACAGUUUGCCGCAUGUCUCUGACCGCAAAUCUCCCAAGUGGUGGAUACUCAGAGAACGUUUCCACCACCAUAGGCUUAGUGGGGAUCAUCUUAACGAAUCCAGCAUCACCAUUUUUCAAGAAUUUAGGCUCUUUCUCCAGUUCUUUACCAGAUCUUCUAUCAAUCUUUGUUAGAAUCUCCCCAAACUUGACUGCAAUGUGAGAGGUGUGGCAGUCAAGAACAGGGGCAUAACCAUUUCCAAUCUGUCCUGGAUGGUUCAUGAUGAUAACUUGUGAGGUGAAACUAGCAGCUUCUUUGGCUGGAUCAUCUUUCGAAUUUGAUGCAACAUAGCCACGUUUGAGAUCUUUUACAGCGACAUUCUUCACGUUGAAUCCCACAUUGUCACCAGGGAGAGCUUCUUGGAGAGCUUCAUGGUGCAUUUCAACAGAUUUUACUUCAGUAGUGAGGCCAGUUGGAGCGAAGGUGACGACCAUGCCGGGUUUUAUAAUGCCAGUUUCGACACGGCCUACUGGGACUGUUCCAAUGCCGCCGAUCUUGUAGACAUCUUGAAGUGGAAGACGAAGGGGUUUGUCAGAUGGUCUCUUGGGCUCGUGGACUUGGUCGAGAGCUUCGAGAAGGGUAGGGCCUUUGUACCAGUCGAGAUUGGUGGAUCUUUCAAUCAUGUUGUCACCUUCAAAUCCAGAGAUGGGGACAAAGGGGAUUUUGUCCGGGUUGUAGCCAACUUUCUUGAGGUAGGAUGAAACUUCUUUGACGAUUUCAUCGUAUCUAGAUUUGGAGUAUUUGGGAGUAGUGGCAUCCAUCUGUUAAACAAACAAAUCAAACACACCCAUAACUAAAACAGGGAAAUUGACCCAAUUUGCCUUUUCUCUCUAUAAAACAGUGAAAAAGAGGAAAUGAAAGUUGGUUGAGAUUACCUUGUUGCAGCAGCAGAUCAUUUGUCGAACACCAAGGGUAAAGGCAAGAAGGGCAUGUUCACGAGUCUGCCCAUCCUUAGAAAUACCAGCUUCAAAACCUCCGGUAGUUGAAUCAAUGAUAAGAACAGCACAGUCAGCCUGGGAAGUACCAGUAAUCAUGUUCUUGAUGAAAUCACGAUGCCCAGGAGCAUCAAUCACAGUGCAGUAGUACUUGGCGGUCUCGAACUUCCACAAAGCAAUAUCAAUUGUGAUUCCGCGCUCACGUUCAGCCUUAAGCUUGUCCAAAACCCAAGCAUAUUUGAACGAUCUCUUGUUCAUCUCAGCAGCUUCCUUCUCAAACCUCUCAAUAACACGCUUGUCAAUACCUCCAAGCUUGUAAAUCAAAUGGCCAGUGGUGGUCGAUUUCCCAGAAUCGACAUGGCCAAUGACCACAAUGUUAAUGUGAACCUUCUCCUUACCCAUACUUGAAUUUCAGCUACAAAAUACAAUCUGUUGCAAAAUAAAAAUUGAAACUGAAAUCAUCAUAUGCAUAUAACUCAGCCAAAGAAAACCGAAAAGUAAUACUAGCUCGUAAGAUCAAUUAAACCCAAAUUUCCAAAACAUAAACAUACUUCAACGAUUAAAUCCUUAACCAAAAAGAUUUCAGCAGCAGGGUUUUGAAAUCAAGAAAGCAUUCACCAUAAAAUAAAGUACAUACUUGUGAUCAGAGGAAACAGAGAGAGUGUAAAGUCAACGCGAUUUGGAGAACGAGAAACAAAUCCAAAAACUGUAUGGAAUUUGUUUUUGAUACCGCCUUUGUUGAUUCCUUCCACAAAAACUGUCUAUGCAAGCAAGUAGAAAUAAAUAGACUUAUGAGACUAAAACUUGGUGUCCAAGCAAAAUAGAAAUAGUAUAGAUGUCUGUUUGAAUAUUCUUUUCCAUUUUCUCGAAAUGAAUGGAAAAGUCUUUAUUUAAUCUUUUCAUUAGUUCCAAAUCGGGUGAUUUUAAAAAAAAUCGGUAGCAAGUUGUAGCAAGUUGGGUGUUUUGAUUGGUUGAGAAGAGCAAUCACUUGUCUCCAUUUGGUAGCAGAGUUUUGAAAUGUCAAAAACUGAAUCAUGAAGUUUUCUCCACUUACAGCUUCCAAAAUCAAACAUUGUUCCAGUAAUAAAUUUAUAUCUCAUUUGCUAAUCAUUUGAUAAUUAAACCUACGUUGUUUUCUUCAACUUUCUGCAUGUUGUUUUCUUAUGUAAGAGAGUCGAAUUUUUAUUAAGUGUUUUAAAACCAACUAUUUUUUAAAUAAAACAAGAAAAUUAAAGAUAAAACCGUGUUUAUGAAUAGAUUUAUUUUUUUUAUAAAAUAACAAAAUCAUUAUCAAACAAGUCCUUGUUCAAAUGAUGGUUGUGGAUAUUGUUGAAGCUUAUUAAAAGAAAGUCACGGAAGAUGCCGUGAAGAACACAAUGCAAUUACUUCGAUUGUGAAGGAUGAUGGUAGUAGAAACAUCAUCUUCAAUUAAAGCAAGGAAAGUUUUGUCUCAUACGUGAAUUUAGAAUCUUGAACCAAGGAAUCAAGGACAUAUGCAUUGAACAUGUUCUCACCACCUGCAACUCUUUUGACCAUAUAAAAAGCUUAUUUUUGGGAGCAAGAAUAGACUUCAAGGAUGCAAACAACUACUAAUCCAUUUAAUCUAAGAACUUCGAGUUCCUGCCAUUUACUUAGAGAUCAUCUAGAGUCCAUCAUCCCAUUGACGAAGAAACCACCCGUUAUGUUUAUGGAUUAUGUUUCCUAUAAUAUACCAAAACUUCAAUUAUAUAUGUCGUUCUGAUAUUAAUCCAUCAGUGUUGAAGCUACCAAUUUUCCCUUAUUUUUUCAGACCAUAACAUUUGCUAAGAACCAACUGAUAUUUCUUUCACUUUCCAAGGUUACUAAAUUGCAGAUAAAGAAAUUCUGUUUAGAAAUGCAAUCUCCCAAUUCAAAAUGAAUCUCCAAAUUAGAAUCACUCAAACCUCUUCAUAAGAGAAGCUGAAAAGUAUUCGUAGAACAAAAACUCAUCACCCCAUGAAGGAAAUAUCAUCCUUCAUAUCAUCAGUUAAAAACACCACUCAAAUAACAAUGACAAUCAUCUAUCAUGGAUCCAUACAACUGCAUCUAAAAAUCCCCCCCAAUCCAGAACAGCGUUUUGAAUUUCUCUACACGUUUCAGUUAUAUUUUCGCAUAAAAUCAAUUCUAAAUUCAUAAAAAAAUUACAAAAAAAUAAGAAAAAAUUGGCAGAAUGUUCUAACUAUUCUACAUGGUCACAUUUGUUGACCAUGACAACAUAUUUAAAUAUUUAGUAUUCAAGAUUGUAAAAUAUUGUUGGAGUCUAUCAAUCUACGAAGACACAAAUUUAAAAUUUUCAAAACUUUAAACUAAGUCCUUUGAAUAAAAAUCUUGGACUUGUCAUCGUUGCUAUAUAUAUUUACUUGAUAAAUGAUAGAAUAAAGACUAAUUGAUAUGAUAUAUAUGGAAGAAAUAGUGAUUUCUGAAUAGACCAAAUAUUCAUAUAAGGCUAAGAAUAAAUAAAGUAAAUCAAGAAGUGAAAUAAUUAAAUAAUAGUUAUUAAAAGAUUAUUUUGUUUUCUUUAUUUAUACUAUCGGAAUGAAAUAAAGAAAAAAAAAGGAAUCCGACCUGCCGGAUUCGAACCAGCGACCUAAGGAUCACUGAGCAAACUACAGUCCUCCGCUCUACCAACUGAGCUAAGGUCGGAUGAUGUUAAGAAGAACUAAAUUAAUAUAGUUAAUCCAAUUAUAUUAUAUCAUAUUGGUCAUUGGAUGCAUCGCUUUCUUGGUUUUGCAAUGCCAAUUGGGAAUUUCUUUUAACCUUCUAGAUUAUUUGAUGGCCCCCACAUGCUCUAUUUUAUAUCAAACAUAAUAUUAUUAAUAUAUUCUUUUUAGUACAAACCACGAAACUUUCCUAUUUUUAAAUUUGUAGAUUUUAUAAAAUAUUUAUAACUUACACCAAAUUCUAGAUUGGUUAUAGAAUCCAAAAAUUUUUAUAACUUUUAAAUAUUUUAAUUUAUUUUUUACUUAAAAAAAUGCUCAUUUUAAUUACAAACUUUCUUUUUCAAUUUUUCAUAAUAAAUUCAACAAACCUAUUGUUUAAUAAUUUCAAUUCUGAAAUGUUUUUUUUAAGUAAAUAAAUUUUAAAAAUAUUUUUAAAAAUAGCAAAAUAAAUUAAAAUAUUUACAAGUUAUAGCAAAAUUUUGAAUUUUAUCACUAAAAGUUUUCUAAUCGGUUAUAUAAUUUGCUUUAGGUUAUAUUUUGUAAAAUUUACUAUUUUUUAAAAAAUCUCAUUCUAUCCUUCUUUGAAUUGUAAACACUUACGUGCUUGUGAUAAUCAUUCAAAUUGUAGAGAAAAACAGGUUAGAGCUUAUUUAUUUAUUUAAGUUGCUAAGUUAUCUAAUAAAUAAACAUGAACAUUGGUCAUAAGUCUGAAUUUAGCCCAAAUUUAUUUAAGAGUAUGAAAGUUGCAAUUUUUGUUUAUAAAAUUUGUUGAAAUUAGUGUAAAAUACAUGUUUUAUUCGUCUAUUUAGUCUAUGAGAUUUUAUGUAUAAUUAAUUCAAAGUGUUGAAAGAAAGUUUGAGAAAGAAUUCAAAGAUGUAUUUGUUGUGUUGACUACACACAACCAAUUAGUUUCACUUUCCAUAGAAAUUCAAUCAAAAUAACCCAAAACACAAUUUCCUAUGAAUUUAAUUACUUUGACAUUUGACUACCCCCUGCAAUCUAUUUUUAUUUUGAAAUUUUGGUAAUAUAUAGUUUAAUCUUUUAUAUGAGUUUAUGCCAAAAAUAAUUUUUUUCUUAUAACAAAUAUGUAAAUGAGAUGUUGAAUCCAAUCUUAAAAUCUCAAAAUUGUGGUUCGUGAUUUAAAAUUUGUUUCUAAUUGAAUAAAAUUCAAAAGCAAAAUCAGAUUUUUCACUAGUUCUAAUUUAAAAUUUUAAAAUCUAUUUAAAAUUUAAAUUUAAAUUUAAAUUUUGUGUUUAAUUAUGAAUUAGAAAACUCAAUUUUGUAUUUUAUAUUUAUAAUUUUUUAAAUCAAAGUUUAAAAAUUUUAUUGUUUAAGAUUAAUUUUUAUAAAUAUAAUAAAUCGGUAAAAUAUGUAAAUGGGUAUGAAAAUCAUCCUUUUUUUAGUAUAUUUCAUCAUUGUCUUUCUUUUUCAUAGUCUUUCUUUUCUUUUCUCUACUACACUGUUUUCUUUACAUCGUCCAAUUUUUUAAAUAUUUUUCUUUAUCUUUCUUUUUUUUUUUUUUUCAAUUGUUCUCUUCCAUUUUUCUUAUUCUCCAAUUAUUUUUUAUUCUUUUUUCAAACGAAUAUUUGGUUCAAUAUCAAAUAUUUUUUUUUAAACUGUUAUUUGGUUGUUGUUUAAAAUUUGGUGUCAAAUAUAAAAGACCGUCAAAAAAUAAUUGAUAUUGUAUAAUCAAAUCUAAAUUUAAACGAUCUUUUUUAAAUAUAUUACUAAAUCAGAUGCCAAUUAAUCUAGAACAUUUGUUGUAUUUCUCGUUAUAGGUAUGUGAUAUUUUUCUAUUUUUUAAGUUACUCUAUAAUGCGUAAAUAUUUUAACACUUUGUUAUAUUUUUUAAAAGAUCCUUCAAAUAAAUUAUGUCAAUUCACAAAAUAUUGUUUAAAAAAAAUGAGUAAACCAAAUACAUUUUAAUUGUUUUCCUAGUAUUAUUUUAUUUUGAAAACAUAAAAAUGAAAAAUGAAUUCCAAAUUAAAAGAGACCUAGAGUUCUCUCAUAAAAAAAGAAAAAAAAGAAAAACACUUUUUCUCUCUUUUUUCUACCAAUUCAUUGAAUUUUUUUAAUCAACAUUAAGUUUAACAUUGGUCUUUUUAGCUUUCAAUUAUAUAUUUAAUCACCAUUAUGAGUUAUUUUAAUUUAUAUCUUCCAUCAAUCUAAUCUCUUUACUUGUAAAAAAACACAAAAGUAAAUCAAUAUAUAUAACAAUAAUAAUUUACUAUUAUUUUGUUGGGAUUUAAUUUUAAAUAAUACUGCCCCAUCAACAAUUGGAAUCUUUUCAAUAUAUUAACAUACCCACUCCCAAAACUAAGCACCAAUUCUUAAAUUAAUCUUCAUAAAUCUUAAAUUAAUAACUAACAAUUCCUUCAUGCUUCCAACUAAACUCCAUUUUCAUCCCUAAUUAUAUACUUUUAUUAUAUUUUCAUGUUUUGACUUUUUAUAUUUUCAACACUUUAUAUAACUCUUAAUUUCUCUUUUCUUUUUUUAAACUUCAUAUAAAACUGAAAAUGAAAAAUUAUAGCUAUAUAUAUACAUACACACACACACACAUGUAGGGUAGAAGAAAUAUUCAAAUUUUGAAGCAAAUUUGAUCUUCCAAAUUGGAGACAAAUGCUUCUACCAAAUUGAAAUAUUGUGCAACAGUUGACAAUAUAAAUAUUCAACAUUACAAAAAUAUACCUUUUUAUCAUUUUAGGAUAAUAUUUUAAAGAAAAUCAUUAAAUAUUGGAGUUUAUAAUUUAGAGAAGAAGAAAAAAAAAGUCAUAAGGACACAGAAAACAAAAUAGAUAAAACUAUAAAGAUUUGAUAAACCAAACAAAAUAUAAUAAAAAAAAUAAAAAUCUAAAGAUUGGGGACUAAAAUUAAUUUUAGUAAAUGAAUAAUAACAAACAAAAUUAAUUUUAGUAAAUGAAUAAUAACAAAAUGGUUUUUAUACAUUUGGGUGAAUAAAUGUAUGGUUCUAGAAAGUUUUAUAUGUCACGUAUAUAUAUAUAUAUUAUAUAUUUGAUGGGAUAAUUUAUUAAUUUAGUUGUAGUUAAUUAAUGUUUGAAUGUUAGUAAUGAAAUGAAAGAUAAUAACCAAAAUGAUUUAAACGUAAUUGUCCCAUCAGGCGAACUUAGUCCGCCAUUGCAUUUAAAAUCACUUUCUCCGUCUGCUCUUCUAGAAGGCGAGGGAUGGCCAGCAGUAUCCUUUCAUUUCACCUCCAAAUUAUAGAAUACUCUCACUUUCUAUUUUCCCUAUAGAAAUAUAUAUAUCCCCCUCAGGCCUCCAUUGAUAUCAAUUUCUAUUUUUCUUUUUUUCAAAAUUUUUCAUCUUCUACCUUCACUUUCCUUUUUUUCUUCAUCAUCAAUCCAUCUAUCACAAUCCAUUUCAGUUUCCAUUCUUUCUUAAAUUACUACCUAAAGAAACUCAGGAAAAAAUUAUGAUUCUAGCUUAUAAAGAAUCGUAUAACAGAGUAGAAGAUACGGACUCCUCCAUCAUCAUCAAUCAACAUCCACAUCCACAUCCACAUCAACACCAUGAACAACAACAAGAAGAAGAAGACGAAGAAGAAGACGAAGAAGAAUCUGUAGAAACGCUCUCUCUUUGCGACCUUCCAAUUUACAGCGAUGAAUCUAAUUGUGAUGAUUAUCAGAGCGCUUCCUUUGAUGAUCAUAACCAAGAAGAUGAUACAUUCUUCGAGUUUUUCAGCCAUGAUUUCUCUGUUGCUAAUUCAUCUUAUUCUGGAUCUGACAACAUUAUCUUCUGCGGCAAAUUGAUUCCCUACAAACAACCAAGCGAUUCCCAAAUCAAACCAUCGGACAAUUUUUCUGGUAAGAAAUCGUCUGUAAGUGAUACUAGAUCGGGACCAGGAGGAAUUAAAAGCUUCGAUCCGUUUUCGAUUUCAUUGACGAACAAUUCCAUUCCUGAGUACAUCAAACGGCCAAAGAGGAAAUGGAAAUUGCAGAAAUAUGAGUUACCGGAAGAGAGAGCGAUGAUACUGCAAUCGUCCCCGAUGAAAUCGCGGUGGUUCUUGUUCCUGUUUGGUAGCGCCAGGUUUCCGAAAGAGAUGGAACUGAGUGAGAUGAGGAUAAGGCAACGCCGGAGCAUGCGGUUGCCGGAACAACGGCAGCCAUCGUCGGAGGAGAGGAAAGUGGAGAAAGGAAGAAGCAAAGGGAAGAAGACUACGACGUUUCAAGCGCUGUGUAAGGUUCUUAGGGCCUUGGUUAUAGGCUGCAGUAGCAGCAACCAUCGAAACGGCGCCUUGAUGUGCAGAACUUUUAUAUAAUGUACAACAAUGCAGGUGAAAAAUUGUAAAGUGUGCAGAACUUUUAUAUAGACAUUCUUGAUGUGUUACCGGUGGUGGAGCAGAGGUUUAUGGUGGCUGCGGAACUGAUUUAUAUAUAGCCUCACGUAGCAGGUUUUCAUUAUAAAAACAUCUUAUGUACGAACAAUUGAUCCUCAUUACCAAUAGCAGCAUUUUGAUCUGUGUCUUGUUCUGUACCUUUGCUGUUAACCAGCCGGCUUUAUACAUUACUUAAAAUUAGCUCAGUCUUGCUACUACCUGAACUUUCAGAGUCAACUCAUUACUACUGCAUUGAGAUUACUAUGCUUGAGAUUACUAUGCUUGAAGAGGUGGUUCAUAUGCUUGAAGAUUUGAGAUAUCUAAAAGGUAAUCUGAAAGAGAUGGUAGAUCCCAGCAUAUCAAAGUGGAGAACGCAGUCAAAGUGGUAAGGAUCGCACUUCGCUGCACGACUAAGAUUCCAUCUACAAGGCCCUUCAUGCAAAUGGUGGUUCAUAUGCUUGAAGAGGCUGAACCUUGUAAAAACUAAAAGUAGCAAAAGCUUUGCAUUUAUUACUACUGCACACUUUAAGUAAUCAGCAAGAGGCUUCAAAUGCAGCAAGGGCUGAACCUUUAAGUAAUCAGCAAGGGCUGAACCUUGUAAAAACUAACAGAGGCUGAACCUUGAAGAUGAAUGUAAAAACUAAAAGUAAUCAGCAAGAUUUGCAUCAUUAAUACUGCAGUAGCAAAAGGAGAGCAUUUAUUGAGUUCUAAAGCACACAAUAUUGUCAUAAUAGGAUUUCAAGUCUUUCUCAAAAAGCUUGAAAUGCCAAAGGAGUAAAUAUUCUAUAAACAGUUCACUGUAGGAUAAAAAAAAAAGAGAAGGAAAGUCUUGAAGUUGCAGAAGAAAAGUCUUCAACUUAGAAUUGUCAGUGAGAUGACUUUAGUGAUCUUGCAAACAACACAGGACACAAUUUUAUAAGCAUCUUCCACCUGCAUUAAAAAAAUGAACCUUUUUUACAUCGUGAUCAUGCAAACAACGCAAGCACAAACCAAGCAAGUAUAAAACUAUUACUACGUACCAAGACGGGUACUAAUCUUGUAUGCUCGACUUCUGGAUGUAUGAAAUUGGAUUGGUACACGUUAAUCUAUUGUGGCCUGUUUCUUUACAUCGACCACAUUUAUGCAAUUUUGGUGCUUCACCGACACUUGGAAUCCUCUUUUUCUUCGGUCGACCAACUCUUUUGACUACUUUCGGAGGUAAGACAGUCAUAUGUACAUAUUCUUCGGUUGUCUUCCAUUCCGACUGAUUCCCAACUGGGUAGACGGCCUCCGAAUAUGCUGCCAACAAACAUUCAUUAGUGUAAUAGUUAGCACAUAAGCUAUAAACAUUUAUAUUGCGAUCCCGUGCAACAGCAAUGGCAUGUGCGCAUGGUAGUUGCUCAGCUUGAAACUCCUUACAAGUGCACUCUUGAGUAUGAAGAUUUAUGACCUCCUCUUUAUCUAAAUCUUUAACAUGGAAUUGGUAACAAUCAAUUGGGUUGACUUUCAUUGUCAAAGCUCGUUCUUGUUUCUUUUGUAGAACUAACUCUGCCCAUUUAGUCAAUGUAGACGUCACUUUAAUGCCUUCUUCUCGACGCUCCCAAAACCAACGUUGUAGCAAAGCUCGAACAUGUUCAAGGAAUGAAGCAAUAGGCAAAUCUCUAGGUUCUUUCAGUAUAGAAUUCAUGGACUCUGCUAUAUUUGUUGUCAUCAUAUUAUAUCGUCUUCCUGGACAGUGAAAACGAGACCAACGUGUUAUUCCAACAUCGUUUAAAUAUUUUCCUGAAUCAUUAGGAAAUGCAAGAAUACUUCUCCACGCUUCUGAGAACGUUGAUUCACGGUAUGUUCUAGAUGCAUUGUAAAACAAAGUAGCUAUAGUGUCAUUCUUGUAUUUAUCAUUCAAAUUUUGAGUCAAGUGUUGGACACAAAGUCCAUGGAAUGCGGAGGGAAAAACCGAUGCAAUACACUUAGAAAAACAUGUUUUUCGAUCUGUCACGAAGCCUAGAUUAGGCACCUCUCCUAUUGCACCUUUCAAUUUCUCUAAGAACCACUGUAUUGAAGCAUCUGUUUCUCUGUCCACCACUCCAAAGGCAAGAGGAUAAAUUUGAUUGUUACCAUCCAAGCAAACAGCAACUAUCAACUGACCCCGAUAUUUGUUCUUAAGGAAUGUUCCAUCCAUGACUAUAACCGGUCUAAUGCAGUUUAAGAAUCCUCGAACACAUGGACCAACAGCCAUAAAAAGAUAUUUGAAGAAACGAUUAUCUUCAAGUUCCAUGUGAAAUAUUGUACCUACAUUUGCAAGUUUGAGAGCUUCACCAUAUCUAAGCAAUAGAUUAUAUGACUCUUCAGGACACCCGCGCACUCGUUCAUACGCAUUUUCUCUAGCGCGCCAUGCUUUUUCAUAACUCAUAUUUAUGCCAUAGUCUUGCCUCAUGUCUUCUAUGAUAUCACGCGGUUUGUAUAGACGACCGACUCCCUUGAACUUUGACUUUAUUAAUUCUCCAACAACCCAAGAUUUUGCUUGCCUAUGGUCACGAUUCAAAACGUCAAGAGAACACGAAUGAACUUUGACAUACUUUUUAAUCUUAAAUAUAUUUGAAUCCUUCAAUCUCAUCGCUCGCAGUCUCCAACCACACUUGUUGUCAAUGCAUCUAACAAAGAGAACCUCUUUUGUAGACUUUUUUACUACAAACUGAAAAUUUUUUUUCAUUGCCAAGACACUUAAUCUCAUUGACAAAUCUUUUUUGGAAAAAAAUAUUUGUCCUACAUCAAACUCCUCACUUGUAGAGCUUUCUUCGGACCAAUCAUUCAUGUCUGUCUUCAACUUUUGGCUAGAAGAGCUGUAACGAACUUUAGAUUUUCCUUUGCAAUCUUUUGUAGGACCAUCUCUAUGUUGUGGGAUGUCAAAUGAUUCACUAUUCAUCUCUACUGGCUCCCAUGUAAAAGUCUCAUCUUUCGAAUCAUAUGACUCAUAUGAUUCCCAUAUAGCCGAAGUGGUCCCUAUCACGUUAUCACACAAGCCAACUUCAACUUCACGAACAUGGACUUCAUUCUCAUUUAAUGUAUCCAUUACAAUUGGAGGAUGAGGGUUUAAGUUAUGAGCUUGGUUGCUGCCAGAUACUGAAUUGUAAUCUUUGCUUAACACUUUUUUGCUUUGAUUACUUUUAGGCUCAAAUGAGACGUAUAAAGGGACCUUUAAUGGAUUUUCACUAAGAAGAUAAAACUUCAAAUCACGGUCAUUGCUUAACUCAAAUGUAGGAGCUUCGUGUUCCACUUUUAUCUCAUAUAUGCAUCUUAUCAUUACGUCGAACUUUGAAGGGUCAACUUCUGCAAGGUCAUAUAAUUCUGCCUGUAAAUCUUUAUGUGUUAUUUCUUUACUGACAACGAUGCCUUUUAACAUGCCUCCUUCGUAUUUUCUUCGCCUCUCAUCCCACAUACCACCGUAACGCACUAACAUGGGAAUAUGUGACAUCCUUAAACCACCUUAUACUUUUCAAUUGCUGCAAAAAAUGAUUUGAAGUUAGCAUUUGACAUAUCACAUAAACAAAGUUUAUUAAAAAACAGUAGGUAAAUACUAAAUAAAACGUGCAUAGUCACACCCUACAUGUUUACGAUCUUGACAGCUACAAAAUGUUUAGGAUAUUGCGAGAUACAAAAAACAAUAGCUAAAAGUCACCCUAAAUCAAUUCAUUUCAGAUUAAACAUUUCAAUUUAAGAACCUGCAAGAUGUCUGCGAGAUGUUUGCGAGAUGUCUACCAGAUGUUUGCGAGAUAAAAUAAUAAUAAUGAUAAAUUGCUAACAUCAUUUGAAACAUCUAUAAAGCAACCUUAAAUCAACCCUAAAUCAACUUGAAACAAUAAAAAAUAAUAUUUGAUUUAUACAUUUAAGAUGCAAAAAUAUAUAUACAUAUAACACAACACAAUUCAGAUUCGGAUUUAAAAAUUAAAACAAACCACAAUGCGUGAGAUGUUCGCCGGAGUAGAUGAUGAACGACACCGGAGUAAAGCGGAAAGUUGACAAACUUUUGAGAGAGGAGAAGAAUCGCAAAUGAGUUUUUCUUUUUUCUUUUUCCUUUACAUAAUCUAUGAGAAGGAGGAGAAAUGCUUCUUUUUUCUUUACGUAAUCUAUGAGACUGCAAGAGAAGGAUUCUUCUUUUUUUUUCCCUUUACGUAAUCUAUGAGGAGAGGAGAAGAAGGCUGCGUUCGCAAUUCUGUUUUUUUUCUUCAGGUGAAUGACAUUGAAGAGAGAGAGAGAGGGGUUGGAAAAGAAGAGAAGAGCAAAUGUGAAUUAAAAUUAAAAGAGGGUAUUUUCGUCAUUUCACCUCCAAUUUAUCCUAAAUCUCAACUUUUCUACAAUCAAUCCUAAAACUCUAUUUAUACCCCAUUUUUGGCCUAUUUUUGUCAAUUUCCCUUUAUUCUUUGCCCAUUUGUUCCUUCAAGUCUCUUCGUUACUUUUGUUUUCACUCUCUAUCUCUCUCUCUAAGCUCAAGAUCUGGCCUCUCUCUCUCUCUCAUGGAGGUUGCUGUUUUCUUUGCCAAUCAAUUUCUUUAGGAUCUAAGAGAGAGAGCUGCUGAGAUUCAGAAAAGAAAUGGAGGUUUUGUGCUGAGGUAUGUAAUGGAGGGUUGUUUCUUUCAGUUUCUUUGCCUCUAAACCUCCUAUUUCAUAUGGAAUUGUUUCGUGGGUUUGUUUUGUUUUUUGUUUUUUUUUUCCUUGGGAGUUUUCUUUGUACAAUGUUGCAAUCAGAUGGAUUUUAAUUGGUUGUUACGGGCUUUCUUCAUUUUGGAUCUGUUUUCAGAAAGUUUAAAUUUUGCAUUGUUUUGAGUUCUUAUGUUUCUGACUGAUUUGUGUGUUCCUUUUUCUCAGGUUCAGAUGAUUGAAUAGGAAAUGGGGAAGAAGGGGGGUUGGUUUUCUGCUGUGAAGAAAGCAUUUGCUCCUGAAUCUAAGGAAAAGAAAGAUCAGGUUCUUAUGGGUUGGAUUCUAAUUUCUAUAAUUUUUUGUCUUCUUUGUGUUAUGGUUUUCUUCCUAGAUCCUGAACUGAGAGUUUGUUAAUGAUUUUCAUUGCUAGAAAACCAACAAAUCAAAGAAAAGAUGGUUUGGGAAGCCAAAGAAAUUGGAGACAGUGACAUCUGCAGAGCCAGCUUCAUUCGAUGUGUCGAUUCUACCAAUUGAAGAGGUAAAAUUAGCAGAUGCAGAGAAUGAACAGAGCAAACAUGCUUACUCUGUUGCCAUUGCCACUGCAGUCGCUGCAGAGGCAGCCGUUGCAGCUGCUCAGGCUGCAGCGGAGGUCGUUCGGCUUACUACUAUCCCUCGAUACUCUGGGAAAUCAAAGGAAGAAAUAGCAGCCAUCAAGAUCCAGACUGCAUUCCGUGGCUAUUUGGUGAGUGAUCACUUUCACUUUUUUUUUUUUUUAAAAAAGCUAUGGCUGUUUUGAACUACACUACUUUUUUAAACAGUUCUUUGUUUUGGAUAGAAUUGUAGAUUUUGUUUAAAUUACCAUCUAGGCCCCUAGAGUUUGAGUUUCAUUUCAAAUUAGUCUGAAGUUUUAUGAUUAUUCCUUAGAAUUCAAGCACAGAGCAGUCCAAAUCUAUAGAGAAGUUUCGGUUCAAGUGAAGGUUGUUUGAAGUUUUAUGAUUAUUCUUGAGAUCUGUUAACAACUCCCACAACAUUUCUUUAGAGAGGCAGUGAGCAGAUCUUAGAUUGACUUACAGCAUUAGGUUAAGUAUAUAAGAGUUUGGUUGUGUAAAAUCUAAAUGAAAUCAUGUGGAUAAUUGGGUAAGGUGUGGUAUUAGGAUUUUUGAGAAUGUGCAACAAGACCCACCUUUUUUCCUUGUUAUUUUUUUCCCUACAGUUACUUAGCUCAUCAUCUUUCGUUGCCAGAAGCCACAUUAAAAAUAAAAUAAAAGGCUAACAUUUAACAGAGAUUAGAGCAAGUUAUGGGAGCUACCAUGAAAGUCUUAAAAUCACAAAGAAACCAAAGUUUAGUAGGAACUAAAACAAUUAAUAUACCCAGAACUAUUCAACAAUCUUAAAACAACAAAAUAUACAAGUCAAAUUCCUACUUGCCAUGACUUAAAGUACUUUUUCUUGAGAAAGAGCAUGAGUUUUCGCAUCAAAUUCGUGCACAUCAUAUACACCUAACUUCAAUGCAGGCUUUGAAUGUGUCAUUUAAUGGUCUACAGAGUGUUCAAAAACCGUAUUUAAUAGGUUGUUCUCUGUAAUAGCUAGUUCAAGGAUUUGGGACAUUAAUUAUUGGUAUUGAAAUUAGUUUCUAUAAUGGGAAUUUUGUUGGCUCAGGCAAGGAGGGCCCUGCGGGCAUUAAGAGGGUUGGUGAGGCUAAAGUCAUUGAUACAAGGCCAAUCUGUUAAAAGACAAGCAACAACCACAUUAAGAUGUAUGCAGACUCUUGCUCGUGUGCAGUCACAGAUUCGUGCAAGAAGAAUUAGAAUGUCAGAGGAGAAUCAGGCUCUUCAGAGACAGCUCCAACAAAAACAUGAAAGAGAGCUUGAGAGAUUAACUACUUCUGUAAGUUUCUUACUAUUAUCUUUUGUAAAUCUCUCAUGUCAGAUUGUACUUUGACAGUAAUACUUAAUGGCUACCUGGUUUUCAUCUAUUUUUUUUCCUAGUAACAUAGAUACGUGGCCUAACGACAUGAUGCCACAUGACCAUCGAAAUUUUUAAGUUUCUUUUUCAGUUGUCCUUAGGCUGGGCUAUGCAUCCCAACUAGUCCUAAAUCCAUUUUUCCUUUUGGAGACUCAAAUCCUCUCAUCUCUCAUUCACACAAAGUACAGAUAUUUGGUAAUUUUAUAUUUGUACCGUAGAGAGAUGGAGAGAGAUGGAUAUUUAAUAUUCAAUGUCAGGAAGCUUUUCGAUAUAUUUAAUACUCCAAGUGGGUAGCAAGUAGUUUAUGUGUUUCUUUUUCUGGUGCUCCUUUAUGAUGAGAUAUUUUUAAUCCAUUAAUCCGCAAGCUGACUUAUGAACUUUCCAAUUAAUCAUAUCGCAUAUGAUAAAACAGCCUCUGACUCCCAAGAUAUUUUUAAAAUGAGGUUUGAGUAUAACGCACUCUCUCUUACGAGUGGUUUUAAGAUGUUUCUUUUAUAAGGAAGUUCUUGAUUAGAUAUUACAAGUUACAAGAAUGUGGCCUAUGAUCAGUUCUUAAUUAAUCCUUGUGUUGAUACUAUGAAUGAGAAUUGAAGUUUGAUGUUUGGAUUAGGCAAACUAUGAAUGGAAUGACAGUACCAAAUCAAAGGAGCAAAUUGAAGCCAGAUUAGCUAACAGGCAAGAAGCAGCAACAAGAAGAGAAAGGGCAUUGGCGUAUGCUUACUCUCAUCAGGUUCAAUUCAUUUCUUACUUUCUUGCUGAAUUAUUACCUCCCUGCUCAGAUCAUUGUUUUUCAUUCUCAUGGGCGUUUUCCCAACAGAAUUCAUGGAAGAGUUCUUCAAAAUCUGCAAACUCUACAUUCAUGGACCCGAACAAUCCCCGCUGGGGAUGGAGUUGGUUAGAACGAUGGAUGGCCGCUCGUCCAUGGGAAACUAAGAGCACCAUGGAUUAUCACGAUCGUGGCUCCGUCAAGAGCGUGAUCAGCCACACAACCUCGAUCGGAGACAUCGCCAAAGCUUACGCCCGUCGCGAUCUCAAUCUCGACAUCAUCAAGCAGUUUCCAAGGACUCCGACGAGCCAAAAAACAAGCCGAGCUCCGAGUCACCAAUCGCCAGCGACUCCUACGAAGGCAUAUUCGUCACUAUCUGCAGGGAGAAAAUUGAAGCCGGAUAGUCCAAGAGGAAUUGGGUGGAGCGGAGACGCGGAUUCCAGAAGCGCAUUGAGCAUCAAAUCGGAAAGGUACAGGCGACACAGCAUUGCUGGAUCAUCAGUGAGAGAUGAUGAAAGCUUCACGAGUUCACCGUCGGUUCCAAGCUACAUGGCAUCAACAGAAGCAGCGAGGGCUAGGUCCAGGUUGUCGAGCCCAAUGGGAACAGAGAAGACGGCAGGAACUCCGGGGAGUGUGGGAGCAAAGAAACGGCUGUCAUUCCCAGGGUCGCCGGCGAACUCAAGGAGGCACUCUGGUCCGCCGAAACUAGAGGCUAGUCCGAUCAAGAAUGUUGGAGAGAGAGAAUUCACCGGCGAGAGCAGAUAGUGGAAGAAGAUGGAUUUGGUAGUGAUUUUUAUUCUUAAUUGUCAUUUACAAUUUUUCUUUUUUAGGAUUUAAUUUUAUAGGUAGCGUUGUUUUUUGUUUGUUUGUUUGAAGGCAUCCACCCACACCCCAAUGGUGAAUAAAAGAACGUAGUCUUACUCUUCUUUCUUUCUUUUUAUGUAAAUGGAAUUGAAUUGAGCUUUGUUUCGCUUUGAUUUCUCUUUUUGAGGUAUAUAAUUUGUCACCUUUUUUCUUUUCAUUUCUUUUUCCUCUUAACUUUUCACCUUUUUCCAUGAAUCUACUCAUUCCCUUUCUCUCACUUUACACUUCUACUUUUUCCAGGUCGAGAAUGAGUGAACUUCACAUUCUGUCUAAUUAUGUUUCCAGUUUUCCACUCGAUCUAGUUUUCAAAAUGAUAGUCUUAUUGAGUUGACGAUACAAGUCACUUCCAUCCAUGCAAAUAAAAAAGAACAAGCUCUUACAAGCAAAAGUCCAUAACUCAAUCAAGAUUGAGAUCGAGUUACACAUGGUCAUCCCGUGAAACAUUAACAUUUUCAAUCAUUAGUGUUACAAAGAGAAAUUAAUUAUUUUGUGGUUCAGUAUUAUACAAACUCUAUGAAUUCAUACACCAACUUGCAUGAUUCUGCAUGAAUGAUUUAAAUUACAAUGUGUGUAAUAUUUACCAAGCGGGUAGUGUCCAUAGUGUACUUACCAAGAUAAGGUAUCCGACCUUAUACAUAUGUUAGCUUGACUUUUAGAUUUUUACUUGAAUGUGAUUAUCUUGUAUGUCAACUACAUAGUGUUCAAAUUUUAUUUAAUAAUCUUGGACUUUUAUUUGUUCGAUUCGUGUUACUACAAUUCUAAAAGGCGUAAUAAAAUAACAUUUAUUUUGUGGAUAAGUAAAUUGUUUAAAAAAAUACAAAAGGUAAGUUUAGAGCGUAAAACUCAACACUAAAGAAAUCAUACAUUCGUAGUCAUGAGUGUAUGCUAUUUUAAAAUUUUCAUCUUAUUUGAUUGUUUAUUGUGUUGGUAUGUUAUAUAAAAAGUUUAGGGUUAUUUAUGAAAUCAUUAAGCAAAUCUUUUAAUACUUUUCAUCCAAAAUUAACGACAAUAAUAUUUUUGAAUGUUUAAGGAUAUUUUUUAAACUUUUGAAAGUUCACGAGUAUUUCCUUUUGGUCUUUAAGUUUUCAAAAUGUAUCUAUUUAAUUCGUGACAUUUUCAAAACAGGUUUAAAAGAUAUGUGUUUAUUGGUCCCUAAAUUUUGGGUAUAGUUAUAUUUUAGUUUAUAGGUUUCAAAAUAAUGUUACAUUUCUCACCUUAAGUUUUAAGUUUGAAUUUAAUUUAGUUCAUAAGUUUUAAAAUAUUACAAUUUUACCCUUUAGGUUUGAAUUUUGUUUUAAUUUCUAUUAACUAAUUUAACUAAAAUUAUAAAAAAAAUUAUAUUGUAAAUAUAAUUAUGUAUGUAGAUAUUCAUAACCUGCAUAGAUUACCAAUCUUCAUAUAACUUUUCCUCAAUUAUAUAUUGUAUCAUUCAUCUCAUUGAAUUCCAUAAUGUAACACAUACUAUACCAUGUCUUAUAAAUACAGGUGCGUGGUGCCUUUGUAAGAUACACCACAAGUUCAAUUGUUCUCUACUUUCUCUUUUAUCUAUUUUUCUUUUGUGUUGUUUCAUUAUUCUUAUUUAGCUUCUUUGUUCAUGUUUUAUAACACUUUAUAAUUAAUUAAAUUUCACUACUUUUCAUUGCAAUCAUAGCUAAUUUUAAAUUUUCACUUCAUAAAUAUUUAAAAUUAAUCAAGGGUUUUUUUUUUUUAAUUAUAACAAAUUGGCAAAAUAUUUACACGGUAUAGAACAAUUUUGAAAAUAGAAAAAGCCCACAGACCCAUAAUGGAAAAUACAAAAAAUGUCUCAAUCAACACAUGAUUGAUUGGCCGCAUGCACGAGUGUAAUUCUUCUUAUAAAUGAACGUGAUACGCGAUCAUGUAGGAAAUGAUACAUGAUAGUGUAGGAAAUGAUACACGAUCAUGUGAGUAGUAUCAACAUCGAUCACACACGCUCAUGUAAUUGUUAUUCUAAAUGAUCAUGAUACGCAAUUAUGUAGGAAAUGAUACACGAUCGUGUAGUUCUUUUUAACAAUGGAAAAAUGUUUCGUGUAAUUUUUUUUCUAAACGAUCAUGAUACACGAUUGUGGGGAAAAAUGCUUUGCGUAAUUCUUCUUCUAAACGAUCAUAAUAUGCAAUUGUAUAGAAAAUGAUACAUGAUCGGGUAGAAAAUUGUACACGAUCAUGCAUUUCUUUUUAACGAUAGAAAAAAUGCUUUAAAUCUAAAUGAUUGGACUGCUGACCAUACUAAAUGAUUGUGUUGACCAUGCUAAAUGAUUGUGUUGACUAGGUAAGCAAUCGUUUAGAUCAUAUCAAAGUGAUAUUUAAACGAUCUUGAUAUUGUGGAAGAGGAGUUGUAAGAAAGAAAUAGAAGAUGAAAAAAGAAAGUAAGAAAAAGAAGAUGAAUAAAAAUAGAAGAAAAAGAAUCUGGAAAAGGAGUUGAAGAAAUCUAGAAGAGGAAAUGAAUAAAUCGUAAGGAAGAAGAAGAAAGAUAAGUGACGAAUCGUCUGGAAUAUCAAGGAAAAAUAUGAAAUUUAUGAAAAAAUUAUACAUGCUUCAUAGACUUUUUGAUUUUGUUACACGAGCGGUAAAUAUUUUGGUGUUUUGUUAUAUUUAUGAAAAUUUACCAUUAAUUAAUAUACAUUCACACCAAAUAGUGAAAGUGAAUGAAUCUUAAUUAAAAGAUUAUGCUGAACAACACUAGAAUUUAAAGAAAGUUUCAUCCUCUCAUAAUUGAUCACUCAUUCAAGAUUGGAAUUCAAUUAAAGAUUGAAAUAAAAUGCGCAAGAAAGAUCAAACUAAAAAUUAAUUUCCAAAAAGGUACCUUUUAUUUCUUUGUUCAUCUUGGUGUAACAUCAGAAGGAAAGUUGAACACUAAAGGAAAUUUUAUUAAUAACUUUUGAGAGAAAAAUUACAAGUUGAAGUGCCAUUUCUAUUUGGGAAUUGAAUAGGGUAAUAGAACUAUGGAAUUGAUAUUAAAAUACAAGAGAAAGGGAAGUUAUAUAGCAAUUGGGUUUCAAAAGGUGUGCAAAUGUGCUCAUUCACAUGCACCAAAAGUUUGUAGCAUCGUGAUGCUUGCUUUAACUGUUAUUAGUGUUACAACACUUCAUAUUUGAUGUGGUGAUGCAACACUAAGUUGAGUUUCACGAUGCUGCUUGAAAAUGAAGCUCUUUGGUUUCUGAUGCCAUGGCAUGACAUUGCACUGUUGCAAGCGGCGUUGACAAGGUGAAAAUUACAAAUUUGCCUUUGAUUACACACCAAAAAUGUUCAUUUUACAACAUACUUAUACAUAACAUGUUAAAACAAUGAUCAACAACAUGUUUAGGUAAAUUGAUAAAAUCAAACAAUUACAAAACUUAUACUAACAAAGAGUAAACAAUUAAUUUAUAGAAACAAAUCAUAAAUAACCCAUAAACUAUACAUAGAUCGUAAAAUAGUUGAAAUAAAAACCAAACAUAAACAAUCAUGCAAACCGUAAACUUAUUAUAGAUCAUAAACACAAACAAUCUCAUAAAUCAUAAAGAAAUUAAGAAGAAGCAAACCAUAAUGUUAUUAUGAACUAACAAUACUUUUAACAAACAAUAUUUUUGUAAACAUAAUAUGUAAAUAGGUAUAAAAUAUUAUAUUUUCAAACAUUUAAACUAUGCAUAAUGUAGACAUGGAAUAUUUCAUGCAAUGUUUACAAAUACAAAAAGAUAUAUAUAUAUAUUAUAGCCUACCUUUUGCAUGAUGAUAAAAUUGUAAAGAUUUGUACUGAUAACGUUUUAUAAAAUAAGAACAAAGAAGCUAAAUAAGAAC